GAGCGGCAUGAAGCUCCGUUUGCGCGCAUGUGUGGCUCGGCUAACUAGUUUGUGCAGUUCGCAUGAUACCUUUAUUAUGUGAUGCCUCCCUAGUUGUUGGAGUUCACUUCUUUGUAUUUAUUGAAACAUCAUGUAGUGCACUGUGAAACUCUCUGUUGUUCACUUGUAAAAACAAAUAGCGGUUCCCUUUGUAAAAAAAGUGCAGCCCCUUAGUGGUUCACCUUGUAGAAAAUGAGAAAGAAAUCCCCAUGGGAGGUUCACUUCUUUUUCUAAUGCAAUUUGUUUAGUUUGUGGGAUGAUUGAAAAAAGAAGUUCACUCCACUUGUUUAGCAGCUCAUACCCCUUUGUAUGAAAUGCAAUUUGUUUCGUGUGUCUCAAAAUCAGUCAACUACAUCAACACGUGCAGUGCGUUUGGUUUUCGGAUGUGGUUCAUUUUUUAGAGUGAUGUUGUUCACUUGUGCCGAACAUGAAAGCGCAAAAAAAUUAGCAAAACAAUAAAAAUAGUAAUGCGGUUCACUACGAUAUAUGAUGUGGUUCGCUUGCUCGCGUCUCUGCGGUCCACUCUUGUUCAUAAAAAAAUUGAAAAAAAACAUCAAAAACUCGUCCGAGAAAAAUUUACAUCCGACAAAGGAAACCAUGAAGUUCACUUGCCUGUCUAAUGCAGUGCGGUUUCGUCCGAUGCAGUGCGGUUUUCUGUCGAAUGACGUUCACUCACCGAUUUGGGUGUCGCAAAAAACAGUGUCCGCAUUUUCGUAAUUUUAAAAUUGCUCUUAAACCGUAAGGAAUUAAAGAGAGUGUUCUACAUGAAAAAGUUGCGUCUCAUCGAUAUCUUUCCAAUGCCAUAUCAUUUGAAUCAUUUUGACAAGCAGUUUGUAAAAAUUUCGCAAAAAACGACCGCUGCCACUCAUCGUCCGCCGCACCAUUUUAAAAAUUAACUUAAAAACGUAAGGAAUCUCGAAACCAUUUCUACAUAUGAAAGUUGCGCCUUGUCCAUAGCUUUCCAACGACAUAUUACACACCUCAUUUCAAUAAACGGUACAAAAACUAGAGUGAAAACAGUAUCGAAAAUUGCAAAAAUUUCAAAAAACGUAAUUUCGCGAUUUAGUAAAUUUGAAACUGCUCUUAAACCGAAAAGAAUUAGAGAAAAUAAUAGAUAUGGAAAAGAUGCGCCUCAACGAUAUCUUUCCAACGGCGUAUCAUUUGCUUUAUUCCGAUGAGAGGUUUUGAAAAAAUCAUGAAAAUACGCUCGCUGCCACUCGUCGUCCGCAUCACCGUUUUUGAAACUGCUCUUAAACCGCGAGGAUCUCGAGAAGUGUUCAACAUGGCAAAGUUGCGCCUAAUCCAUAGCUUCUCCACAGUAUAUUACACGCGUCAUUCUGAUAAACGGUUAAAAAAUUAGAGCGAAAAAACUACCGAAAAUACACAGCGUGUAGUUUUUUCGACACGAAGUUCACUCGCCUGAGUACUGCAGUACACUUGGUUCAAACAAUGACGCGUGCUUGUGUUGAGCGUGCACUUGGUUUAAUAAAUAUUCUGCUAAUAUUAGCAUUAUAGACCGACUAUAUAUACAUCUGGGCUAUUCUGUUAUGCGUAACAGGAUAUUAUUCUGUUACCCUAUGGUGAAUUCAAGCGGUUGAACUGAUGCUUUCUAUUCCUGUUAAAAAUCGUCUUCUUUAGUUCAAAAGUUUUUGCAAUUUUUUUAUCAAAACAGGGCGUGUAAUAUAUCGUUGGAAAGCUCUUGACAUCCACAUUACAAUCUUAUAAUUUGUUUUUGCAAAAAAAUUAUGAUUUACGAGCAGUUUUGAAAAAACCGUUUUUUUCAAACGGAAAACGUGAAUCAUAUUUUGGACUUAAUUUUCAAAAGGUUUGUCGGAAUUGAGCAAAUGAGACGGCAUUGGAAAGCUUGUGAAAAUCCGCAUCUUCUAUAUUUCUACUAUUUUUUCAAAUUCUAUAUGAUUUAAAAGUAAUUUAAAAAACAAUGAAAUUUUGGGCGAAAUGUUUUUUCACUGUUUUUUUGCAAAUGGUUUGUAGGAUUGACACAAAUGAUAUGGUGUUGGAAAGCUAUGAAAAAUGCGCAAAUUUUGCGUAUAGAAAGUUUUUUCUAAUUCCUUACGGUUUAAAUACGAAUUCAAAUACGGUUAAAAUUGAUUUUGAACGUGUUUUUUAAAAAGUUUGUCGAAAUGGGGAAAAUAAUAUACCGUUGGAUAGCUAUCGAAAAUGCAAAACUUAGUCCUGUUGGACGUGUUCUCUACUUCGCAACCAUUUAAGAGUAAUCUUGAAUACGGCAUGACGGAUCCUGCUGUUUUCUCGUCUGAAAAACAAAUUAGUCGUACUGAUAUAUGUGUAUGUUUGUACUGAGCUAUUUUUUGUAGAGUAAUUUUAAAUGGUUCCGAAAAAAUGUACUUAUACUGAUGCUUGCAUGGUUUUGUACUAAACGUGUUUUCACUAACUAGGCUUUGCUCUGUUUUUUUGUGAGACCCAUCAUGCUGUUUUUUCGGGAGAAAAAAUAGAGUACUUGUACUGAUCUACGUGUGUGUUUGUACUGAUGUAUUCUUCGAAGAGUAAUUUUGAAAGGUUCCGAAAAAAGAGUACUUGAACUGAUGUCCGUAUGGGGUUGUACUGAGCGUUUUUUCACAGACUAGAGUUUACUCUAUUUUUUACCGAAAAUUGUUUCAUCAAUUGUUCGCAAAUGAUAGUACGAACUAAGAUAUGUGUUGGUUUGUACAGAGCAUUUGUUUCAUCAGUUGUUUGCAAUUGAUAGUACGAAUGGAGCUUUGUUCAUUUUUAUACUGAGCAUUCUUGUCAGUGCCAGGAUCUCCGAAUUUAUGUUGUUUUGUUCUGCGAACUUCCUCAAAAUUUUAUUGGUAAAUCACACCGUUUUUUUCUUUUGCUAAAUUUUUGUCCUCUGAACUUGUGACCUAUGGAGUUUGUACUGAUAUGAAUCGUUUUGCCGAACCGCCACAAUUUUUUGUGUAUUGAAUCACUAUAUAACUUAGAACCAAAUUUUUUUUCUUAACAUAUAUUUGAAUUGUUUCUAUAUGUACAUUGAAUUGCGGAAGAGUAGCAAUAGUUAUACAUACUUUAUGGAUAGUAAUACAUGAAUUUCUUGGUAAACUGAAGAAUGUACUCUGGACCGUAAUACAUGUCCUCUCGAGUUUGUACUGAUGUGAAUCCUUUUGAACUUGCUCUCGACGGUAAUACAUGCCCUCUCGAGUUUGUACUGAUGUGAAUCCAUUCGAACUUACGUGGCUUACAUCAUUGAACGGACUCUAUUCUUCUCACUACCACCAUUGUUCUGUCCAUUUCUUUUCGGACUUGCAUGGCUUACAUCGUUGAACGGGCUUAGGUGGAUAUGUACUAAUGAACUACUGUGAUUUGUAGCUCUCAGGAAAUGGAAUCCUUUCUUUCCCUGUUAUUCUGAAUACCAAACAGCAAAAAAUCAGUUCUCAUAAGCACGAAAAAAAUUAUAUAUGUACCCCUAAAUUUUGCAACUAUUUUGUCCUCUUUCAUUUUGAAAAAAGCAUACAAAAAGCAAAAGCACAAACUAUACAAAAGGUUUUAGACACCAAACCAGUAGAGAAUUAAAAAUAGGCAUCAGGCAGCAACUUGCGAAACAUAGCACGAGUCAUAUACAUACGCAUUUCAUCCCAUUAUACUUCUCCACCCGCAUGGAAAGUGAGAGAACCUCCCUACAUGCAUAUACAGGCAUCAAACUCCCUCUGUACCUAAACUAUAUUUUUGUUUGAUAUAUAUUGUGAACUCCUCUUGUCGAUGUACAUCAACCUGCUGUGCAGAGAGAUGAAAUGUAGUACAUCAGUCUAGCUUCAUUCAGCUAGAGAGAAACAUGAAAAAAUGUUCAGUUUUUUGGACGGCUUUCCUCUUUUUCUUUGUCCAAUUCUGCGCCACGACUGCCAGCAUCCUGCAUGCAAGCUUAAAAUUAAUUGAAGCCACCAAACAUGCACUUUCAUGAGACUUUGCUACUAUAAGUCAGCAAACAUAUCUUUUAGUAUUAAACCAAAGGCACACUUAUUACCCAUCACUCUUGUUCAGUUCAGAGCAUCAUCAAUAAGAUAAAGAUACGAAAACAUUAAGCCAAUAUAGAACAACUGGAUUGAUUUGAUUCAAAUUUUUUACUUUCAAUGCAUUGUAGGCAACAGCCGAUCCAAGUCAGAACUGAUGUGAUUUAUUCCAUCGAACUGAUAUGAAAGUUUAUCUAUACUGUUCUGUUUUUAACACACACGUUUUGAACUAUUCCCGCUUUUUUCAUUAUGAAUUGAUGACAUAAGACAUGUUGAACUGUUACACAAGAGCAAAAUUCAGAAAUACAUAACAAUGGUGUACUCAAAAUAUGUGCAUUUUAAGGAACAAAACUUUCUAAACCUUCUAUACGAAAAACUUCAACUAUCAGUCCAAAGAGAUUUUAAGUUAAACAAUCAUUUCCCUUACCGAGUGUUAAGGAAAACGAAACCAGAGAUGACCUCGCCGGCAGUAGGAGUAGCGAUCGCUGCCAAGGCGAUGCGUUGGUACAUGUACUAAAUAUCUGCUCAAACCUGUUGUAACAUCUACUUCAAGCUUUUUCUAAAGCAUUGUUGGGAGUAGAGGGUUUUAAAAGAAAAUACAGAGUGCCAAAGAAAGAAAGGAACAACCUGUUUAUCUAAAUGACUAUGAUAUUUGGCACACGUGUGCCAUAUAAGCAAAACUGCCACACCUCUAUUUCUUUCAUUUUAAAGUACCAUACGAUCCCUCGUUCUUUGACCCCGCCUCUUCCCAAAUUACCCCGCAGGCUCGCCUAAGAAACCUGCUUCUCCCACACAUCUCGGGCGCUUACCCCCGAGAAAACUGCCACUUCUUCACGUCUACCACAUGAUUUCUCCUCAGGACAAAGUUACCAUGAUAUUCAUAUGAAAGUUAUCAGGCCUGUGUUGCAUAACUUACCGUACUAUUUACAUAGAAUGUAUCAGGUACUAUGCUUCAACAACUACACCCUUUCAAAGUUACCACUGUGUUUUGUACACAAGUUAUAAGGUCUUCGAUGUGUAAAAUACUGUGGUACUUACACAUAAGUUAUCAGGGUAUAUGUACAUCAACCUCCCCCCGGUCAAAGUUACCAUGGGGGAUUGUACAUGAGUUACCGGGUCUACGGUUCGUAUAUUAUCAUGGUACUUGCACCUAAAAACCUGGGUGUGUUUCGGUAGCUUUUCUCAUAGGUCAAAAAUUACCAUGAUGUUUUUGCGUAACUUAUCACGCCUAUAGCACGUGUGCCCCUCGUGACACUAAACAUUAUGUGACUUUCCCGUGGCACGCCAUGUGUUGUGUUCAUCCAAGAGGCCCACGCGCGAGGCGAGUGUAUGUUUUUAACAACUUAUAUAUUUUCCUUUGGUAAAAAAGCUAUCAUCAUGUUUAUAUUGCAAGUUAUCGGUUAUGCGGUGCUUAUAUUAUCAUGUUAUUUACACAAAAAUUAUUGGGGAUGUUUUGAACAACUUUUUCCCGAGGCAAAAAGUUAUCAUGGUGAUUCUAGGUAACCUAUCAAGCCCAUAGUGCUUAAAAUAUCAUGCUAUUUACAUAAAAUUUAUCAGGGAUAUGUUUCAGCAACAAAUUCAACCCCCCCAUGGGUCAAAAAUUUAUCAUGGUGUUUAGUUAUCGCAGUGCAUAUGUUUUCAUACUAUUUACACAUAAAAAUGCCAUGGGAGGGAGGUAUACUACCGUGCUAUUUACACAGAAGUUACCGGAGUAUCUUAAAAAAAUUCCCUACGGUCAAAGUUACCAUGGUGCUUCUACCUCAGUUAUCAGAUGUGUGCUGCGUAUAUUACCAUCUAUUUACACAUAAACUAUCAGGUAUCUUUUCACAUUUGUUUUCCCCAAUGGUUAAAGUUACCACGAUGUUUGUAUCUAAAUUACCAGGUCUAUGGCGUGAAUGUUAUUGUACUAUUUACAGAAAUUAUCGGAGGGCGGGUUCAACAAAUUUAUUCCCAAUGAUCAAAGUUACCACGAUGCUUGAAACAAAGAGUUGCUAACAUAUUAAAGGCAAAAACAUGUCAAAACAGUAUUACCCUUAGAAUGUUCAACAAUGAGUAUCAUAGGUGAGGUGGUUAGCUCCCUUUGUUAAUUACCUGCAGACCAGAGAUCAAAUCCUAGUCUAAGCAUUAUUUUUGCUGAAAAUCGAGAAGGCAUGUGGGGCCAUAAAUGACCAUUAUGAAAAUUAGGAAGGCACAAGCAGGAGGAAUUGAUGACAUUGGAUGCGUGUGGCAGUUUCGCAAUCUGGCACACGGUUGCCAUAUACAUAUUUCGUUAUCUAAAUAGUGUGUGGAAUUGUUUAUACGGAUGAACAAAACAUUACUUGAAGUAGAGGUUCUUCCAAAAUAAAGAAAGAGCAUCUUGUAGGUUCAAGUUUGAGUAGUUGAGCCAGACAAUUUAUCGUAGGCGUUGUAUGUAAUAAUAAUUUAAUUAUUUUCAUAGGAGUACGACUCAUAGUAUCGGCAUGGAGGUCGUGAACAAAAGCAGAAGUAUCCUUAAUUUUUUAUUAGUGACUGUAAUUUUCCUUAUAAAGAACAUACUACUCUCGUGUAAACCCAUCCCUCUAUAUAUGUACUGUCAAUUUUUUGCAAAUCGAACAAAUUGCGUAUGUAGCAAGUGCUAGUAUCUUGAAAUGAAGUUAUGCGUAUGCCCCUAAGAGUAGGUGAAUAGAAAAGUCGAACCAAAAAUGGCUUUCUCCUAAUAGUAAUCGUGCUAGAACUCAUUCAAAGCUGAAGUGAACUAUAAUUAUAACCAGCCUUUGUCAAUAGAAGUCCUACUGAUCACAAAUUCCUCUAAUUUCCUCCAGACUCAAGAUCAAGAUGGUGGACAGUGCACGGAUAUUACAAAAUUAACAAUUCACAAUACGAAUUAAAUAUCACAAAUUGCAAGGCACAAGUUUUGAGCACAUACAAUCUUUCAUUGGUAGGUAGCACUACAACUUUGGAGGUCAACACAUUAGGCAAACUCUUUGGAAUUAAGAUAGUGAAAAGUAAAUGUAUGCGAAAGCAAGCUUCAGUUUGGUAAACCAUCAAGCCCAGAUUGCUGCACUCCGAAUUUCCUUUAGACUCGUACACUACCUUCAGUUCAGCAAGCUUUAUGUUCAGCAAGUGUGUAACAAAACAAGAAUUGAACUGGAAUAGAAUUUGAAAUUUGAACUGAAAUACAAUACGAAAACUAAACUAAGUGUACUUUCAGAUUUUCACAUGGACAUCAGUGCAUGAAGCACCAAUGAAAUUGAACUGAAACAAACUUUAGUUCAACAAACUUAUAUGAAGUUAUAUGAAGCAUGCUUGAAUGCGUUGACCCGAAGCAUGCUUGUAGGAGAGUAGUGGCACUGGAAGGGAGCCUUUUGCUGAACUUAUAUGAAGUUAUAUGUACUUGUCUAACUUAUAUGGAACUUAUAUGAAGCCUUUUGCUGAACUUAUAUGAAGUUGACCAGACAAGAUGAUACCGGGGCGCAUCAGAAUAUAGGAGAGUGGUGAUGCAAGUCAGUCACCGGCUGGGUAAUGAAGCGGGUGGUAUGCGGCAUGGAGACAACCAGAAAAUGGGACAUCCAGGGGUAGGGAGCGUCGUCGCUGAAGAUCAGAGAGUGUGGAGCGCAGGCGUGCGGUGUCCCCCGGCCGGCACCGGAGACGAAGGAGAUCGGGGAUAGUGCACUUUUUUCGUCAGCCUGCAAGAUGCUCAAGGACCAGGACAACAUGUAGUUUCAGAAUUACAGAUUGUGGUCAGCUAUAGGAUGUUUCUGGGACCAUGUUUUAGCUACGAGAGAGCAACAACAUCACAUCAUGAGAGAGAGGAUGCAUCAUCAAAAAUUCAGGAGAAAGAUCAGAGCAGAGCAGAAGUAAAUAUGUUUUGAGGAGAUGAACUGACCAGGAUUUAAAUGAACUCUCACUAGCAGUAAUUUUUGUACUUUGCAUGUAGUACUACAUGGACUUGCUGUAAAAUACAUGGACCAUGUAGUAAUUUUGAAGUUAAUUAUAUGAUCAUCUCAGGGAGCUCAAGUUGUACUGAAAGCUCAAGUUGGACUAAAACUCACUCGAUAAUUGAAACUCCUAGGGCGAGGGGUGGGAUCCAGGGUGCUGCUAGCAAUGAACGGCCUGGGGUGGUGGCGUUGAAUGGCCUGGAGUGGUGGCUGUGAACAGCCAGGGUGCUCCGGCGGCAGAGCCCCACCGGAGAUGGUGAUGCAAGCAGGAGGUUGGGAAGCAGUGGUGCCGGUGGUCGGGGUCGUCCAAUGCACAUGGCACACCAGUACAGGAAGUUGAUUCAUCACCCAUCCACAGUUUUUUUCCUUUUUGGAAUCCAUUGAACUGAAAAAAGCUACAUGUGAGCUGAAAGUAUGAAAAUAACAUAUCUUUGAAAGAAUAAAGAACUAGCUUUAACAUAUCUAUGAAAGAAUACACCUCCGAGGAACUAGCUUUGAACAUAUCUCUGAAAGAAUAGAGAGCAUGCAAAGUUCAAGGAAAGAAUAAGCAAAAUGGCACACUAGUACGCAGUAGUACGAGUCCAGUCAUGUACGUGCUAGUAUUAGAUUUGAAUAGUAGCUAGAAUUGAAGUUCAGGUAACCAUGGCACACACAUCAUACAGUUUCAGUCAUGUAUGCACACACACUGUAAUAGUCGCUGCAAUUAAAGUUCAAAUAACCACGGCACCCAUAACAGAACAAGAAUCAGUCUAGCAGCUAGGCAAGCAAGCUUCAUCAGCAUGAAUACACAUCAGCGGCAAGCUAGAACAUGCUAGUAGGCUGUAGAAGUCUCCUUGUAUUUUUUCAAACAGAAGUGCUUUAGCUCAGUUCAGUAGUAAGGCAUGGAAAAAGAAAAGCAAUGGAAUAAACUAUAACCGAGCCAAAUAUGUAAUUUCAACAAACUAGACCUCAUUGCUUGACUUCAGUCGUAAUACACGAUCAUCAGUUCAAUAUAAACAGACUAAUGUUAAGAUCAUCGUACAUCCAUUGCCGGUUCAUCUGCGUGCAUUAUAUAUAAUUAACUAAUUAAGUGUGUCAAAAACCAUUACAGAACAGCAUGAAUACAGAAGACCAAAUUAAUAGAAGUUCAUCAUCACAUUAAAACCAAAGUACAGUAGUGAUCAAAUGUUAUUACUGAAAAAAUAAAUACAUAAAGUUCAUACAUAUAUAGUUCUCAUUGAACAACAUAUAUAUAGCUCUCUAGAGCAUCUAAUUAAACCAUACAUUGAAACAAUGUAAAACAUUUCAAUGCAACAACAAAUGCGAUCAUAAUCGCAACUAAGGUAACAAUCGAUCCAACGGCAUAAUGAUGCCAAGCCUCGGUAUGAAUGGCAUAUUUUCUAAUCUUUCUAAUCUUCAAGCGCAUUGCAUCCAUCUUGAUCUUGUGAUCAUUGACGACAUCCGCAACAUGCAACUCCAAUCCCAUCUUCUCCUCCUUAAUUCUUUUCAAUUUUUUCUUCAGGUAAUUGUUUUCUUCUUCAACUAAAUUUAACCUCUCAACAAUAGGGUCGGUUGGAAUUUCCGGUUCACAUACCUCCUUGAUAAAAACAUCUAUGUCACGUUGGUCGGCAUAAUUUUCAUACACACUAAUGAACACAAUAGUUAUAAAAUAUAAUAUAUACCACAUCCAAAUCAUAGACAGGACGAGGGCCGACGGAGGCGGAUACCAAAACCAUCACACUAUAUAAUAACAAAAAAUAAUAAAAGUAAGAAAAUUAUACAAGUAUCUAUCUAAAUCAUACAAGUAAGAACUUUUUUCUUUUAGAAGAUAAGAACAAGAGGCUCACCACGGUGGUGCCGGCGACGAGAUCGGCGCGGGCGAUCAACGGCGGUGAGGACGGGGACGGGACAGGAUGGACCACCAAACCUAGACAAAUCUUAAGGAAAAUGGAGUUUGGACAAGGAGCUUCGAGAGGAGAAAGCUUAAGUAUGUCUCGGGCAUUUCACCGAACACCUCAUGUGCAUAGGAGGUGAGCUAGAGCACCACAAAGCUCUCCCACGGCCGGCCAAAAAACAGAGCAAUGCACUGCUCUGCUCGCGGGCAGGGGGAUAUAUAGGCCUCUCUUUAGUCCCGAUUUGUGGCUAGAGCCGGGACUAAAGGACCCCAUUUGGUCCUGGUUCCAACCACCAACCGGGAUUAAAGGUUGUGGGCCAGGAGCGAGGCCCAUUGGUCCUGGUUCGUGUCUGGAAGCGGGACCAAAGGGGUCAGACGAAUCGGGACCAAUGGCCCCCGAGGCCCGGCCGGUGCCCUGGCUUUACAAACCGGGAUUGAUGCACCCAUUAGUCCCGGUUCAUAGGGAAACCGGGAUUAAUGCCCUUUUCAGACCUGGACCAAAGCCCUAUUUUCUACUAGUGUUGUAGGCCUCGCUCACAUGAAGUAAGAACGGUCGGUGACGAUGCCUCAUAAAGUCCAUGGGGUGCAAUCAUAGUUGGUGGUGCAGGGGAGGAAGUAACCUUCUUUGAUGGGGAUUCCAUCACACGCUUGUUUGUCAUGUAGACGCGUCCUCUUAAUUUCUAUUCAGCUUUACAGGCAAGACGAAACAAAUGAUCGAUAGAAUAUAGUCUUCAUGCAUUAUUAUGUCUUGUAUAUCAUGGUUUAAACCUUUCCAAAAUCGAUUCAGAAAAUCUUCUUCGCAUUCUUCUAAGCCAGAACGAAACAAAGCAAUACACAAAUUGUCAUAAUAUUCUUCAACAGUGAUAUUGUCUUGUGCUAAACAUUGUAAUUUUCUAAGAAAAUCACUGGCAUGAUAUGAAGAACAAAUCGGUCUCGCAUAACAAGUUUUAAAUCUUUCCAAGUAGAAGACCUAUUAUCAAUAUUUUUCCUGCAAUAAUUUCUCCACCAAACUGAAGCAAAACCUAAAAACACUUUAGUGACAAUAUUUAUUUUCUUAUGCUUGGGAAGUUCAUGGCUAGCAAAUAUUUCUUCUACCUCAAUUUCCCAAUCAAUAUAUGAAUCAGGGUCAUAUUUACCCUUAAAAUUUGGCAAAGAGGUAACAUGAUGAUGUGUGUCUCUACCAUGAUGUAUAUCAUGUGACGAUCGUCGUACCUUUUGUGGUGGGAAAGAGUGAUCUUUAUCAAUAUAUGGCAAGUCAUCUCCCACAAUAGACGCACCCCAACUGUCAACCGCUCUAAAAUCUGCCAUGGUUAGUACCACACAAAAAACAAAAAUAAUAAGUAUAAUGUUUCUAUAGUACUAUUUGGUGGUGGCAGAAAAAUUAUCUCAAAACUCUAGCAAUUACCAAGCUCUUACCAGAUCUUACCGUGCUGCAGUGGUUGUCGGCCUUUGGCGCCUUCAAAAGUUAUCAAAGUUGGAUAUAGUGAUUGCCUAAUCACCGAACAAGGUACAAUAUAGAAAGUGGAGCUUGGUGAAGGUUUUCUCAACUCACAAUAUCGGUGGCACAAUUUUCCUGAAAGUAAUGCAAGAUAAUAAUUGCUCAAACUCCUAACUAGUGUUGGUAGUCGACUAGUAAGAGCUAAAAUAAUCUAAGCCCAGAUAUUGAAUCAAGUGAGAGGGAACUGACGAAAAUAUAAUAGCUCCAAGUAGCUAGAUAUAAGUGAGGUAUGAACGUAGUGUAUGGCAACCAAGAGCAGAGAAAAAAAUCCAACACUUAUCACUUAUAUGAACAGAGCAGGCUGAACAGCAAAAGAGAUUGUUCAAAAGAUGCUAGCUGGCCAAAACUUUGCAUAAACUUUUUUUUAUUCUUUUUUCUGAAUUUUCCUUUUUUCAACUUUCAGGUCGGCCGCUAGUAGAAGUCACGGACACAAAUAUCUGACCAAACAGGUAUGAAGGGGUGGCCGGGGCACGUCCGGUGUAGCCCAUCGGCGCUGUCCAGCGGUAAAAGAUCUCAUGCCAUUGCUGAAAUUCACGUCCCCCACCCAGGGCAUUUUGGUCAUUUUGCAUCUGUGCCCUUUUCCGAUUCGCUGCCUCCUCCCCCAAUGAUUUCCUCCCUCAUUUUUCUCUCCCUCACAUCUCUCUCUCUCGAGAGAGAGCCGUUGCCGCCAGUCAUCCUCCCCGUCCGCCGCCGCCGCCGCCAACCAUCCGCAGCCGCGCCACCAUCCCCUCCCCGUUCCUCUCCCGUAGCUGAGCCAGCCAUGGCCGGGAAGAAGUGCAAGUCCUCUUCCUUCCUCCCUCACCCCUGAUCUGAAUCCUCUCCUGGAACCCCAGCCAGCCGCACGCAUCCCAUAUGGCACUGCCCAGCUCGCAGCCCUCGGCCGUCGAGCCAUCGCGAGGCUCCUCGCGCAAGCACACAACCUCCUCAAAGGCUGCGCUCGAGGCCGACCUGGAGUUCACCGUCACCAAGGAAAGGUAAGGGGAGGGGAGGGGAUGGAAGGGAUUGAGCGACCAGGUGAGGCAGUGCCCAGAUCCACAGGGCCAUCGACACUUCGUCAUCGACCUCAUCCGCGACCGUCCUCGAGGUCGGCCAUGGUGGUCCGGCCCGGCAACAACCAUGGAAGGAGACGCCCGAAUCCCUGGCCCUCCAAGUACGCGCCUACUGCAGGCCAUCUCCGGCGAGCUCAUCCACAGAUCUCCAACUAUGGUGCGUGCGCAUGAUACCUCAACCCCUUGUCUUGUCGGUUUCUUCAUCUCCCCUCCUUGUAAUUCCUUGGUUUGUUUUGUGCGCAGUUGCUCCGAUCUGGAAGAGGUGGUGGAGCUUUUGUUGUUGCUGCUGCAGGUGAACGAGGCACCACCCCCUCUUUCUACUUCUGGACACAACCUGGUGGUGAUUGCUCAUUUCAGUGUUAAAAAAUUCAGUUCAAUUCAGUCAUGUUCUUUUUCUUUUGUGGGGAAAUUCAGUCACAUUGAAUGUUCAACUUUUAGAGUUAACAAACUGUUGUUAUGACCACUGUGGUUUAGAUGUUCAGAAAUUCAGACAAGUGGUAUGAUGAAAUGAGCCACCUUUUAACCCCCUACUAAACCUACCGUGAACGUGUAGAGAGCCAAUGCAGGGAGGUGUGGACAUUUUACCAUGUUCAUAGGAAGAAAUCAACAUAAAAUACACAGCUUGUAGAUGAUUCGUCAACCACCAUCAAACACGACUUGUAACUUUCUGGACUAAACUGAACAGUGCAAUUGACUCAAAAUAAAACGGAACCGUGCAAUUGACUCAAAAAUAAAUAGUAAAUAUACUUUGGUUGUGUCUGCAGAAUUGCAUUAUGGAAAGAUGUGUGUGAGGUUACCCCAUCGCCACUGGUUCCAACUUUGUCCAUCAUGUCGCUCUGAUGAGAAGACCUCGUCCAUGUUUCAUUAAUAGGGCAGAGUGCUGCUGAAGUAUCUAUGUUGAACAAUUAUAACAGUACCAAGUAAGUUUGCUCCAAUUGCAUUUGAUGCAGAAGGCACAACACCGCCAUCAUGCGUCAGGUUCAGUAGAAGGCACGACACCGCCACGCUCUCCUCCACUACAAUGCCACGCACCCGGUAAUUAAACAUGCUUUCUCUUCAUUNNNNNNNNNNNNNNNNNNNNNNNNNNNNNNNNNNNNNNNNNNNNNNNNNNNNNNNNNNNNNNNNNNNNNNNNNNNNNNNNNNNNNNNNNNNNNNNNNNNNNNNNNNNNNNNNNNNNNNNNNNNNNNNNNNNNNNNNNNNNNNNNNNNNNNNNNNNNNNNNNNNNNNNNNNNNNNNNNNNNNNNNNNNNNNNNNNNNNNNNNNNNNNNNNNNNNNNNNNNNNNNNNNNNNNCCCAGGCGCCUUUUCUUCUGCCGGCGAGCUAAAAAUGGGAAAAAAUAGGCCCAGCCAUGCCCCCCAAGACCUCAAAAAGGUGCCAGAGAACCCAGGCCACACCCAACGCGCUGGGGGGCUGCUGGGGGCGCUGGCGGAAGCAACAGCCAAUCAUAUUCCUCCAUGUAUCAUUUUUUUCUGGUCCACUCAUUCACUUUUUGCCUGGCGACUGUCCUGGGGGAACCAACGGCUGGGAAACCGUCCUCGCGUUUCAUUCGGCGAAGGUGUAUUGCCCCCCAGGACGUGCUAUAUUUGGCCCGGCGAUUGUCCUGGGGGGCUCCAACGGCUGGAGAUGCUCUAAUUCAUUGUAUUUGCAUGUUUCCAGCAGCCAUGUAUCAAAAAAGCUUCAGCUUUGGGUUGUUGAUUUAGCAGCAUCAAUCAUUAAUUGUUCUGCUAUAUAUGUUCUUAACCAUGACAACCUGAUUAGGCUCUUAGUUUAUUAUGGUCUUUGUUCUGGGUGGAUCUCUGACUAUUCUGGGUGGGCAUGAAUCUCUUCUUUGUUUCUUCAUCUCCUCUUAUUCUGAUUCCUGCGUUUGUUUUAUGUGAAGGUUGCUCCGAUGAGGACAAGCUGCUUCUGCAGGUGGACGGGCCCUCAAGGCUGCUCUGCCUAUUCCUCAUGCUACCCCCACACGUGGUGAGCCCCACCCGUUCUCGAGCUACCCCUGCAAAUCUGAUGUGAUGUGCACAAAAUACUUGCAAUUGUUCUCGACACAAGAGCAUGUCAUGUAUUGUUCUAUUUGAAUGUGCAAUUUCAUUGCUUCUGUGCUGUUUGAUUCUUGCUUCACAAGAGGGCAAUCAUGGAUAUAAACUGCGCUUCCUUUCAAGUUGAAUAGUAAUGAUCACCAUUUGGUUCCAUUUUCUCCUCUGCAUCCAGUGUUCACUCUCUCAUAGAUGUCCAUAUAUACACAGUUCUGAUCUCCUUUUUUCUGUGGCUCCAUACAGCGAACACAAAGCCGUCGAUGCAUUGAGGGCUCAAUGUCGUCUCCGUCGGCUGAGCGGCAAGCCGGGGUUGGGCCUGCACACCGUCUAUUAGCACCCUCCCGCGUCUCCAUUCACGGAUCUGCAGGUCAACCCCUCUCCUCCUCCUAUCCAUGCAUCUUCUUUUCCAGAGCUAGGUGUAUGGUUGCAUGGCAAUUUGUGUUUUGGGGCUCACCAUGUUCUGCUUGCCUUGGUUGGCCAAUGAGGCUUUCCUUUUCUGGUAAAGGCCAAAUGUACUAUUCUCUAUGCUUUAUAUUUUUGUAGUUCCUUUGUUUCCAUGCUUGUUUUUUGAUGGGGUGUAAAUAUAUGCUUUUUUGUUCCUUGUCUGGAUUCAGGUAGGGCCUAACAUUAUUGUUCCUUUGUGCAUGGAAAUGUUGGUGGUUUUGUUCCUUUGUCUAUGGAAGGGGGCCUUGAUUAGAAUUUCUAACGUUUGAGUUGUAAUUAGUGUUUUUGUUACACAUGAAAACAUAUGGUUGUUUGUCCAAUCACAUAUGAAAAAGAGAGGAUUGUUUGUCCAAUAAUUUUCUUUCUCUGUGAUAGUUUUACUAGAAAUAAAGCAUAGUCACUAUUACAUCCUAUUUUAUAUCUUGUUGUGUCGUGAUAUCUGUAUAGGCUCUGUCUACGUCCUUUUGACAUUCCAAGUUUUGUUUUUCUAUGGCUCAAUUAGUUACCCCGUAUCAAGAGAAAUUUAACUGGUAUUUGCGGCAGAGUUAGCUGAAUUCAUGAAGCAAUGAUUUAGUUAUUAUUAAAGCUGAAACACAACAUGUUUUGACAAAUGCGUUCUAAGUAAAGCCUCCAACUAACAUAACCAAAAACAUAUUCUUUAGGUUUAUCAUCUAUUGAAGUAUUAUGUAGAAUUUAAAAUCAUACGAGGCAAAGCAAAUGAGCUCUAUGCACUUUCCAUGUAGCACAGAACAAAAAUAAUCAUGUAUAUUUUGGAUGCACCUAGAUAUACUCAUCAGCAAGGCUGAGGUUAUAGGGCACUCACCCACAUUGUCGAUAUCUCCGUCACUAUGAUCACCCACAUGAUGGACAAUUCCCUUCUUUCUUUUCUCUGUGGAUAUUGACACUUAAUGCUAUUACUGUGUGCAUAUAUGUACUGUGAUCCAUUCUCAUUCUUCAUAUCUUGAGAAACUAUCUCAAGAUACUCGCGUUUGUGUUUUGGAGAAAUCCUAUUCUAUGAUUAAUAUAUCGAGUAUGGAUGGCGCGAUAUCACCUCUCUUUAUGAUGAUGUUCUUACAGAAUAUAGGUUUUAUGGUAACAAGUCUUAGCCAACACCUAUACUGAUGCUCAGACCAGAUGAUUAUAGUCUCUCCUUGCUAUUUUUCUUGAGGUGUGUACAUCUAUCUAGACAAUUCAAUUAAAAUAUAUAUUCCAUACAAACCAUCAAUACAUGUUAGUUGACUUUGAAACUAAUCAGUAAAAGGUUGUCCCUUUCGCAUUUUAUGGACAUAAAGAUUUGGUGUUGAUUGUCGAUCUUUAGUUAACACAUGACCUUACAACCGUAGGGAGUGGGGAAAAACUUAUAUGUUUGGCACAUUUGAAGAACAUAUCAUAGUAACAAAGUUUUGGUAAACAAUGUCCUAGAUCUCAACCAUAUAGAAAUACUAAAUAUAUGUUUAUUUGUAUAUGGAUUAAUUAUACAGACUUAUAAAACCUUGUGCACGGCACAUAAAAGAAAUUUGAAAUAACUAUUAUUUCAAUAUUUGCUUUUUCAGUUGAGCAUAAUAGUUUAUAGCCUGAUAGGCUUGGACAUAAUUGUCUACAUGUACUGCUCAGUAGGCGACAUCCUUUGGGAAAUUGAGGAUGUCCUCGUGCAUUUUCUAAAUACAAUUGUGGCAGCUCUGAGGAAGGAGGGGAGGAAUAAUCUCGCGGGAGAGUUCGGUGCAGAGGAAGAAGAACAAGAUAUUAUUUAUUUCUUGUGAACAGUCAAGCUUGUGCAUUGUCCCACUGUAAGUUAUUUCAACAAUACUAGUAACUGUUAUCUCUGGCCAUCUGUCGCGACAUUUUCUUUAACCACCAAUGCAUAUUUAUUUUCUUGUUAAUAACUCUCAUAAUUGCCUGCUACUGUUUCAGUUCUGGGGCCAGGCAACCUUGAAUCCAACGUCCACCUGCAGGCUACAUCUCAGGUAGGAUAAAAAGAUUGCAGUGAACUUGAUGGGUAUAUCAUUAUUGUUGCCUCCUAAUUUGUGUGAUGAGAAAAUGUGUAGAUUGUGUGUAAAUCCGAGAUGCCUAAAACAGUUGGGAAGUGAACUUGUUACCUCGGUUCAGUUUAAUGGCAUGUUAAACUCGAUGCACUUUCUGGACUGUGACAUUUUUCCUGAAAUUUUGGAAGUGACUGCUAAUGUAGUCUAAAUAGAGUGACUGAGUAGUUACUUCCUCACAAGAGUUGACUUCCCGUUAUUACUUGCUAAGAUGGAUUGGUGGUUUUUAUGUUAGAUGAAAAAUAUUACAUCAAUCUUUACGGCUUUUUAUGGGCAAGUGAUUCCGAGUCCAUAAUAAGGAAUAAUAUAGCCCCAGUGCUGUGAUAAUGUUAAAACAUUUACCUCUUUUAUCGGUUCAAGUAAUGUAUUUGCUGCGAAAAAAUGGUCUUAUAUCAAAUAAUAGCCUAGAGCUUUUGGAGUGUUAUUACUUGUAUUUGUUGCUUGGAUGUAUAAACCUUCAGCAGACUGUCAGUUUUGCUUUUAUAUAAUCUGUUUGUUUAAGUCUGCUGCAUAUUGGUCAAAAGCUCAUGCUAAUUGAUGAUGUUAGGUGAUGAUCUUGUAUCUAACAGUGAUUUCUGAAUGCAUGCUAAAGAAAACUCAUGAACAUCAUGGCGCCUUGUUGAUGGGGUGAUCAAUAGCUACAAUAUUGGGACCCUGCACUUAAAUUGUAGGUCUGAUUUUGUUUUGGAGUUCUCCUGCUACCCACAAGCUCAGAUAGUUCUUUUGUUUGUGCAGGGGAAAUUGCAAAGCAUAUUAUGAAUUGUUACAAGAAACUAUUUCCGCUGUUUUGGUGCAAGGAUGUUGCUUUUUAGUAUGCUUCCCGUAUCUUGGUAUCUUGGAAUAAUAAACAGAUAGAUGUCGUGUACCAAGAUUGUUCCUUGUUGUUAAGAGGGAUACAAAUAUUAUACAAGAAUUUUUCUGAUGACUCCUAAAGCAUAUUUGGAUAUACAGCAAAGUAUAUUGUCGCUUCCCUGUUAGUAAAACAAUUAUGUUAGAAAUUUGGUUGGCAGCCCCUACAUUUGGCUGAUUGCUAGCUGACUGGAUUACUCAUGUUUGCCGACUCUGGUAACUUACGCCUACCAAGAACUACAUGAAUUUUGUGUCUUGCUGCAGUGAACAUUACCAAACUAAUUCUAAAGGUGUUAUAAUCAUGUUUUCUUUUGCAUUAUCAACUUUUAACUUUUGUCAUUUGUUAACACAUUCCUUUUGCAUUAUCAACUUUUAACUAUUGUCAUUUGUUAACACGAUUAUUUAGCAUGUUCACUAUGCAAGUACUCCCUCCGUCCGAAAAUACUUGUCAUCAAAAUAGAUAAAAAGAAAUGUAUCUAGAACUAAUAUACAUCUAAAUACAUCCCCUUUUAUUCAUUUUGGUGACAAGUAUUUCCAGACGGAGGGAGUAGUAAUAAUAGGAGCUAUUUAUUUGCCAGAUAACUAACACUAUUCAUAAGGCAUAAGGGUUAGAAAAAGAACUGUAUUCUUGCUGUGUUGAUUUUCGUAUGGCACACUAUGGAUUCUUUGUGUAACACAUAAUGUCGAUCAACAUGUGUUUACAACGCAGGGAGGAGCCGCGCGACAAGGCAGUCAGACCAAACUCUCUAUCCAUAUAUAUAGGUAGUCUGAUGUUAUGCCAUAGCCGAACCAUAUAUGUUUCGUGUACUGCUCUAUCAAUCUGGUCUUUUGGUAUAUUAGACUCUAUCCUUUGUAAUGAACUUAUUGUCAUGGGCGAUCGUUAUGACUGGAUCGUAUGGUAUGGAUCGGGUCUUUAUGCUUUGUGAUGAAAUAUCAUAUUAUCCUGUUCACCAGUUUGGUUUGGUUUUGAGCUAAAACGUAUAAAAAUACAUGGCUUACAACAAUGGAUAUAUGUGAUGAUAUAUUGAGUGAUUAAGCAUAAUUUUAGACUUUCGGUGCUGGACCAAUGGGAUGCAUGGGGUAAUUGAAUGUUUCUUCUUCACUUUAUUAUUAUCGGUUGGGAUCAGCACUCUCGCGCGAUCUAGUUAUGACGAUGCUGCCUAUACAAAGCAAACCUACGUGGCUAUAAAGUGGAGCACCAUGGCGAACAAGAAACUGGCGCUUGAGGACAGACACGAGUGGAACUGAUGUUUGAUGCAACACGGCGCUGCUGUACGCGUCAGGGCGGACAACAACGACGUGUAACAGAUGGGAUGUCGGAUUGCACGCAAAACAAAGGAAUCCAAUGCAAUUUUGAUAGUUUUUUUUUUCAGAUUAUGGACGAGCUUGCGGCGGAAACUAUGGUGGAGAAAAAAAAGUUCGAUCUAGUAGACAAAAUUUUCUCGUACAAAUCUAAACCAGCACUAUUUGUAGGAUGAUGCAACCAAAAAUUCAACUACGCAAGUACUAGAUGCAAAAAUUGCUAAAGGCUAAAAAGAUAGGUGCAAAGGAUGAACUAAUCUUUCUUUCUUUUUUGGCUUUUUUUGGGUUAUAGGACAUGAAAAAUAAACUAAUCUAACAAAACUGUAAAUCUCUCACCGAUGAAACUAAAAACUGAUACCACUUAUGUGACGGCGGUCUGAUGUUUCGAUGAGAGUGAGGAUAACUAUCAAUUUGGUGGAUUCUGAUCUUGACGAUCCGGCUAUACAAUACCCGACGAUAUGCCUCGACAAUCGCUAAACCAAUCUCCAAUGGUUAUUGACCUUGCCGUAGGCACGGUCAACCUGAACGACGAGGUUUAAGGUCCUGCAAGCAACUAAAGAACCGGCAAGAACAAAGGUGAAUUGCAAUCUGAAAUUACGAAUGAAAAAUUAAGCACAUGAACUAGAUCAAAAGUUGGGGUUUCACUUUGGAUCUGACAAGGCGGUAGUCCUACACGUUUCAUAGAUGCGAAAUUGUAGCAUGGCUAAACAAUACAAUAAAACCCGCGUAAACCCUAAAAUAUGAUGACUAUUUAUUAAAGGCCGGCGUGGAGAACGCUUCGUCUAUUUUCUUGGAAGUCAAGACGGGCCUGCUAAUUGGCCGGACCCACACGCGAUCUGAUUUGAAAAUAAACUUCUCAUAUCAAUCUGGUGGCAAACUGCCUCAUCGGUACUGUAGGCCCAGAUGCGCAACACACAAGGCCAUGCAUGGGCGCAAAACCUAUACGGUGCCCUCAGCGGCCGAUACCAUGUUAACGGUACAGGGCGCAGAACGUCGUGAGACAGUUCGGUCCAUAUCCGGUGUGGGCGUUAGAGCAUUAAGAGGACCUUUCCCUAGUACGAGAGAACUGGGAAGGACGCACUUCUGGUGUAUCAGUACACCCCCUUGUCACGAUGGGCCGGCCCACAUUCUUUUUUUUCUAUAUUAAAGACGUCAAAAAAACUGAAUGUAAGCACUAUGAUUCAAACCGGCAAUCGACCGGUUCAACACACACCACCUAACCAAUAGGCCACCUGCUGUUGACGUGGUUAGUUAUAGCUUUUCCUUCUUUUCUUCUUUGUACCUUCUUUUUUGUUUUUUUGUUGGAACGGUUUUGUUAGUUUUUAUUAUUUUCCAUAUUAAUUUUUUUCAAUAAUACAACAUUUUUCGUUUCAAUUUCGUGAACUUUUUUAAAAUUCGAUAUUUUUUUCCAAAAUUCAAUGAACUUAUUUUCAAAUUCGAUGAACUUUUUACAAAUUGGAUGAACUUUUUUCAAAUUUGAUGAACCUUUUUUCAAACUCGAUAUUUGUUUUCAAAUUUGCCAACUUUUUUGAAAAUUCUUGUACAAUUAUGAAUUCAUGAAUUUUUUGAUUUUUUUUUAAUUUUGCAAAUUUUCCCUUGUUAGUUUUUUUGAACAGCAGUGGUUUUUUCGACAAGUGCUUGCAAGAGAAAAAAGGCUAGCAAAGGAGCGAGCAGCGACCGAUUGAGCCAGCAGCAGCGGUCGAGCGAGCAGUCGAGCGAUUAGCGAUCGAGCGAGCCAGCAGCGGCGGCCGAGCGAGCAGUUGAGCGAUUAGCGAUCGAGCGAACAAAUGCAUGUUGAUUCGAUAAUGCUCAAGUGUAAAUCUUCUGUAUUAAACUUCGCAUCUUCACCCGAGGUUUGUGCAUAUAAAAUAUUGUGUUGUAUUUUUGUUUCGGAUAACAAAAUAAUAAUUCACAUAAUUUCUAUUAGAAUUCACCUCAUAAUUAUCUUUACGCGCAAUAAUUGUGGUUAUAUCCGUACGGGUCAUGUUUAUAUCAGGUCGUUAAUCUUCUUCUUCUUGUCCGCAAGCCACUUCUUCACAUGCUCAUCCAAGAGGGUUUCGUCUGCCAAUAUGAUCAUCGCAUCCACCACGUCCUGUGAGAGUUGCAACCCCUCCUUCUCAAGCUCUAUGUAGCCAAAUGUCUUGGCCUUGUCGAGUUCCCAUUUGAUCACCACCCCUUGGUGGUCCACCAUGUCCGAACCUCCUUGCGCCGCCGCCUCCCUCUCUCGCUGCAGGCGUUGCCGCAACUUCCGGGCGGCGUCCUCCGCCUUGCAAGUCGGAGCCGAUGAAGGGACGCCGACGGACAAGGCGGACUGCGUCUUCGUCACGGUGGUGGAUCGGGACCGGUGGUGAGGAUUGGGAGCAAGGGUGGAGGACGGCGAGGGUUCGGGCGCGGGAAAAGUUGGAGGGCGGCGGGAGGAGGAGAAAGGGUUUGGUGCAUUUGGCGCAAUUUUCGAUGGGGUCGGGCUGGCGGGUCCGACGUGGCGGGCGCGCCCGGGCGCCCCAUAUUUGGGCUACAUAUGAGGGGUGCUGGUUAGCCCAGGCGUUCGAGGCCCGUUUAAGGAGCCCGUCUGGAUCGAAAAAUCGUGACCGGGUGGCCCACCCGGGUGUAUGAGCCAUGCUUGAGGUGCCCGACUGUAGAUGCUCUAAUCAUGUAGAUCCGGCGCUCAAAGGCUCCACCCUCCCCCACGGCUUGGGUUCGGGCGCCUCCCCAAAACUUCGUCGGGAUCCGCCACAACCGGCACGGCGAGGCCAGAGGUGGCCGGAUCCGGCACAGGUUGGUCUCUCCCCUCCUUCUUCGCCCACCCUCUCCUCCUUACCUCACGCCACUUGUCUUCCCUUUUUUGCAGGUCGCCAUGGCGCGAACGGCGAUGACGGCAGGAGGGGCACACACAUCCGUGGAAUGGGACGCCGCCAUGGAGAUGGAGAUCCUUCUUCACACCACGCAGAGGCCCCAUACUUUGCUCUACAUGUGCAACUUUUGUGGGCUGCGCGGUGUGUCACUUUGUGUGAGAAACAACCUGACAUGAUUUAGUACAUUCUCCCGCCCUAUUAACAAGAGUGCUUAGUUAAUAGUUUGCAAGACAAUUGUUCCUUUAACCAUUUGUUAGUUGUAGCCAACAAAUAAUGACUUACCAGAAAAAUAAGAUUACGCAAGAUUAUAAUUCGCUACUCAGGAUUUGAAAUCCUUUAUAAUUUCAACCACGCCCACUUUAGGCAUUAAUGAUGUUAGAGAAGAAUGAGUAUCACAUAUUAGGUACCACAACAGAAAUGAGUAUCACAUAUUAGGUACCACAAGAGAAAUGAGUAUCACAUAUUAGGUAUCUCAUGAGGUACAUUUUUUUAAUCUAAAUUUGUUUAAGUAUUGAAAUAGUGCAAAUCUACUACAAUGUUAAGAUGUCAGCAUAUCAGAACUUCGCAAUCAAGAAAAGAAAUCAUGUUAUGGGAGCAUCUGCUUCUCGCAUUAGUUUUUCUGUUGUUAAUUUCUGUAAUUUUCCAAUACUUCGCUACUAAGGGUUUUCGGAGCAUGAAUAUUGCAAUGAUAUUCCUUUCAGGUGUAGGAAGGUAGUUGCGAUGUGCAGAAUACGUGGUGGGUGAGAUUGAUCAAUCGUGCAUGUGUUAACUUAUAAAAAACAUAACUUAGAGAGCUAAAUUUUGGUCGAAAACAGGAUUCUGACGGGGGUUUUAGAGACAUUUCGUUCGUGGUACUUCAUUCUGCUUUUAGGUCGACGAAAGCGUGCACCUAACUUUUAGUAUAUUCUAAUAAUUUUGGACCUAAUAAUCAUAACAAAUGUGCAGUAGCAUGAUAAUGAUUUGACUUAUCCAAGUCCUUCAAGUUGAAGAGAAGUAUAUACAUUCCUCAUAUGUAAUAACCAAUCAUGAUUCCAUUUUUCCUUCUUAGGUAAUAUAUGUCUAACUAGGUUAUUACAUAUGUUCCCUAAAUUUUACUCCUUUCAUAAUAAUCAAUCUAACUAGGUUCUAAUUCCCAUGACCUCUAAAUGUGAUGCACAUUUUUCUCUACUGGGUAUGUGGUUCCUUCUAAGCGUUUCUUCAAAAUCCAUAUUAUAAUUCCAAUUGUAUCGACUCAUAGUGUCAAUCAUAUUUCUAUAUAUGGCGUAUAAUGAUUAGUUGGGACAUAUUGAAGAUUCCAGUCCAAGUUCUAAUAUAUUUCAAACUCAUAACAUAGUAUAGUAUAGAGUAUUGUACAUUCGUGUUUCGAAAAUCACUAGACCGUGCGGGCGCACGGGUUGAUGACUAGUUCAUUUAACUAGGCAAGUAGUUGCACUGCAUUUCGUUCGUGCGGCUAAUUAACCUUCUGAUCUUUAGCAUAUGGGAUCAAUUGGACAAAUAUCUCCUUAACUCCCGACUCUUGGUGUCGAUGUGCAUGUCACACAUGUGAUGCAUGAAACAUGCUCACCACACUUCACUCGCUCACAAGUACUGUCAAGCUUCUAUGUAUCAUAGGACGAGAUAGGACAGCAUGGGGCUGUCCACACGAGGCACAUGCACAGUCUACGGCUUAGGGUUGGUGGAUCCGCGCCAAACUAGUUGCCGGCAUUAAGGGUAGAUAUCGUGUGCUCUCCUUCCAUCUCUACGCACGCAUGAGGACCUAUAGCAUGCAUGCAAUGCAAUGCAAUAUACUCCCUCCGUUCCUAAAUAUAAGUUUUUUUUAGAGAUUUCACUAUAGACUACAUACGGAUGCAUAUAUACAUAUUUUAGAGUGUAGAUUCACUCAUUUUGCUUCGCAUGUAGUCUCUUAUUGCAAUCUCUAAAAAGACUUACAUUUCGAAACGUAAAAUAAGACUUACACAGGGAAAAGAAGGAAUAAAUACUCCCUCCGUUCCGAAAUGUAAGUCUUUUUAGAGAUUGCAAUAAGAGACUAUAUACGAAGCAAAAUGAGUGAAUCUACACUCUAAAAUAUGUAUAUAUGCAUCCGUAUGUAGUCUAUAGUGAAAUCUCUAAAAAAAAAUUAUAUUUAGGAACGGAGGGAGUAUAUUGCAUUGCAUUGCAUGCAUGCUAUAGGCCCUCAUGCGUACGUAGAGAUGGAAGGAGAGCACACGAUAUCUACCCUUAAUGCCGGCAACUAGUUUGGCGCGGAUCCACCAACCCUAAGCCAUAGACUGUGCAUGUGCCUCGUGUGGACAGCCCCAUGCUGUCCUAUCUCGUCCUAUGAUACAUAGAAGCUUGACAAUACUUGUGAGCGAGUGAAGUGCGGUGAGCAUGUUUCAUGCAUCACAUGUGUGACAUGCACAUCGACACCAAGAGUCGGGAGUUAAGGAGAUAUUUGUCCAAUUUAUGCCAUAUGCUAAAGAUGAGAAGGUUAAUUAGCCGCACGAACGAAAUGCAGUGUAACUACUUGCCUAGUUAAAUGAACUAGUCAUCAACCCGUGCGCCCGCACGGUCUAGUGAUUUUCGAAACAUGAAUGUACAAUACUCUAUACUAUACUAUGAGUUCGAAAUAUAUUAGAACUUGGACUGGAAUCUUCAAUAUGUCCCAACUAAUCAUUAUACGCCAUAUAUAGAAAUAUGAUUGACACUAUGAGACGAUACAAUUGGAAUUAUAAUAUGGAUUUUGAAGAAACGCUUAGAAGGAACCACAUACCCAGUAGAGAAAAAUGAGCAUCACAUUUAGAGGUCAUGGGAAUUAGAACCUAGUUAGAUUGAUUAUUAUGGAAGGAAUAAAAUUUAGGGAAUAUAUGUAAUAACCUAGUUAGACAUAUAUUACCUAAGAAGGAAAAAUGGAAUCAUGAUUGGUUAUUACAUAUGAGGAAUGUAUAUACUUCUCUUCAACUUGAAGGACUUGGAUAAGUCAAAUCAUUAUCAUGCUACUGCACAUUUGUUAUGAUUAUUAGGUCCAAAAUUAUUAGAAUAUACUAAAAGUUAGGUGCACGCUUUCAUCGACCUAAAAGCAGAAUGAAGUACCACGAACGAAAUGUCUCUAAAACCCCCGUCGGAAUCCUGUUUUCGACCAAAAUUUAGCCCUCUAAGUUAUGUUUUUUAUAAGUUAACACAUGCAUGAUUGAUCAAUCUCACCCACCACGUAUUCUGCACAUCGCAACUACCUUCCUACACCUGAAAGGAAUAUCAUUGCAAUAUUCAUGCUCCUAAAACCCUUAGUAGCAAAGUAUUGGAAAAUUACAAAAAUUAACAACAGAAAAACUAAUGCGAGAAACAGAUGCUCCCAUAACAUGAUUUCUUUUCUUGAUUGCGAAGUUCUGAUAUGCUGACAUCUUCACAUUGUAGUAGAUUUGCACUAUUUCAAUACUUAAACAAAUUUAGAUUAAAAAAAAUGUACCUCAUGAGAUACCUAAUAUGUGAUACUCAUUUCUGUUGUGGUACCUAAUAUGUGAUACUCAUUCUUCUCUAACAUCAUUAAUGCCUAAAGUGGGCGUGGUUGAAAUUAUAAAGGAGUUCAAAUCCUGAGUAGUGAAUUAUAAUCUUGUGUAAUCUUAUUUUUCUGGUAAGUCAUUAUUUGUUGGCUACAACUAACAAAUUAUUAAAGAAACAAUUGUCUUGCAAACUAUUAACUAAGCACUCUUGUUAAUAGGGCGGGAGAAUGUACUAAAUCAUGUCAGGUUGUUUCUCACACAAAGUGACACAGCGUGCAGCCCACAAAAGUUGCACAUGUAGAGCAAAGUAUGGCUAAAACGAAAAGGAGCAGAUACUUGGAACUUGAGCUGAUUUUCGCCCAAACUUCCUGUUGUACUGUUUGAUCAGAAUUUUUUCUCUCAUUGUGUAGAUGCCUCACUGCAGCCCAUGAUUGCCACAACCAUGCCUUUUUCUCCCUGAGACAGGGGCAACAGGUUAUUGACGACCAAUGGAUGGGGGUCACCAAGAUCAAAACCGUCAAACAUCAAAGGACUAUGUUUGUACCUGAGAAGGAGAAACACUCUUACCCAUCUAAUUGAAAAGCUGCGAGCAGGCACUUACCAUAAAACACCAAAGAAGUACGUUUAUACCUGAGAAGGAGCCGAGUACAGAUCUCAGGCAACCCUACAGUUCAUGGUUGCAUCAGCUACGUGUUAGAGAUGAAGCAAACUUUAGUUGGCGUGGCACACAAUCCACACAACACCGAUGCCAUGGUUCUCCAUCAGCCCAGGCAGCACUGUAGUUGAUGGUUGCAUGAAGUUCGUGUUGGAGACGAAGCAAAUUAAACUGACUGUGGCACACAAUCUAGACAACAGGGAGAUGUCCUGGCUAUCCAUCGGCCGGUUGGAACUUGAUCGUCGCCGCUAGAUUGGGGGAAGGUUUUUGUUUUUUGUCUCUUUUAGAGAAUAUAAUAGAAGCAUAUCAAGAAGUCAAUAUAGUGGGGACACCCAUGUUCAGAACGCCAUAUAACUGGGUCGGUUGAAUCCUGCAUCAUACAUAACGAAGCAUAAAUUCUAGAAGGGCACUAUUCGUUUGAAACUUGUAUCUAAUUCAAGUUCUGUAGUCAGAACAAAAACAACACAACAAAAAGCAAAAUAAAUAUUACAUACCUGCUAGUUUGUCUUCUCUUUCGAUUCAAUGCGGCGAUCUAUUUUCAAUCAAUGUUCUUGUAGAUUUUUUUACUUGGCCUAAUGACCUAUACGAUAUGAAAUUGCCUGAGGCAGUGGAGACCUCCUAAAUUUAUCUCCUGGAUCGUGACACAAAUCCUAUUUUUUUUACUUGAGAAACAAAGUACCAACCACUGAUUUGGUUUGUUAGAGAUGGAAGUAACAGUAACAGUUAGCACUUGCUGCAUAAUAUAGACAGAAAUAAGAAGACAUGAAGAUGAAAAAACAUGGCAUUUUUAUUUUCCACACAGAGCUACUUCUUAACAGUGUUGAGGAGGUGAACGGACCAUGAUGUUAACUUGAGCAUCUUUUUAGAUCUCCCGUCUUCCUUCAAAUAGAUACUGCUAAGGUGUCAUCUUCUUGACUUCUUGAACGCAUAAACAUUCCAUGUCUGCAAAUAACAUAUAAAUAGGCUUGCAGACGACACUAUAGAUAAAUAAAAAUCAACAGAAUAGAGUAUUGUUUGUGCUUCUAUGAUGGACAUGGCCUAUAGGAUAAUUACAGAAGCAUAAAAUUGUAAGUACAGAUCCAAAUCGAACCUGUAGUUUUUCCCAAUAAGAAGCAUAGAGGAGUAGACCAAAGAAAGUCCAAAACAACUCAUCCAAUUUCUAAGAACAUAAGAAGAUGUGCUUGAAUUUGUUGUGCGAAAGUACAGCCACAUCUUCAAUGAAUGGAAUCCCUUAACUGGAUUGUAUGACACCUCAGCCAAGAUGAACCGCAGGUCUGCAGCCUUCUUGUGGCAGUUGAAAUUUCUGCAGCAAGAGAUUCAUUAAAUCGCUUUACUUGAAGACCGUAGAUAGGAAGCAGGGGGCAACCUAGAAGAGCAGCGCUAGGGAUAUGUGGAAACAUCUUUGACAAACUGAAUCCCCUAAUUGGAUUGUAUGGCUCCUACAAAUAUUGUCCAUCCUAGUUAUACGUAUUUAGAUAAGUCUGUAACUAAGCGCACAUCAUCAAAAUCCUCCAAAACGAACUCUAAUGGUGUACUUGUUCUUUGAGAUCAAGUCGCACUACAUAAAAAUUCCUAAUAACAAAAACCUAAUGGAUCGUUGCUAGCUCCUUAAUUACCUGCAAUUAGUCUACCAUAGUUCUUCGACUUGUAGCUUCCCCAACAAUGGCAUAUGUCCGAUCAGACUUAGGUAGCGCCUCCUUCUGAACAACAUCGUUUAUCAUGGGUUGCGGUUUGGUUGGGGCAUGGCAUCUGUGGAGAUUGAAAGGGCCUUCUCUUUGUCCAAGACGGACCACAGAUCUGCAGCGUGGUUGGGAGAGUUCAGAUUUCUACGUGAAGAUGAAGAGGAUCACAAGGAUCUCACGGAAUCGUUUUGCAUUAAGACAGCAAAAGAUAGGAAGGAGGAGGACGACCUGGAAGAGCAGCGCUAGGGAUUUGUGGAUGAUGUGCAAGUGCCUUACAUGAUAGAUCGGGGGAGGAAGAAUUUGGCCAGGGAGAUGAUUUUUUUCACAUUACAUGGAGCAUGAAGUGGGAUGGAUUUGCGCUAGGGAUUUGUGGAUGAUGCGCAAGUGCCUCACAUGAUAGAUCGGGGCAGGAAGAAUUUGGCCAGGGAGAUGAUUUUUUUCACAUUACAUGGAGCAUGACGUGGGAUGGAUUUGGCCAAGGAGAUGAUUUUUUUUUUCACAUUACAUGGAGCAUGACGUGGGAUAGUAACCCAGGACUCUUGAGUUGUCCAAUGGACGGCUACAGAUACUUAAUAUGGAGAUCGGAUGGAUAAUAUUCUUAGUUUUUGAGGAUUAACGUGGUCGCUUAUUUGGUGCCUCUAAUUAGUAAAUAUAAGAUUGAGUCUAUCAUGCAAACUACUAAGUAAUUAAAAGAAUGACAAGUACUACAAUUUCUUUGGUGAUAUAUUAAUUUUCAAAAUAAACAAAGUACAUAUAUACAUCCUGAUGGGACCGUGGAAAUCUUGAGAAGACAGAGACGCCAGUUGAAAGUUUGUCUGAAUCGCAGUGGUGGACAUAAGCUUGGCAAUGAAGCCCUGAUCAGGAUGGCCUUGCUUGGUACCUUAUGUGAUUUUCCUCACCAUUUCUUGUGCGCCGACCGCUCUGGCGUUUCAAGGUCUUGCGGGGGUGCCCUUUUGGCUUCGGUUGCCGCACACCACUGAGAAUCUUGCGACCGGGGUGAUGUUCUCGUGGCGUGCCUUAACCAUAUCUAGGGUUCUCGCCAUCCUCUCAAGACAUGUGUCAUCAUCGAGCAACCGUAUGUUCUUUUCACAGGCUUUCUCCCUCCUCAAGUACAUCUAUCAUUUGCGGCACACCUUCGACCAAUUUGCGGUGUAGAUGACUUGGGUCCAGCUCCUUAACCUACUUCGUGUCAGGCACUUCAUCUGCUCAUGUGUCCGGAUCCACCUUAUCCUAGUCUUGGCAUCACCAUCCACAAAGAAUCAAGGUCGCAUAUUCCCGACGUAAAUGACGCGGGCCCGUCUCCUUACCCUUCGGUGUUGGAACUUCAUGUGCCCAUGCUUCGGUCCAUGGUAUGUUUCAGGUUCUCUCGUAACCUUCCACAAAAAAUCAUGGUUGCAUAUGUAGCGGUACGCCAUGUAUUCCUCGGCCUCUACAAGGAAAUAAUAUCUCCCCUUCACAUUUAAGUUGAGAGAUAUUACCCACCUACACCAUUUUGAUAAAAUGCUUCAAGGAAAUAACCUACAUAUGCCUAUGAAAAAGGUUUGAACUCUAUUAUGCCUAACGCUACCAACCCACCGAUCCAAACUUUGCACCCUAGGCCUUCUCCCAUUUCCCGUGAUUGACCAAAUCAAAUCAGGUUGUGUAUCCCCUACUGCCGCUUGCGUUGCGCCCCUAACCCUCUAUCCAUAGACGCCACAUCUGCGUACUCACAUACAAGCAGUAAUAAGCCAUGUGUACUGCCUUUGAGAAGCUCUCCUUGCCGCCUCAAAGGUGCAUCCCUACCGAUGAUCGCCUUGCUGCGUUAUUUGAUUAAACUCCAAACUCCCAACCUGAUAUUCAUGUUUCAUGUCGAAAGUAUCACACCCACAUUUGGACAUAGGUAGUAUGCUCGUGUGGUGAAUUUUGUGGAUAUAGGUAGUAUACUCGUGUGGUGAGUUUUGUGGAAUAUCUAAUCAAUACUCUGCAUCUACCAAAAGGAUCGCUCCCCUCAAAUGCAAAUAUAAUUGAGGCCAAUGGCUUUCUUCUCCCCUCAGAUCACAAGACAAGAGCAGACCAUCUAAACAGGCAGAUCGGACCUUCACCUUGGUAGGGAGGUGAGUGCUACCUGUUGCCGUGUCGUCCUCGAGCUCGGGUGGCCAUCCUCCUCCUCCUCGAGCAGGACAAGGUUGUUCGUCCCCUACAGUCCAAUGGUCAUCUUCUCCAAGGACAUAUACAAGGGAGAGCACAACAUUGAUGCAAGUGCCACCAAGAUAGUUUCAGUCAAAGUUAAAGCAACGGUACACAUGCAAACUGAACCAAACCGAGGUGCAUAUUCAUAUGUGUGUGUGUAUGUAGAGAUGCCAGUGCCAUCUGAAUUUUGGGGAACCAAAGCAUGGCUGUUGUUGUUGCUACUUUAGCAGCAACAACAUACUCAAAGUGAAACGAGCAGCAAGUUGUUUUAUAAGCAGUGCAUACUAGUAAUUAGCUAGGACCAUUAUUAUUGCACAACCAUUCGAGGACGGUUGCAGACACAUCUAUCUCAAGGCUCUACUUGAGAAACAAAAGCAUAAGAUAUGUGAUGCUAUCAACCUUAGCACAAGAAGAAAAAAAACACAACCUCUCCGAUAGAAUGGAUGGAUGCAUCAUGCGCAAUCAUCGAUUAUAAGUGGACUAGUAUUUAUUUGCCAUUCGAGUUAAUGGUGUAUAUCUACUGAUUAAACAAGGGAUUGUCUAUUUGUCAUUCAACUGAAAUCAGUUGGACAUUAUUCAAAUUUCUUGACCAAUAACAAAAUGAUACUUCUAUGUCCUUUUUCCUUCUUUCCUGCAUGUCAAUGACCCAAAACACGCAACAGGCCUGACCUGCAAUAAUGAGUUUUGCACUGUACAUGAACUGCAUAGAACCCGGUUUCGUAAGGCUGCGCUGGACCACAUAACAAUUCGACAAAAGGCCUAAAGAGAGACACUGAAAUAUUCUUUCUGUUCCACAGCACAAAUAUGUCAAUUUGUUUAUAAGGACGAGAGAAGUAUCAUAAACCACAUGAUCUAGCAUGUACACUAACAAAAAAAUAGCAAUUCUAAAGCACAAGGGCCUAGGGUCAAAGGAAACUGAAAAUUACGGUUACCAAGCUGCUCAAAUUACAUAGUAGAAAAUUAUGUGCUCAGCAAAGUUUCUUACGCAAGGGUAGAAUCAAUCAACAGUAUAGCAGUAACUUGUAGGGAAAAAAGACAAACCCGAAAGGUAUGGAGUGAUACUUUAAAUUCACUAAAUAUAUAGUAUGAUUGCUCUAAAGUGCACACUGUAAUUACACUUAAAUUACUCUACUGUAAACCCUUUGAAAUUACAGUGUAAAUUACACUAAAAGUUGCACACGAAUUACAAUGUAAUUUCCGUAAAUUUACAUAGUAAAUUACACUGAAUUUACACUAUAAUUUCCAUUGCACUUAAAUUACACAGUAAAAUGCACGGGAAUUCACAUAAACUAACAUUGUAAUUCUCUGAACUUACAGUGCAAGAACCUUGAAAUUACACUGUAAUAACCAUGAAAUUGCACUGUUAAAUGUCCCGCGAAAUAUAGUGGAACUGACACUGAAAUGCCCUAAAUUAACGUCACUGAGUGCUGCAACACAAUACUUCAAUCCUAAAUGUGCAGAGCACGUCAUACCUAUGUAUGCACUCCUAAAGUCUAGCAGCCAACUGAGCUAACUAAUCUAAUCAACCCUAAACAGCAGCCAAUCAAGGGAUUAACCUCAAACUGCAGCAACCCCUAACUUCCCAUGUAUCAUCCAUGGGUGGAUGAAUCUGAAACAAAGCAUGGUGCAACUCAAAGUAGAGGAGGGGGGAGGGCAGAGGUAGUGGGUGGGGCCUGAGAAGAAGUCACCGAAGAAGGAGGGAGGCUCCAUGGGGCCUCUGCGUGGUGUGAAGAAGGAUCUCCAUCUUCAUGGCGGCGUCCCAUUCCACGGAUGUGUGUGCCCCUCCUGCCGUCAUCGCCGUCCGCGCCAUGGCGACCUGCAAAAAAGGGAAGACAAGUGGCGUGAGGUAAGGAGGAGAGGGUGGGCGAAGAAGGAGGGGAGAGACCAACCUGUGCCGGAUCCGGCCACCUCUGGCCUCGCCGUUGCCGGUUGUGGCGGAUCCCGACGAAGUUUUGGGGAGGCGCCCGAACCCAAGUCGUGGGGGAGGGUGGAGCCUUUGAGCGUCGGAUCUAGAUGAUUAGAGCAUCUACAGUCGGGCACCUCAAGCCUGGCUCAUACACCCGGGUGGGCCACCCGGUCACGAUUUUUCGAUCUAGACGGGCUCCUUAAAUGGGCCUCGAACGCCUGGGCUGAUCGGCACCCCUCAUAUCCAGCCCAAAUAUGGGGCGCCCGGGCGUGCCCGCCACGUCGGACCCGUCAGCCCGACCCCAUCGAAAAUUGCGCCAAAUGCACCAAACCCUUUCUCCUCCUCCCGCCGCCCUCCAACUUUUCCCGCGCCCGAACCCUCGCCGUCCUCCACCCUUGCUCCCAAUCCUCACCACCGGUCCCGAUCCACCACCGCGACGAAGACGCAGUCUGCCUUGUCCGUCGGCCUCCCUUCGUCGGCUCCGACUUGCAAGGCGGAGGACGCCGCCCGGAAGUUGCGGCAACGCCUGCAGCGAGAGAGGGAGGCGGCGGCGGUGCAAGGAGGUUCGGACAUGGUGGACCACCAAGGGGUGGCGAUCAAAUGGGAACUCGAGAAGGCCAAGACAUUUGGCUACAUAGAGCUUGAGAAGGAGAGGUUGCAACUCUUACAGGACGUGGUGGAUGCGAUGAUCAUGUUGGCAGACGAAACCCUCUUGGAUGAGCAUGUGAAGAAGUGGCUUGCGGACAAGAAGAAGAAGAUUAAUGACCUGAUAUAAACAUGACCCAUACGGAUAUAACCACAAUUAUUGCGCGUAAAGAUAAUUAUCAGGUGAAUUCUAAUAGAAAUUAUAUGAAUUAUUAUUUUGUUAUCCGAAACAAAAAUACAACACAAUAUUUUAUAUGCAGGAUUAAAGAAGACAUGCACAAACCUCGGGUGAAGAUGCGAAGUUUAAUACAGAAGAUUUACACUUGAGCAUUAUCGAAUCAACAUGCAUUUGUUCGCUCGAUCGCUAAUCGCUCAACUGCUCGCUCGGCCGCUGCUGCUGGCUCGCUCGAUCGCUAAUCGCUCGACUGCUCGCUCGACCGCUGCUGCUGGCUCAAUCGGUCGCUGCUCGCUCCUUUGCUAGCCUUUUUUUCUCUUGCAAGCACUUGUCGAAAAAACCAUUGCUGUUUGAAAAAACUAAAAAGGGAAAAUUUGCAAAAUUAAAAAAAAAUCAAAAAAUUCAUGAAUUCAUAAUUGUACAUGAAUUUUCAAAAAAGUUGGCAAAUUUGAAAACAAAUAUCGAGUUUGAAAAAAGGUUCAUCAAAUUUGAAAAAAGUUCAUCCAAUUUGUAAAAAGUUCAUCGAAUUUGAAAAUAAGUUCAUUGAAUUUUGAAAAAAAUAUCAAAUUUAAAAAAGUUCACGAAAUUGAAACGAAAAAUGUUGAAUUAUUGGAAAAAAUUAAGAAGGAAAAUAAUAAAAACUAACAAAACCGUUCCAACAAAAAAACAAAAAAAAGGUACAAAGAAGAAAAGAAGGAAAAGCUAUAACAUACCACGUCAACAGCAGGUGGCCUAUUGGUUAGGUGGUGUGUGUUGAACCGGUCGAUUGCCGGUUUGAAUCAUGGUACUUAUCUCAAUGUUCUAACGCCCACACCGGAUAUGGACCGAACUGUCUCACGACGUUCUGCGCCCUGUACCGUUAACACGGUAUCGGACGCUGAGGGCGCCGUAUAGGUUUUGCGCCCAUGCAUGGCCUUGUGUGUUGCGCACCUGGGCCUAUAGUACAGAUGAGGCAGUUUGCCACCAGAUUGAUAUGAGAAGUUUAUUUUCAAAUCAGAUCGCGUGUGGGUCGGCCAAUUAGCAGGCCCGUCUUGACUUCCAAGAAAAUAGACGAAGCGUUCUUCACGCCGGCCUUUAAUAAAUAGUCAUCAUAUUCUAGGGUUUACGCGGGUUUUAUUGUAUUGUUUAGCCAUGCUACAAUUUCGCAUCUAUGAGACGUGUAGGACUACCGUUUUGUUAGAUCCAAAGUGGAACCCCAACUUUUGAUCUAGUUCAUGUACUUAAUUUUUCAUUCGCAAUUUCAGAUUGCAAUUCACCUUUGUUCUUGCCGGUUCUUUAGUUGCUUGCAGGAACUCAAACAUCGUCGUUCAGGUUGACCGUGCCUACGGCAAGGUCAAUAACCAUUGGAGAUUGGUUUAGCGAUUGUCGAGGCAUAUCGUCGGGUAUUGUAUAGCCGGAUCGUCAAGAUCAUAAUCCACCAAAUUGAUAGUUAUCCUCACUCUCAUCGAAACAUCGGGCCGCCGUCACAUAAGUGGUAUCAGUUUUCAGUUUCAUCGGUGAGAGAUUUACAGUUUUGUUAGAUUAGUUUAUUUUUCAUGUCCUAUAACCCAAAAAAAAGCCAAAAAAGAAAGAAAGAUUAGUUCAUCCUUUGCACCUAUCUUUUUAGCCUUUAGCAAUUUUUGCAUCUAGUACUUCCGUAGUUGAAUUUUUGGUUGCAUCAUCCUACAAAUAGUGCUGGUUUAGAUUUGUACGAGAAAAUUUUGUCUACUAGAUUGAACUUUUUUUUCUCCAUCAUAGUUUCCGCCGCAAGCUCGUCCAUAAUCUGAAAAAAAAAACUAUCAAAAUUGCAUUGGAUUCCUUUGUUUUGCGUGCAAUCCGAAAUCUCAUCUGUUACACGUCGUUGUUGUCCGCCCUGACGCGUACAGCAGCGCCGUGUUGCAUCAAACAUCAAUUCCACUCAUGUCUGUCCUCAAGCGCCAGUUUCUUGUUCGCCAUGGUGCUCCACUUUAUAGCCACGUAGGUUUGCUUUGUAUAGGCAGCAUCAUCAUAACUAGAUCGCGCGAGAGUGCUGAUCCCAACCGAUAAUAAUAAAGUGAAGAAGAAACAUUCAAUUACCCCAUGCAUCCCAUUGGUCCAUCACCGAAAGUCUAAAAUUAUGCUUAAUCACUCAAUAUAUCAUCACAUAUAUCCAUUGUUGUAAGCCAUGUAUUUUCAUACGUUUUAGCUCAAAACCAAACCAAACUGGUGAACAUGAUAAUAUGAUAUUUCAUCACAAAGCAUAAAGACCCGAUUCAUACCAUACGAUCCAGUCAUAAUGAUCGCCCAUGACAAUAAGUUCAUUACAAAGGAUAGAGUCUAAUAUACCAAAAGACCAGAUUGAUAGAGCAGUACACGAAACGUAUAUGGUUCGGCUAUGGCAUAACAUCAGACUACCUAUAUAUAUGGAUAGAGAGUUUGGUCUGACUGCCUUGUCGCGCGGCUCCUCCCUGCGUUGUAAACACAUGUUGAUCGACAUUAUGUGUUACACAAAGAAUCCAUAGUGUGCCAUACGAAAAUCAACACAGCAAGAAUACAGUUCUUUUUCUAACCCUUAUGCCUUAUGAAUAGUGUUAGUUAUCUGGCAAAUAAAUAGCUCCUAUUAUUACUACUCCCUCCGUCCGGGAAUACUUGUCACCAAAAUGAAUAAAAGGGGAUGUAUUUAGAUGUAUAUUAGUUCUAGAUACAUUCCUUUUUAUCUAUUUUGAUGACAAGUAUUUUCGGACGGAGGGAGUACUCGCAUAGUGAACAUGCUAAAUAAUCGUGUUAACAAAUGACAAUAGUUAAAAGUUGAUAAUGCAAAAGGAAUGUGUUAACAAAUGACAAAAGUUAAAAGUUGAUAAUGCAAAAGAAAACAUGAUUAUAACACCUUUAGAAUUAGUUUGGUAAUGUUCACUGCAGCAAGACACAAAAUUCAUGUAGUUCUUGGUAGGCAUAAGUUACCAGAGUCCGCAAACAUGAGUAAUCCAGUCAGCUAGCAAUCAGCCAAAUGUAGGGCUGCCAACCAAAUUUCUAACAUAAUCGUUUUACUAACAGGGAAGCGACAAUAUACUUUGCUGGAUAUCCAAAUAUGCUUUAGGAGUCAUCAGAAAAAUUCUUGUAUAAUAUUGGUAUCCCUCUUAACAACAAGGAACAAUCUUGGUACACGACAUCUAUCUGUUUAUUAUUCCAAGAUACCAAGAUACGGGAAGCAUACUAAAAAGCAACAUCCUUGCACCAAAACAGCGGAAAUAGUUUCUUGUAACAAUUCAUAAUAUGCUUUGCAAUUUCCCCUGCACAAACAAAAGAACUAUCUGAGCUUGUGGGUAGCAGGAGAACUCCAAAACAAAAUCAGACCUACAAUUUAAGUGCAGGGUCCCAAUAUAGUAGCUAUUGAUCACCCCAUCAACAAGGCGCCAUGAUGUUCAUGAGUUUUCUUUAGCAUGCAUUCAGAAAUCACUGUUAGAUACAAGAUCAUCACCUAACAUCAUCAAUUAGCAUGAGCUUUUGACCAAUAUGCAGCAGACUUAAACAAACAGAUUAUAUAAAAGCAAAACUGACAGUCUGCUGAAGGUUUAUACAUCCAAGCAACAAAUACAAGUAAUAACACUCCAAAAGCUCUAGGCUAUUAUUUGAUAUAAGACCAUUUUUUCGCAGCAAAUACAUAACUUGAACCGAUAAAAGAGGUAAAUGUUUUAACAUUAUCACAGCACUGGGGCUAUAUUAUUCCUUAUUAUGGACUCGGAAUCACUUGCCCAUAAAAAGCCGUAAAGAUUGAUGUAAUAUUUUUCAUCUAACAUAAAAACCACCAAUCCAUCUUAGCAAGUAAUAACGGGAACUCAACUCUUGUGAGAAAGUAACUACUCAGUCACUCUAUUUAGACUACAUUUGCAGUCACUUCCAAAAUUUCAGGAAAAAUGUCACAGUCCAGAAAGUGCAUCGAGUUUAACAUGCCAUUAAACUGAACCGAGGUAACAAGUUCACUUCCCAACCGUUUUAGGCAUCUCGGAUUUACACACAAUCUACACAUUUGCUCAUCACACAAAUUAGGAGGCAACAAUAAUGAUAUACCCAUCAAGUUCACUGCAAUCUUUUUAUCCUACCUGAGAUGUAGCCUGCAGGUGGACGUUGGAUUCAAGGUUGCCUGGCCCCAGAACUGAAACAGUAGCAAGCAAUUAUGAGAGUUAUUAACAAGAAAAUAAAUAUGCAUUGGUAGUUAAAGAAAAUGUCGCGACAGAUGGCCAGAGAUAACAGUUACUACUAUUGUUGAAAUAACUUACAGUGGGACAAUGCACAAGCUUGACUGUUCACAAGAAAUAAAUAAUAUCUUGUUCUUCUUCCUCUACACCGAACUCUCCCGCGAGAUUAUUCCUCCCCUCCUUCCUCAGAUCUGCCACAAUUGUAUUUAGAAAAUGCACGAGGACAUCCUCAAUUUCCCAAAGGAUGUCGCCUACUGAGCAGUACAUGUAGACAAUUAUGUCCAAGCCUAUCAGGCUAUAAACUAUUAUGCUCAACUGAAAAAGCAAAUAUUGAAAUAAUAGUUAUUUCAAAUUUCUUUUAUGUGCGCUGCACAUGGUUUUAUAAGUCUGUAUAAUUAAUCCAUAUACAAAUAAACAUAUAUUUAGUAUUUCUAUAUGGUUGAGAUCUAGGACAUUGUUUACCAAAACUUUGUUACUAUGAUAUGUUCUUCAAAUGUGCCAAACAUACAAGUUUUUUCCCACUCCCUACGGUUGUAAGGUCAUGUGUUAACUAAAGAUCGACAGUCAACACCAAAUCUUUAUGUCUAUAAAAUGCGAAAGGGACAACCUUUUUACUGAUUAGUUUCAAAGUCAACUAACAUGUAUUGAUGGUUUGUAUGGAAUAUAUAUUUUAAUUAAAAUUGUCUAGAUAGAUGUACACACCUCAAGAAAAAUAGCAAGGAGAGACUAUAAUCAUCUGGUCUGAGCAUCAGUAUAGGUGUUGGCUAAGACUUGUUACCAUAAAACCUAUAUUCUGUAAGAACAUCAUCAUAAAGAGAGUUGAUAUCGCGGCAUCCAUACUCGAUAUAUUAAUCAUAGAAUAGGCUUUCUCCAAAACACAAACGCGAGUAUCUUGAGAUAGUUUCUCAAGAUAUGAAGAAUGAGAAUGGAUCACAGUACAUAUAUGCACACAGUAAUAGCAUUAUGUGUCAAUAGCCACAUAGAAAAGAAAGAAGGGAAUUGUCCAUCAUGUGGGUGAUCAUAGUGACGGAGAUAUCGACAAUGUGGGUGAGUGCCCUAUAACCUCAGCUUUGCUGAUGAGUAUAUCUAGGUGCAUCCAAAAUAUACAUGAUUAUUUUUGUUCUGUGCUACAUGGAAAGUGCAUAGAGCUCAUUUGCUUUGCCUCGUAAGAUUUUAAAUUCUACAUAAUACUUCAAUAGAUGAUAAACCUAAAGAAUAUGUUUUUGCUUAUGUUAGUUGGAGGCUUUACUUAGAACGCAUUUGUCAAAACAUGUUGUGUUUCAGCUUUAAUAAUAACUAAAUCGUUGCUUCAUGAAUUCAGCUAACUCUACCGCAAAUACCAGUUAAAUUUCUCUUGAUACGGGGUAACUAAUUGAGCCAUAGAAAAACAAAACUUGGAAUGUCAAAAGGACGUAGACAGAGUCUAUACAGAUAUCACGACACAACAAGAUAUAAAAUAGGAUGUAAUAGUGACUAUGCUUUAUUUCUAGUAAAACUAUCACAGAGAAAGAAAAUUGUUGGACAAACAAUCCUCUCUUUUUCAUAUGUGAUUGUACAAACAACCAUAUGUUUUCAUGUGUAACAAAAACACUAAUUACAACUCAAACGUUAGAAAUUCUAACCAAGGCCCCCUUCCAUACACAAAGGAACAAAACCACCAACAUUUCCAUGCACAAAGGAACAAUAAUGUUAGGCCCUACCUGAAUCCAGACAAGGAACAAAAAAGCAUAUAUUUACACCCCAUCAAAAAACAAGCAUGGAAACAAAGGAACUACAAAAAUAUACAGCAUAGAGAAUAGUAUAUUUGGCCUUUACCAGAAAAGGAAAGCCUCAUUGGCCAACCAGGGCAAGCAGAACAUGGUGAGCCCCAAAACACAAAUUGCCAUGCAACCAUACACCUAGCUCUGGAAAAGAAGAUGCGUGGAUAGGAGGAGAAGAGGGGUUGACAUGCAGAUCCGUGAAUGGAGACGCAGGAGGGUGCUGAUAGACGGGGUGCAGGCCCAACCCCGGCUUGCCGCUCAGCCGGCGGAGACGACAUUGAGCCCUCAAUGCAUCGACGACUUUGUGUUCGCUGUAUGGAGCCGCAGAAAAAGGAGAUCAGAACUGUGUAUAUAUGGACAUCUAUGAGAGAGUGAACACUGGAUGCAGAGGAGAAAAUGGAACCAAAUGGUGAUCAUUACUAUUCAACUUGAAAGGAAGCGCAGUUUAUAUCCAUGAUUUCCCUCUUGUGAAGCAAGCAUCAAACAACACAGAAGCAAUGAAAUUGCACAUUCAAAUAGAACAAUACAUGAAAUGCUCUUGUGUCGAGAACAAUUGCAAGUAUUUUGUGCACAUCACAUCAUAUUUGCAGGGGUAGCUCGAGAACGGGUGGGGCUCACCACGUGUGGGGGUAGCAGGAGGAAUAGGCAGAGCAGCCUUGAGGGCCCGUCCACCUGCAGAAGCAGCUUGUCCUCAUCGGAGCAACCUUCACAUAAAACAAACGCAGGAAUCAGAAUAAGAGGAGAUGAAGAAACAAAGAAGAGAUUCAUGCCCACCCAGAAUAGUCAGAGAUCCACCCAGAACAAAGACCAUAAUAAACUAAGAGCCUAAUCAGGUUGUCAUGGUUAAGAACAUAUAUAGCAGAACAAUUAAUGAUUGAUGCUGCUAAAUCAACAACCCAAAGCUGAAGCUUUUUUUAUACAUGGCUGCUAGAAACAUGCAAAUACAAUGAAUUAGAGCAUCUCCAGCCAUUGGAGCCCCCCAGGACAAUCGCCAGGCCAAAUAUAGCACGUCCUGGGGGGCAAUACACCUUCGCCGAAUGAAACGCGAGGACGUUUUCCCAGCCGUUGGUGCCCCCAGGACAGUCGCCAGGCAAAAAGUGAAUGAGUGGACCAGAAAAAAAUGAUACAUGGAGGAAUAUGAUUGGCUGUUGCUUCCGCCGGCGCCCCUAGCAGCCCCCCAGCGCGUUGGGUGUGGCCUGGGUUCACCGGCACCUUUUUGAGGUCUUGGGGGCAUGGCUGGGCCUUUUUUUGCCAUUUUUAGNNNNNNNNNNNNNNNNNNNNNNNNNNNNNNNNNNNNNNNNNNNNNNNNNNNNNNNNNNNNNNNNNNNNNNNNNNNNNNNNNNNNNNNNNNNNNNNNNNNNNNNNNNNNNNNNNNNNNNNNNNNNNNNNNNNNNNNNNNNNNNNNNNNNNNNNNNNNNNNNNNNNNNNNNNNNNNNNNNNNNNNNNNNNNNNNNNNNNNNNNNNNNNNNNNNNNNNNNNNNNNNNNNNNNNNNNNNNNNNNNNNNNNNNNNNNNNNNNNNNNNNNNNNNNNNNNNNNNNNNNNNNNNNNNNNNNNNNNNNNNNNNNGGGGGGCUGGAGAUGCUCUUACUACUUGAAUGAAGAGAAAGCAUGUUUAAUUACCGGGUGCGUGGCGUUGUAGUGGAGGAGAGCGUGGCGGUGUCGUGCCUUCUACUGAACCUGACGCAUGAUGGCGGUGUUGUGCCUUCUGCAUCAAAUGCAAUUGGAGCAAACUUACUUGGUACUGUUAUAAUUGUUCAACAUAGAUACUUCAACAGCACUCUGCCCUAUUAAUGAAACAUGGACGAGGUCUUCUCAUCAGAGCGACAUGAUGGACAAAGUUGGAACCAAUGGCGAUGGGGUAACCUCACACACAUCUUUCCAUAAUGCAAUUCUGCAGACACAACCAAAGUAUAUUUACUAUUUAUUUUUGAGUCAAUUGCACGGUUCAGUUUUAUUUUGAGUCAAUUGCACGGUUCAGUUUAGUCCAGAAAGUUACAAGUCGUGUUUGAUGGUGGUUGACGAAUCAUCUAUAAGCUAUGUAUUUUAUGUUGAUUUCUUCCUAUGAACAUGGUAAAAUGUCUACACCUCCCUGCAUUGGCUCUCUACACGUUCACAGUAGGUUUAGUAGGGGGUUAAAAGGUGGCUCAUUUCAUCAUACCACUUGUCUGAAUUUCUGAACAUCUAAACCACAGUGGUCAUAACAACAGUUUGUUAACUCUAAAAGUUAAACAUUGAAUGUGACUGAAUUUCCCCACAAAAGAAAAAGAACAUGACUGAAUUGAACUGAAUUUUUUAACACUGAAAUUAGCAAUCACCACCAGGUUGUGUCCAGAAGUAGAAAGAGGGCGUGGUGCCUCGUCCACCUGCAGCAGCAACAACAAAAGCUCCACCACCUCUUCCAGAUCGGAGCAACUGCGCACAAAACAAACCAAGGAAUCACAAGGAGGGGAGAUGAAGAAACCGACAAGACAAGGGGUUUAGGUAUCAUGCGCACGCACCAUUGUUGGAGAUCUGUGGAUGAGCUCGCCGGAGAUGGCCUGCAGCAGGCGCGUACUUGGAGGGCCAGGGAUUCGGGCGUCUCCUUCCAUGGCUGUUGCCGGGCCGGACCACCAUGGCCGACCUCGAGGACGGUCGCGGAUGAGGUCGAUGACGAAGUGUCGAUGGCCCUGUGGAUCUGGGCGCUGCCUCACCUGGUCGCUCGAUCCCUUCCAUCCCCUCCCCUCCCCUUACCUUUCCUUGGUGACGGUGAACUCCAGGUCAGCCUCGGGCGCAGCCUUUGAGGAGGUCAUGCGCUUGCGCGAGGAGCCUCGCGAUGGCUCGGCGGCCGAGGGCUGCGAGCUGGGCGGCGCCAUAUGGGAUGCGUGCAGCUGGCUGGGGUUCCGGGAGAGGAUUCAGAUCAUGGGUGAGGGAGGAAGGAAGAGGACUUGCACUUCUUCCCGGCCAUGGCUGGCUCAGCUAUGGGAGAGGAACGGGGAGGGGAUGGUGGCGCGGCUGCAGAUGGUUGGCGGCGGUGGCGGCGGCGAACGGGGAGGAUGACUGGCGGCAGUGGCUCUCUCGAGAGAGAGAUGUGAGGGAGAGAAAAAUGAGGGAGGCACUCAUUGGGGGAGGAGGCAGCGAAUCGGAAAAGGGCACAGAUGCGAAAUGACCAAAAUGCCUUGGGUGGGGGACGUGAAUUUCAGCAAUGGCAUGAGAUCUUUUACCCGCUGGACAGCGCCGAUGGGCUACACCGGACGUGCCCCGGCCACCCCUUCAUACCUGUUUGGUUAGAUAUUUGUGUACGUGACUUCUACUAGCGGGCGGCCUGAAAGUUGAAAAAAAGGAAAAUUCAGAAAAAAGAAUAAAAAAAAGUUGAUGCAAAGUUUUGGCCAGCUAGCAUCUUUUGAAAAAUCUCUUUUGCUGUUCAGCCUGCUCUGUUCAUAUAAGUGAUAUGUUCGAUUUUUUUGUCUGCUCUUGGUUGCCAUACACUACGUUCAUACCUCACUUAUAUCUAGCUACUUGGAGCUAUUAUAUUUUCGCCAGUUCCCUCUCGCUUGAUUCAGUAUCUGGGCUUAGAUUAUUUUAUCUCUUACUAGUCGACUACCAAUACUAGUUAGGAGUUUGAGCAAUUAUUCAUCUUGCAUUACUUUUAGCAAAAUUGUGCCACCGAUAUUGUGAGUUGAGAAAACCUUCACCAAGCUCCACUUUCUAUAUUGUACAUUGUUUGGUGACUUGGCAAUCACUAUAUCCAACUUUGAUAACUUUUGAAGGCGCCAAAGGCCGACAACCACUGCAGCACGGUAAGAUCUUGUAAGAGCUUGGUAAUUGCUAGAGUGUUGAGAGAAUUUUUCCGCCACCUCCGAGUAGUAAUAUAGAAACAUUAUACUUAUUAUUUUUGUUUUUUGUGUGGUACUAACCAUGGCAGAUUCUAGAGCGGUUGACAGUUGGGGUGCGUCUAUUGUGGGAGAUGACUUGCCAUAUAUUGAUAAAGAUCACUCUUUCCCACCACAAAAGGUACGACGAUCGUCACAUGAUAUACAUCAUGGUAGAAACACACAUCAUCAUGUUACCUCUUUGCCAAAUUUUAAGGGUAAAUAUGACCCCGAUUCAUAUAUUGAUUGGGAAACUGAGGUAGAAGAAAUAUUUGCUAGCCAUGAACUUCCCAAGCAUAAGAAAAUAAAUGUUGUCACUAAAGUGUUUUUAGGUUUUGCUUCAGUUUGGUGGAGAAAUUAUUGCAGGAAAAAAAUUGAUAAUAGGCCUUCUACUUGGAAAGAUUUAAAACUUGUUAUGCGAGACCGAUUUGUUCUUCAUAUCAUGCCAGUGAUUUUCUUAGAAAAUUACAACGUUUAGCACAAGACAAUAUCACUGUUGAAGAAUAUUAUGACAAUUUGUGUAUUGCUUUGUUUCGUUCUGGCUUAGAAGAAUGCGAAGAAGAUUUUCUGAAUUGAUUUUGGAAAGGUUUAAACCAUGAUAUACAAGACAUAAUAAUGCAUGAAGACUAUAUUCUAUCGAUCAUUUGUUUCGUCUUGCCUGUAAAGCUGAACAGAAAUUAAGAGGACGCGUCUACAUGACGAACAAGCGUGCGAUGGAAUCCCCAUCAAAGAAGGUUACUUCCUCCCCUGCACCACCAACUAUGAUUGCACCACAUGGACUUUAUGAGGCAUCGUCACCGACCGUUCUUACUUCAUGUGAGCAAGGCCUACUACACUAGUAGAAAAUAGGGCUUUGGUCCAGGUCUGAAAAGGGCAUUAAUCCCGGUUUCCCUAUGAACCGGGACUAAUGGGUGCAUCAAUCUCGGUUCGUAAAGCCAGGGCGCCGGCCGGGCCUCGGGGGCCAUUGGUCCAGAUUCGUCUGACCCCUUUGGUCACGCUUCCAGACACGAACCAGGACCAAUGGGCCUCGCUCCUGGCCCACAACCUUUAAUCCCGGUUGGUGGUUGGAACCGGGACCAAAUGGAGUCCUUUAGUCCCGGUUCUAGCCACAAAUCGGGACUAAAGAGAGGCCUAUAUAUCCCCCUUCCCGCGAGCAGAGCAGUGCAUUGCUCUGUUUUUUGGCCGGCCGUGGGAGAGCUUUGUGGUGCUCUAGCUCACCUCCUAUGCACAUGAGGUGUUCGGUGAAAUGUCCAAGACAUACUUAAGCUUUCUCCUCUCGAAGCUCCUUGGCCAAACUCCAUUUUCCUUAAGAUUUGUCUAGGUUUGGCGGUCCAUCCUGUCCCGUUCCCGUCCUCACCGACGUCGAUCGCCCGCGCCGAUCUCGCCGCCGGCACCACCGUGGUGAGCCUCUUGUUCUUAUCUUCUAAAAGAAAAAAGUUCUUACUUGUAUGAUUUAGAUAGAUACUUGUAUAAUUUUCUUACUUUUAUUAUUUUUUGUUAUUAUAUAAUGCGAUGGUUUUGGUAUCCGCCUCCGUCGGCCCUCGUCCUGUCUAUGAUUCGGAUGUGGUAUAUAUUAUAUUUUAUAACUAUUUUGUUCAUUUAGUGUGUAUGAAAAUUAUGCCGACCAACGUGACAUAGAUGUUUUUAUCAAGGAGGUAUGUGAACCGGAAAUUCCAACCGACCCUAUUGUUGAGAGGUUAAAUUUAGUUGAAGAAGAAAACAAUUACCUGAAGAAAAAAUUGAAAAGAAUUAAGGAGGAGAAGAUGGGAUUGGAGUUGCAUGUUGCGGAUGUCGUCAAUGAUCACAAGAUCAAGAUGGAUGCAAUGCGCUUGAAGAUUAUAAAGAUUAGAAAAUAUGUCAUUCAUACCGAGGCUUGGCAUCAUUAUGCCGUUGGAUCAAUUGUUACCUUAGUUGCGAUUAUGAUCGCAUUUGUUGUUGCAUUGAAAUGUUUUACAUUAUUUCAAUGUAUGGUUUAAUUAGAUGCUCUAGAGAGCUAUAUAUAUGUUGUUCAAUGAGAACUAUAUAUGUAUGAACUUUAUGUAUUUAUUUUUUCAGUAAUAACAUUUGAUCACUACUGUACUUUGGUUUUAAUGUGAUGAUGAACUUCUAUUAAUUUGGUUUUCUAUAUUCAUGCUGUUCUGUAAUGGUUUUUGACACACUUAAUUAUAUAUAAUGCACGCAGAUGAACCGGCAAUGGAUGUACGAUGAUGUUAACAUCAGUCUGUUUAUAUUGAACUGAUGAUCGUGUAUUACUACUGAAGUCAAGCAAUGAGGUCUAGUUUGUUGAAAUUACAUAUUUGGCUCGGUUAUAGUUUAUUCCAUUGCUUUUCUUUUUCCAUGCCUUACUACUGAACUGAACUAAAGCACUUCUGUUUGAAAAAUUACAAGGAGACUUCUACAGCCUACUAGCAUGUUCUAGCUUGCCGCUGAUGUGUAUUCAUGCUGAUGAAGCUUGCUUGCCUAGCUGCUAGACUGAUUCUUGUUCUGUUAUGGGUGCUGUGGUUAUUUGAACUUUAAUUGCAGCUACUAUUACAGUGUGUGCAUACAUGACUGAAACUGUAUGAUGUGUGUGCCAUGGUUACCUGAACUUCAAUUCUAGCUACUAUUCAAAUCUAAUACUAGCAUGUACAUGACUGGACUCGUACUACUGCGUACUAGUGUGCCAUUUUGCUUAUUCUUUCCUUGAACUUUGCAUGCUCUCUAUUCUUUCAGAGAUAUGUUCAAAGCUAGUUCCUCGGAGGUGUAUUCUUUCAUAGAUAUGUUAAAGCUAGUUCUUUAUUCUUUCAAAGAUAUGUUAUUUUCAUACUUUCAGCUCACAUGUAGCUUUUCUUUGUAGGAAAGUAAAUACUCCUACGUUACAUAAAAAGAGAGACAGAGUCAAAGCUGUAAGGACUUGGUAAAGAAAACUGUGAGAUGUAGGCCCCAUAUACUCCUGCGUGACCCGAAUUUCCUGAGCGAAGUUGGAAGCAGCGCAGCGUGCGUCCGUACAUCAUGGGCAUCUUGCCAGUGAUCUAUGCACUAUCCCCUUUGUUUUUUUUGCGGGAAUAAUACUUGUAUUACUCAUUCACCAAGUCCUUACAAUCAUCAAGGACCAACUUCAAAACAUCCUCCGGGCCUGAACCGACCCAAGUCAUAGUACGACCUUCUACUCUAGCAAAACUAGCUAGUCUAUCACUCGCUCAUGAGUAAUACAAGUCUGCCUAAGACUCAACAAGAAUUUAAUUUCACUAACCAAAGAAGCAUAAACUGAGCAAUCCACCUCGCCGCAUGAAAUAAUAGCCAUGGUUGUAGUCGAGUCCAUCUCAAUGGCAAUUGGAAGAUUGGAGCGUUGAAUUGCGAAAGAUAAGCCUUCCAUACAUGCACAUAACUCCGUCCCCAGAGCGUCUCUACACGAGAACAAGGCCCUGCAUGAUGAGAAUAUUAUGGCUCCUGAGUUAUCUCGCAAGAUCAUUCUAGCACCCGCACCACCAGCGAACGAGUAAGAUCCAUCCGUGUUAAGCUUCACCCAGCCAAGCUGGGGCGGCCUCCAAGGUGUAUCGCCAUUCACGGGGUGCUCAACAGCGGACCUAGACUUUAGAUCAUAGGAUAUGCUGCACUUCCCCUUUGCUGGAUCAAAGCGUGAGUUCAGUUUGAUGCCAAUUAGAGCAUCCAAGUAAUUCUGAAGAAACCUUGUUGAUACUUCCAUGGGAGGAGCAGGUCCAUGAUGUACUAUCUCAUUCCGAAUGAACCAGCUUCUCCAAAAAAUUAACAGUAGCAUACUUCUCUGAAUUCGUUCAAAGGGGCAAGUACGUGAAGUAGCCAUUCCUUACCAACAGGCAACAGGGAAUCAAGGAAUGGUAAAAUCCAAAUCUCGGCCAUGGCUAGAUAAAGAUCACGUCCGUAUUGGCAUCUCACAAACGGGUGGAAAUUGUCCUCCUCUUCCAUACCACAAACUGGACAUCUACUUGAAAGCUCCAGUCCAAUCUUGUGUUUAUUCCUCCAUGUCGGCAAAGAGUUCGUAGUCAAUCUCCAAGCAAAAUUGCGCACAGUGGGGGUACAUCACAUCUCCAUAUAUAUUGCCAGCAUUUUCUACUACCAUCUGGCGAUGUGCUAGACGCCUCUGCAGUAUUUCUGUGAGCUACUUCAAAAGCCAGCAUAUAUGCUGAUAUGACCGUGAAGACGCCGAGCUUCCCCGGCCCCCAUGCAAUCACAUCCUCACCUAAUCUUGGAGAUGCCCGUAUCUUUAAGAUUUCUUCCACAUCAGCUGAUAAGAAGUACUGCUGAAGAAGUACCGAGUUCCAAGAACCAUUAUCAUUUAGCAAGUCGGACACAAAAAGAAUGCGACAUCUUCCCUGCAGCGACACAGGUUUGUAUGAAAAGGGCCUUGGAAUCCAGUUAUCUCUCCCCUUUGUUGGUAGUCAGAGUCACUAGGACAACUAACUGUGUUAGCAUCUAGAGUUGUAACAAGCCACAGUCCGCCUAUCUUGGUUGCGCAGCGAUGAUGCUACCAUCUCCUACUACAAAGUACACGCCUUGCACCGGAAACAGCGCAACCAUAUGACAUCUAUCCGAGUGGGCGACCACGUGGUAACCGGGCAUGAGGCCAUGGCUGAGGCCGCCUACAACCACUUCUCCGAUGUGCUCGGAAGUGCCACGGAGCAUGACAUCACGCUUGAUCUCCGCGUUUUGCGUGUUCAACACAAUGCUACUCCGUGCGGUGGACCUAGGCCUUCUUCGACGCCUUACCACUCGGCACGCGGCCUCGAGUAUAUCGCUAUACGCGGACGAUGUUGUCAUCUUUUGUCACCCGGACUGCCACGACAUUACCACCGUGUGAACCAUCCUGCACAUAUUCGGGCUUCAUACAAACUUCGCCAAGUGUUCUGCCACCCCGAUCCGGUGCGAUGAUGACAACAACAUGAUGAUCACAUCUGAGAUGCAGUGCCCCAUAGCCCAAUUCCCCAUCACAUACCUCGGGUUGCCUCUCUCUGUCUGCAAGGCCUCCACGACUAGCUUGCUCCCGAUCAUCGACAAGCUCGGCCACAAGCUCUCCACUUGGCAUGCUUCCAUGAUGUCCAACGGGCAACGGCGACCGCCUUGCUCUCGUGCAUCACGUACUUAGUGCUAUCCCGACAUACUUCCUCACCGCCUUUGCUCUCAACCAAUCCAUCCUCAAGAAAUUCAACUGCAUCAUCUAGAUGCUCGAGGUGCCCGACUGUAGAUGCUCUAAUCAUCUAGAUCCGGCGCUCAAAGGCUCCACCCUCCCCCAUGGCUUGGGUUCGGGCGCCUCCCCAAAACUUCGUCGGGAUCCGCCACAACCGGCAACGGCGAGGCCAGAGGUGGCCGGAUCCGGCACAGGUUGGUCUCUCCCCUCCUUCUUCGCCCACCCUCUCCUCCUUACCUCACGCCACGUGUCUUCCCUUUUUUGCAGGUCGCUAUGGUGCGGACGGCGAUGACGGCAGGAGGGGCACACACAUCCGUGGAUGGGACGCCGCCAUGGAGAUGGAGAUCCUUCUUCACACCACGCAGAGGCCCCAUGGAGCCUCCCUCCUUCUUCGGUGACUUCUUCUCAGGCCCCACCACUACCUCUGACCUCCCCCUCCUCUACUUUGAGUUGCACCAUGCUUUGUUUCAGAUUCAUCCACCCAUGGGUGAUACAUGGCAAGUUAGGGGUUGCUGCAGUUUGAGGUUAAUCCCUUGAUUGGCUGCUGUUUAGGGUUGAUUGGCUCAGUUGGCUGCUAGACUUUAGGCGUGCAUACAUGGGUAUGACGUGCUCUGCACAUUUAGGAUUGAAGUAUUGUGUUGCAGCACUCAGUGACGUUAAUUUAGGGCAUUUCAGUGUCAGUUCCACUAUAUUUAGGGGGACAUUUAAUAGUGCAAUUUCAUGGUUAUUACAGUGUAAUUUCAAGGUUCUUGCACUGUAAGUUCAGAGAAUUACAAUGUUAGUUUAUGUGAAUUCCCGUGCAUUUUACUGUGUAAUUUAAGUGCAAUGGAAAUUAUAGUGUAAAUUUAGUGUAAUUUACUAUGUAAAUUUAAGGAAAUUACACUGUAAUUCGUGUGCAACUUUUAGUGUAAUUUACAGUGUAAUUUCAACGGGUUUACAGUAGAGUAAUUUAAGUGUAAUUACAGUGUGCACUUUAGAGCAAUCAUACUAUAUAUUUAGUGAAUUUAAAGCAUCACUCCAUACCUUUCGCGUUUGUCUUUUUUCUCUACAAGUUACUGCUAUACUGUUGAUUGAUUCUACCCUUGCGUAAGAAACUUUGAUGAGCACAUAAUUUUCUACUAUGUAAUUUGAGCAGCUUGGUAACCGUAAUUUUCAGUUUCCUUUGACCCUAGGCCCUUGUGCUUUAGAAUUGCUAUUUUUUGUCAGUGUACAUGCUAGAUCAUGUGGUUUAUGAUACUUCUCUGGUCCUUAUAAACAAAGUGACAUGUUUGUGCCGUGGAAUAGAAAGAAUAUUUCAGUGUCUCUCUUUAGGCCUUUUGUCGAAUUGUUAUGUGGUCCAGCGCAGCCUUACGAAACCGGGUUCUAUGCAGUUCAUGUACAGUGCAAAACUCAUUAUUGCAGGUCAGGCCUGUUGCAUGUUUUUGGUCAUUGACAUGCAGGAAAGAAGGAAAAAGGACAUAGAAGUAUCAUUUUGUUAUUGGUCAAGAAAUUUGAAUAAUGUCCAACUGAUUUCAGUUGAAUGACAAAUAGACAAUCCCUUGUUUAAUCAGUAGAUAUACACCAUUAACUCAAAUAGCAAAGAAAUACUAGUCCACUUAUAAUCGACGAUUGCGCAUGAUGCAUCCAUCCAUUCUAUCGGAGAGGCUGUGUUUUUUUUUCUUCUUGUGCUAAGGUUGAUAGCAUCACAUAUCUUAUGCUUUUGUUUCUCAAGUAGAGCCUUGAGAUAGAUGUGUCUGCAACCGUCCUCGAAUGGUUGUGCAAUAAUAAUGGUCCUAGCUAAUUACUAGUAUGCAUUGCUUAUAAAACAACUUGCUGCUCAUUUCACUUUGAGUAUGCUGUUGCUGCUAAAGUAGCAACAACAACAGCCAUGCUUUGGUUCCCCAAAAUUCAGAUGGCACUGACAUCUCUACAUACACACACAUAUGAAUAUGCACCUUGGUUUGGUUCAGUUUGCAUGUGUACCGUUUCUUUAACUUUGACUGAAACUAUCUUGGUGGCACUUGCAUCAAUGUUGUGCUCUACCCUUGUAUAUGUCCUUGGAGAAGAUGACCAUUGGACUGUAGGGGACGAACAACCUUGUCCUGCUCGAGGAGGAGGAGGAUGGCCACCCCGAGCUCGAGGACGACACGACAACAGGUAGCACUCACCUCCCUACCAAGGUGAAGGUCCGAUCCGCCUGUUUAGAUGGUCUGCUCUUGUCUUGUGAUCUGAGGGGAGAAGAAAGCCAUUGGCCUCAAUUAUAUUUGCAUGUGAGGGGAGCGAUCCUUUUGGUAGAUGCAGAGUAUAGAUUAGAUAUUCCACAAAACUCACCACACGAGUAUACUACCUAUAUCCACAAAAUUCACCACACGAGCAUACUACCUAUGUCCAAAUGUGGGUGUGAUACUUUCAACAUGAAACAUGAAUAUCAGGUUGGGAGUUUGGAGUUUAAUCAAAUAACGCAGCAAGGCGAUCAUCGGUAGGGAUGCACCUUUGAGGCGGCAAGGAGAGCUUCUCAAAGGCAGUACACAUGGCUUAUUACUGCUUGUAUGUGAGUACGCAGAUGUGGAGUCUAUGGAUAGAGGGUUAGGGGCGCAACGCAAGCAGCAGUAGGGGAUACACAACCUGAUUUGAUUUGGUCAAUCACGGGGAAAUGGGAGAAGGCCUAGGGUGCAAAGUUUGGAUCGGUGGGUUGGUAGCGUUAGGCAUAAUAGAGAUCAAACUUUUUCAUAGGCGUAUGUAGGUUAUUUCCUUGAAGCAUUUUAUCAAAAUGGUGUAGGUGGGUAAUAUCUCUCAACUUAAAUGUGAAGGGAAGAUAUUAUUUCCUUGUAGAGGCCGAGGAAUACAUGGCGUACCGCUACAUAUGCAACCAUGAUUUUUUGUGGAUGGUUACGAGAGAACCUGAAAUAUACCAUGGACCGAAGCAUGGGCACAUGAAGUUCCAACACCGAAGGGUAAGGAGACGGGCCCGCGUCAUUUACGUCGGGAAUAUGCGACCUUGAUUCUUUGUGGAUGGUGAUGCCAAGACUAUAGGAUAAGGUGGAUCCGGACACAUGAGCAGAUGAAGUGCCUGACACGAAGUAGGUUAAGGAGCUGGACCCAAGUCAUCUACACCGCAAAUUGGUCGAAGGUGUGCCGUGAAUGAUAGAUGUACUUGAGGGGGGAGAAAGCCUGUGAAAAGAACAUACGGUUGCUCGAUGAUGACACAUGUCUUGAGAGGAUGGCGAGAACCCUAGAUAUGGUUAAGGCAUGCCACGAGAACAUCACCCCGGUCGCGAGAUUCUCAGUGGUGUGCGGCAACCGAAGCCAAAAGGGCACCCCCGCAAGACCUUGAAACGCCAGAGCGGUGGGCGCACAAGCAAUGGUGAGGAAAAUCACAUAAGGUACCAAGCAAGGCCAUCCUGAUCAGGGCUCCAUUGCCAAGCUUAUGUCCACCACUGCGAUUUAGACAAAUUUUCAACUGGCGUCUCUGUCUUCUCAAGAUUUCCACGGUCCCAUCAGGAUGUAUAUAUAUACUUUGUUUAUUUUGAAAAUUAAUAUAUCACCAAAGAAAUUUUAGUACUUGUCAUUCUUUUAAUUACUUAGUAGUUUGCAUGAUAGACUCAAUCUUAUAUUUACUAAUUAGAGGCACCAAAUAAGCGACCACGUUAAUCCUCAAAAACUAAGAAUAGUAUCCAUCCGAUCUCCAUAUUAAGUAUCUGUAGCCGUCCAUUGGACAACUCAAGAGUCCGUUGUUACUAUCCCACGUCAUGCUCGAUGUAAUGUGAAAAAAAAUCAUCUCCUUGGCCAAAUCCAUCCCACGUCAUGCUCCAUGUAAUGUGAAAAAAAUCAUCUCCCCGGCCAAAUUCUUCCUCCCCCGGUCUAUCAUGUGAGGCACUUGCGCAUCAUCCACAAAUCCCUAGCGCAAAUCCAUCCCACGUCAUGCUCCAUGUAAUGUGAAAAAAAUCAUCUCCCUGGCCAAAUUCUUCCUCCCCCGAUCUAUCAUGUGAGGCACUUGCGCAUCAUCCACAAAUCCCUAGCGCUACUCUUCCAGGUCAUCCUCCUCCUUCCUAUCUUUUGCUGUCUUAAUGCAAAACAAUUCCGUGAGAUCCUUGUGAUCCUCUUCAUAUUCACGUAGAAAUCUGAACUGUCCCAACCACGCUGCAGAUCUGUGGUCCGUCUUGGACAAAGAGAAGGCCCUUUCAAUCUCCACAGAUGCCAUGCCCCAACCAAACCACAACCCAUGAUAAACGAUGUUGUUGAGAAGGAGGCGCUACCUAAGUCUGAUCGGACAUAUUCCAUUGUUGGGGAAGCUACAAGUCGAAGAACUAUGGUAGACUGAUUGCAGGUAAUUAAGGAGCUAGCAACGAUCCAGUAGGUUUUUGUUAUUAGGAAUUUUUAUGUAGUGCGACUUGAUCUCGAAGAACAAGUACACCAUUAGAGUUCGUUUUGGAGGAUUUUGAUGAUGUGCGCUUAGUUACAGACUUAUCUAAAUACGUAUAACUAGGAUGGACAAUAUUUGUAGGAGCCAUACAAUCCAAUUAGGGGAUUCAGUUUGUCAAAGAUGUUUCCACAUAUCCCUAGCGCUGCUCUUCUAGGUUGCCCCCUGCUUCCUAUCUACGGUCUUCAAGUAAAGCGAUUUAAUGAGUCUCUUGCUGCAGAAAUUCCAACUGCCACAAGAAGGCUGCAGACCUGCGGUUCAUCUUGGCUGAGGUGUCAUACAAUCCAGUUAAGGGAUUCCAUUCAUUGAAGAUGUGGUUGUACUUUCGCACAACAAACUCAAGCACAUCUUCUUAUGUUCUUAGAAACUGGAUGAGUUGUUUUGGACUUUCUUUGGUCUACUCCUCUAUGCUUCUUGUUGGGAAAGUUAGUAUGCAAAAGUUAUGCCCAUCUUCUUAAAUUCGGAUGUAACUUUUCGAGUAGAUGAUUUUUCAUAUAAAAAACUUUUUCAUCCGAGUUAGUAUGCAAAAGUUAUGCCCAUUUUUACAAAUUUCAGAGAGAUUUUGCAAAUAAAGUCAAAAUUCACAUUUGCAAAUUUUCCCAACAACUAGACCACAUAUCACAUGGGAAACUUAUUUUCUUUUAUUUUUUUGACAUUUCCAUCAUUUUCUUUUAUUUUUUUAAAANNNNNNNNNNNNNNNNNNNNNNNNNNNNNNNNNNNNNNNNNNNNNNNNNNNNNNNNNNNNNNNNNNNNNNNNNNNNNNNNNNNNNNNNNNNNNNNNNNNNNNNNNNNNNNNNNNNNNNNNNNNNNNNNNNNNNNNNNNNNNNNNNNNNNNNNNNNNNNNNNNNNNNNNNNNNNNNNNNNNNNNNNNNNNNNNNNNNNNNNNNNNNNNNNNNNNNNNNNNNNNNNNNNNNNNNNNNNNNNNNNNNNNNNNNNNNNNNNNNNNNNNNNNNNNNNNNNNNNNNNNNNNNNNNNNNNNNNNNNNNNNNNNNNNNNNNNNNNNNNNGGCACGAACCGGGACUAAAGGUCUCAACCCCAUUAGUCCCGGUUCGUGCCUCAAACCGGGACUAAAGGUCUAAUCUUUAGUCCCGGUUUGAGGCACGAACCGGGACCAAUGGUUGUGGGCCAGAAGCAAGGCCCAUUGGUCCCGGUUCAUCCCACCAACCGGGACCAAAAGGUCCAGAUGAACCGGGACCAAUGGCCCACGUGGCCCGGCCGGCCCCCUGGGCUCACGAACCAGGACCAAUGCCCCCAUUGGUCCCGGUUCUGGACUGAAACGGGACUAAUGGGCUGACCCGGCCUGGACCAAAGCCCUGUUUUCUACUAGUGAGUCCAAUCUUGUGUUUAUUCCUCCAUGUCGGCAAAGAGUCAGUAGUCAAUCUCCAAGCAAAAUUGCGCACAGUGGGGGGUACAUCACAUCUCCAUAUAUAUUGCCAGCAUUUUCUACUACCAUCUGGCGAUGUGCUAGACGCCUCUGCAGUAUUUCUGUGAGCUACUUCCAAAGCCAGCAUAUAUGUUGAUUUGACCGUGAAGACGCCGAGCUUCCCCGGCCCCCAUGCAAUCACAUCCUCACCUAAUCUUGGAGAUUCCCGUAUCUUUAAGAUUUCUUCCACAUCAGCUGAUAAGAAGUACUGCUGAAGAAGUACCAAGUUCCAAGAACCAUUAUCAUUUAGCAAGUCGGACACAAAAUGAAUGCGACAUCUUCCCUGCAGCGACAUGGGUUUGUAUGAAAAGGGCCUUGGAAUCCAGUUAUCUGUCCCCUUUGUUGGUAGUCAGAGUCACUAGGACAACUAACUGUGUUAGCAUCUAGAGUUGUAACAAGCCACAGUCCGCCUAUCUUGGUUGCGCAGCGAUGAUGCUACCAUCUCUUACUACAAAGUACAUGCCUUGCACCGGAAACAUCGCAACCAUAUGACAUCUAUCCGAGUGGGCGACCACGUGGUGACCGGGCAUCAGGCCAUGGCUGAGGCUGCCUACAACCACUUCUCCGAUGUGCUCAGAAGUGCCACGGAGCAUGACAUCACGCUUGAUCUCCGCGUUUUGCGUGUUCAACACAAUGCUACUCCGUGCGGUGGACCUAGGCCUUCUUCGACGCCUUACCACUCGGCACGCGGCCUCGAGUAUAUCUCUAUACGCAGACGAUGUUGUCAUCUUUUGUCACCCGGACAGCCAUGACAUUACCACCGUGUGAACCAUCCUGCACAUAUUCGGGCUUCAUACAAACUUCGCCAAGUGUUCUGCCACCCCGAUCCGGUGCGAUGAUGACAACAACAUGAUGAUCACAUCUGAGAUGCAGUUCCCCAUCACAUACCUCGGGUUGCCUCUUUCUGUCUACAAGGCCUCCACGACUAGCUUGCUCCCGAUCAUCGACAAGCUCGGCCAAAAGCUCUCCACUUGGCAUGCUUCCAUGAUGUCCAACGGGCAACGGCGACCGCCUUGCUCUCAUGCAUCACGUACUUAGUCCUAACCCGACAUACUUCCUCACCGCCUUUGCUCUCAACCAAUCCAUCCUCAAGAAAUUCAACCGCAUCAUCUGCGGAUUCCUUUGGGCGGGAGGCACCGAAGGCAAUGGGGGUCAGUGUCGUGUUAACUGACAGCAAGUUUGCCGGCCAAUCUCUCUUGGCGGUCUUAGCAUCAGGGACAUUCAAAGGACCGGCAUCACCCUCCGUGCGUGGUUGCUUUGGUUACAGUGCACCGACCCCUUGCAACCCUGGAGCCACUUACACAUACCUCACGACCCAGACGUGACUGCCAUCUUCAGCGUGUCUACGACCUGGGAUCUUGGGUCCGGCGUCACCUGCAGAUUCUGGUCCGACCACUUGAUAGAGGGUAGAUCCGUGGCUGAGAUCCCCCCAGUCCUCGCCUCGUCCCUCAACGCCGAUGCAAGACUCGCACCGUUCGCGAGGGCCUCCACCUUAGAGCCUGGGUGCAAGAGAUUCAUGGAGCACUCGGACCGACGGCCAUGUUGCAAUAUGUUGAUCUUCAGCGUCGUGUGCGCCACAUUGACCAGAUGGGUCGGAUACACUCAAAUGGCGCUGGACCGCCUCCGCUAUGAAAUGUCUAUGAUGGGAGAAUUUAAAUUCUUCUUAGGUCUUCAAAUUCUUCAACAGCGCAAUGGCAUCUUCAUAUUUCAGGAGAAAUACCUCAAGGAUGUAUUGUGGAAAUUCGGCAUGAAAGAUUGCAAAGGCGUCAAAAUCCCUAUGCCCACAAAUGGCCAUCUAUGCACUGAUGAAAAUGGUAUUGACUUUGAUCAAAAGGUAUACCGCUCCAUGAUUGGUUCUUUAUUGUAUUUAUGUGCAUCUAGGCCAGAUAUUAUGCUUAGUGUUUGCAUGUGUGCCCGAUUUCAACCUACACUGAAGGAAUCACACGAUAAGGCUGUGAAGCAUAUUCUUUGUUAUCUAGCUCACACACACCAACACUUGGAUAUGGUAUCCCAAGGGCUCGGCUUUUGAUCUCAUUGGGUACUCACUCUGACUAUGCUGGUGAUCCUGUGGACCGCAAGUCAACAUCAGGCACAUGCCAUUUCCUCAGACGAUCCUUGGUCUGUUGGUCCUCGAAGAAACAGAACUACGUAUCCUAACACUUGUGCAAAGUUGAUGACUUAGACGUGCAACACACGAAGAAACGUUUUUCUUCAUUCAAUGAAGAUUAACACUCUAAGUGUGAAGAAAUUAACGAAGAAUUUGAUUCUCAGAGCCCUUCAACAAUUGUACAUGGUGUUUGAAAUCAUCAUUCUUAUACGGUGGAUCACGCCACCACCAAAAGUUGAAAAUCUUGAAUUUGAGUUUUUACUCAUUUUUGAAUUUCCUCAGUUGUUCAAAUUCUUCAACUUUUCAAUGUCUUCACUCUUUCCGUUGUUGUUCUUCAUUGGCUAUAUAUAUAUAUAUAGGGUGGGUCUAUUAUGAUAACACCCUUCAAGACCCUUAUUCUGCUAACACCCAGCUUAUUCUGCUAACACUACCUACCUCACCGUAGCUACAGACUAACCCAAAAAAACAACUGGACCGAACUGCUCGCGCAAAGGGAAAACCCAACCGACCUUAUCUUCUCAUACCCACUCCCCCCAAUUCCCUCUCUAUCUCUCCCGCAACCUCCCUUGCACGGACGCCGCCUAACCACCACCUCCCAUGUGCCGCCGCGCUGCGACCUCCUCUGCGCCGCCGCGCCGCGACCUCCUCUGUGCGGCCGAGUCCGCUCCCCGGCGACUCCCGAUCCGCAGCUCCCCCCAUCGCCCCUGCCUUCCUCUGCGCGCCGCCGCUCCAGGUCGCGGCCACUGCGUUCCACCAACAGCAGCACAUCAGUACGGCGGUAGUGCGGCCCCGCUUCCAUUCCUCCAUGGCCGACCCCCUACCUCCCACCUUCUCCCUCCCUCCCCGAUCGACAACCUCCAUCACCGCCCCGGUCAUGUUGCCCCUCCCGACCCCGCGCCGCCGGAUCCGGGCAACCACGCCGGCGUGCCCUUCCACGAGCUUUCCCGUCGUGACCCUACCACGAGCUGCUCCAGCCCGACCCUGCUUCUUCAACAACGGCACGGUGGCAACUCUCCUUAGUUCUCUCCUGCACCGGGUUCGCGAGCUCCGUUCACGGGCUCGCCGGAUCUCGUGAUUGGGGCGCUGGCGACGUGCUCUCCUACUCCACCGCGCCCCUCCUCUACUUCAGCUCAUGUGCCUGUGCCUCUCGUGGACUCAUCGGCGCACAGGCCGCGCUGGAUCCAUGCUAGUUCGAGGCCCCGACGGCCUCCUCUUCCUGCUAAGCCGCCGAGAUCCGUCGGGGUAUCAAGUUGUUUUGUCGGCCCAAUACUCCUUCUACCUUCCCUUGCCGGCGGUCGUGCAACUUCGGUGAACACCGCUACUCGCGCGCGGAUGACGACGGCUUAGUGGCACUGCAGUUCGCUUUGCAGGGGAUCCGUUGAUGCGGCCGUGGAGUUCGGCCCACAGGUGCAUGAAGUUAUCUUGCCCCCCUCCCAUAGUUUACCCUUCCGCAUGAGCCCCAUGCUGUAGUCCAUUGGGAAGAAGCUCGUGGUGCGGAUGCUCAGUGACAGUGCUGGUGCGUUUCAGAUUUUGUUUUUCUGCAAUUUGUAGGCGACGCUGGAGCCUUGCAGUCCAUUGGCUCGGGGGAGAGCAGUGGAGAGGACACACGUGCGUGUAGUUCCCUGUCCAUUGAAAAUGUAGAAGCCCAUCUUGCUGCAGUGUAUGUGAGCAUAUGGCCUGCAAGUGCUGCUCUUUUCCCAGAUUGAAAACAUUGCGGUGUGGUUGGCUGGCCAUCGACGUGCACUUCGCUUUGGGGGGCAGUACGUUCUUUGUGGAUGUGCACUUCGUUUGGCCCGAGCGGCAUGAAGCUCCAUUUGCGCGCAUGUGUGGCUCGGCUAACUAGUUUGUGCAGUUCGCAUGAUACCUUUAUUAUGUGAUGCCUCCCUAGUUGCUGGAGUUCACUUCUUUGUAUUUAUUGAAACAUCAUGUAGUGCACUGUGAAACUCUCUGUUGUUCACUUGUAAAAACAAAUAGCGGUUCCCUUUGUAAAAAAAGUGCAGCCCCUUAGUGGUUCACCUUGUAGAAAAUGAGAAAGAAAUCCCCAUGGGAGGUUCACUUCUUUUUCCAAUGCAUUUUGUUUUGUUUGUGGGAUGAUUGAAAAAAGAAGUUCACUCCACUUGUUUAGUAGCUCAUACCCCUUUGUAUGAAAUGCAAUUUGUUUCGUGUGUCUCAAAAUCAGUCGACUACAUCAACACGUGCAGUGCGUUUGGUUUUUGGAUGUGGUUCAUUUUUUAGAGUGAUGUUGUUCACUUGUGCCGAACAUGAAAGCACAAAAAAAAUUAGCAAAACAAUAAAAAUAGUAAUGCGGUUCACUAUGAUAUAUGAUGUGGUUCGCUUGCUCGCGUCUCUGCGGUCCACUCUUGUUCAUAAAAAAAUUGAAAAAAACCAUCAAAAACUCGUCCGAGAAAAAUUUACAUCCGACAAAGGAAACCAUGAAGUUCACUUGCCUGUCUGAUGCAGUGCGGUUUCAUCCGAUGCAGUGCGGUUUUCUGUCGAAUGACGUUCACUCACCGAUUUGGGUGUCGCAAAAAACAGUGUCCGCAUAUUCGUAAUUUUAAAAUUUCUUUUAAACCGUAAGGAAUUAGAGAGAGUGUUCUACAUGAAAAAGUUGCGUCUCGUCGAUAUCUUUCCAAUGCCAUAUCAUUUGAAUCAUUUUGACAAGCAGUUUGUAAAAGUUUGGCAAAAAACGACUGCUGCCACUCAUCGUCCGCCGCACCAUUUUAAAAAUUAACUUAAAACCGUAGGGAAUCUCGAAACCAUUUCUACAUAUGAAAGUUGCGCCUUGUCCAUAGCUUUCCAACGAUGUAUUACACGCCUCAGUUCGAUAAACGGUUCAAAAACUAGAGUGAAAACAGUAUCGAACAUUGCAAAAAAUUUCAAAAACGUAAUUUCGCGAUUUAGUAAAUUUGAAACUGCUCAAAACCGAAACGAAUUAGAGAAAAUAAUAGGUAUGGAAAAGAUGUGCCUCAACGAUAUCUUUCCAACGGCGUAUCAUUUGCUUUAUUCCGAUGAGCGGUUUUGAAAAAAUCAUGAAAAUACGCUCGCUGCCACUCGUCAUCUGCAGCACCGUUUUUGAAACUGCUCUUAAACCGCGAGGAUCUUGAAAAGUGUUCAACAUGGCAAAGUUGCGCCUAAUCCAUAGCUUCUCCAGGUAUAUUACACGCAUCAUUCUGAUAAAUGGUUAAAAAAUUAGAGCGAAAAAACUACUAAAAAUACUGCAGCACACUUGGUUCAAACAAUGACGUGCACUUGCGUUGAGCGUGCACUUCGGAAGUGUUAUCAGAAUAACUAUUCUGCUAAUAUUAGCAUAAUAGACAGACUGUAUAUAUAUAUACAUCUGGUUACCCUAUGAUGAAUUCAAGCGGUUGAACUGAUGCUUUCUGUUCCUGUUAAAAAUCGUCUUUUUUAGUUCAAAAGUUUUUACAAUUUUUUUAUCAAAAUAGGGCGUGUAAUAUAUCAUUGGAAAGCUCUUGACAUCCACAUUACAAUAUUAUAAUUUUUUUUUGCAAAAAAAUUAAGAUUUACGAGCAGUUUUGAAAAAACCGUUUUUUUUUCAAACUGAAAAUGCGAAUCGUAUUUUGGACUUAAUUUUCAAACGGUUUGUUGGAAUUGAGCAAAUGAGAUGGCAUUGGAAAGCUUGUGAAAAUCCGCAUCUUCUAUAUUUCUACUAUUUUUUCAAAUUCUAUACGAUUUAAAAGUAAUUUGAAAAAGAGUGAAAUUCUGGGUGAAAUGUUUUUUCACUAUUUUUUUGCAAAUGGUUUGUAGGAUUGAUACAAAUGAUAUGGUGUUGGAAAGCUAUGGAAAAUGUGCAAAUUUUGCGUAUAGAAAGUUUUUUCUAAUCCUUACGGUUUAAAUACGAAUUCAAAUACGGUUAAAAUUGAUUUUGAACGUGUUUUUUAAAAAGUUUGUCGAAAUGGGGAAAAUAAUAUACCGUUGGAUAGCUAUCGAAAAUGCAAAACUUAGUCAUGUUGGACGUUUUCUCUACUUCGCAACCGUUUAAGAGUAAUCUUGAAUACGGCAUGACGGAUCCUGCUAUUUUCUCGUCUGAAAAACAGAUUAGUCGUACUGAUAUAUGUGUAUGUUUGUACUGAGCUAUUUUUUGUAGAGUAAUUUUAAAUGGUGCCGAAAAAAUGUACUUAUACUGAUGCUUGCAUGGUUUUGUACUAAACGUGUUUUCACUAACUAGACUUUGCUCUGUUUUUUCGUGAGAACCAUCAUGCUGUUUUUUUGUGAGAAAAAAUAGAGUACUUGUACUGAUCUUCGUGUGUGUUUGUACUAAUGUAUUCUUCAAAGAGUAAUUUUGAAAGGUUACGAAAAAAGAGUACUUGAACUGAUGUCCGUAUGGGGUUGUACUGAGCGUUUUUUCACAGACUAGGCUUUACUCUAUUUUUUUACUGAAAAUUGUUUCAUCAAUUGUUCGCAAAUGAUAGUACGAACUAAGAUAUGUGUUGGUUUGUACUGAGCAUUUGUUUCAUCAUUUGUUCGCAAUUGAUAGUACGAACGGAGCUUUGUUCAUUUUUAUACUGAGCAUUCUUGUCAGUGCCAGGAUCUCCGGAUUUAUGUUGUUUUGUUCUGCGAACUUCCUCAAAAUUUUAUUGGUAAAUCACACCGUUUUUUUUCUUUUGCUAAAUUUUUGUCCUCUGAACUUGUGACCUAUGGAGUUUGUACUGAUAUGAAUCGUUUUGCCGAACCGCCACAAUUUUUUGUGUAUUGAAUCACUAUAUAACUUAGAACCAAAUUGUUUUUCUUAACAUAUAUUUGAAUUGUUUCUAUAUGUACAUUGAAUUGGGGAAGAGUAGCAAUAGUUAUACAUACUUUAUGGAUAGUAAUACAUGAAUUUCUUGGUAAACUGAAGAAUAUACUCUGGACCGUAAUACAUGUCCUCUCGAGUUUGUACUGAUGUGAAUCCUUUUGAACUUGCUCUCGACGGUAAUACAUGACCUCUCGAGUUUGUACUGAUGUGAAUCCAUUCGAACUUACGUGGCUUACAUCAUUGAACGGACUCUAUUCUUCUCACUACCACCAUUGUUUUGUCCAUUUCUUUUUGGACUUGCAUGGCUUACAUCGUUGAACGGGCUUAGGUGGAUAUGUACUAAUGAACUACUAUGAUUUGUAGCUCUCAGGAAAUGUAAUCCUUUCUUUCCCUGUUAUUCUGAAUACCAAACAGCAAAAAAUCAGUUCUCAUAAGCACGAAAAAAUUAUAUAUGUACCCCUAAAUUUUGCAGCUAUUUUGUCCUCUUUCAUUUCGAAAAAAGCAUACAAAAAGCAAAAGCACAAACUAUACAAAAGGUUUUAGACACCAAACUAGUAGAGAAUUAAAAAUAGGCAUCAGGCAGCAACUUGCUAAACAUAGCACGAGUCAUAUACAUAUGCAUUUCAUCCCAUUAUACUUCUCCACCCGCAUGGAAAGUGAGAGAACCUCCCUACAUGCAUAUAUAGGCAUCAAACUCCCUCUGUACCUGAACUAUAUUUUUGUUUGAUAUAUAUUAUGAACUCCUCUCGUCGAUGUACAUGAACCUGCUGUGCAGAGAGAUGAAAUGUAGUACAUCAGUCUAGCUUCAUUCAGCUAGAGAGAAACAUGAAAAAAUGUUCAGUUUUUUAGACGGCUUUCCUCUUUUUCUUUGUCCAAUCUGCGCCACGACUGCCACCAUCCUGCAUGCAAGCUUAAAAUUAAUUGAAGCCACCAAACAUGCACUUUCAUGAGACUUUGCUACUAUAAGUCAGCGAACAUAUCUUUUAGUAUUAAACCAAAGGCACACUUAUUACCCAGCACUCUUGUUCAGUUCAGAGCAUCAUCAAUAAGAUAAAGAUACGAAAACAUUAAGCCAAUAUAGAACAACUGGAUUGAUUUGAUUCAAAUUUUUACUUUCAAUGCAUUGUAGGCAACAGCCGAUCCAAGUCAGAACUGAUGUGAUUUAUUCCAUCGAACUGAUAUGAAAGUUUAUCUAUACUGUUCUGUUUUUUAACACACAUGUUUUGAACUAUUCCCGCUUUUUUCAUUAUGAAUUGAUGACAUAACACAUGUUGAACUGUUACACAAGAGCAAAUUCAGAAAUACAUAACAAUGGUGUACUCAAAAUAUGUGCAUUUUAAGGAACAAAACUUUCUGAACCUUCUAUACGAAAAACUUCAACUAUCAGUCCAAAGAGAUUUGAAGUUAAACAAUCAUUUCCCUUACUGAGUGUUAAGGAAAACGAAACCAGAGAUGACCUCGCCGGCAGUAGGAGUAGCGAUGGCUGCCAAGGCGACGCGUUGGUACAUGUACUAAACAUCUGCUCAAACCUGUUGUAACAUCUACUUCAAGCUUUUUCUAAAUCAUUGUUGGGAGUAGAGGGUUUUAAAAGAAAAUACAGAGUGCCAAAGAAAGAAAGGAACAACCUAUUUAUCUAAAGGACUGUGAUAUUUGGCACACGUGUGCCAUAUAAGGAAAACUGCCACACCUCUAUUUCUUUCAUUUUAAAGUACCAUACGAUCCCUCGUUCUUUGACCCCGCCUCUUCCCAAAUUACCCCGCAGGCUCGCCUGAGAAACCCGCUUCUCCCGCACAUCUCGGGAGCUUACCCCCGAGAAAACUGCCACUUCUUCACGUCUACCACAUGAUCUCUCCUCAGGACAAAGUUACCAUGAUAUUCAUAUGAAAGUUAUUAGGCCUGUGUUGCAUAGCUUACCGUACUAUUUACAUGGAACGUAUCAGGUACUAUGCUUCAACAACUAGACCCUUUCAAAGUUACCACUAUGUUUUGUACACAAGUUAUAAGGUCUUCGAUGUGCAAAAUACCGUGGUACUUACACAUAAGUUAUCAGGGUAUAUGUACAUCAACCUCCCCCCGGUCAAAGUUACCAUGGGGGAUUGUACAUGAGUUACCAGGUCUACGGUUCGUAUAUUAUCAUGGUACUUGCACCUAAAAACCUGGGUGUGUUUCGGUAGCUUUUCUCAUAGGUCAAAAAUUACCAUGAUGUUUUUGCGUAACUUAACAUGCCUAUAGCACGUGUGCCCCUCGUGACACUAAACAUUAUGUGACUUUCUCGUGGCACGCCAUGUGUUGUGUUCAUCCAAGAGGCCCACGCGCGAGGCAAGUGUAUUUUUUUAACAACUUAUAUAUUUUCCUUUGGUAAAAAAGUUAUCAUCAUGUUUAUAUUGCAAGUUAUCGGUUAUGCGGUGCUUAUAUUAUCAUGUUAUUUACACAAAAAUUAUUGGGGAUGUUUUGAACAACUUUUUCCCGAGGUAAAAAGUUAUCAUGGUGAUUCUAGGUAACCUAUCAAGCCCGUAGUGCUUAAAAUAUCAUGCUAUUUACAUAAAAUUUAUCAAGGAUAUGUUUCAGCAACAAAUUCCACCCCCCCAUGGGUCAAAAAUUUAUCAUGGUGUUUAGUUAUCGCAGUGCAUAUGUUUUCAUACUAUUUACACAUAAAAAUGCCAGGGGAGGGAGGUAUACUACCGUGCUAUUUACACAGAAGUUACCGGAGUAUCUUAAAAAAAUUCCCUACGGUCAAAGUUACCAUGGUGCUUCUACCUCCGUUAUUAGAUGUGCGCUGCGUAUAUUACCAUCUAUUUACACAUAAACUAUCAGGUAUCUUUUCACAUUUGUUGUCCCCAAUGGUUAAAGUUACCACGAUGUUUGUAUCUAAAUUAUCAGGUCUAUGGCGUGAAUGUUAUCGUACUAUUUACAGAAAUUACCGGAGGGCGGGUUCAACAAAUUUAUUCACAAUGAUCAAAGUUACCACGAUGCUUGAAACAAAAAGUUGCUAAAGUAUUAAAGGCAAAAACAUGUCAAAAACAGUAUUACCCUUAGAAUGUUCAACAAUGAGUAUCAUAGGUGAGGUGGUUAGCUCCCUUUGUUAAUUACCUGCAGACCAGAGAUCAAAUCCUAGUCUAAGCAUUAUUUUUGCUCAAAAUUGAGAAGGCAUGUGGGGCCAUAAAUGACGAUUACGAAAAUUAGGAAGGCACAAGCGGGAGAGAAUUGAUGACAUUGGAUGCGUGUGGCAGUUUCGCAAUCUGCCACACGGUUGCCAUAUACAUAUUUCGUUAUCUAAAUAGUGUGUGGAAUUGUUUAUAUGGAUGAACAAAACAUUACUUGAAGUAGAGGUUCUGCCAAAAGAAAGAAAGAGCAUCUUGCAGGUUCAAGUUUGAGUAGUUGAGCCAGACAAUUUAUCGUAGGUGUUGUAUGUAAUAAUAAUUUAAUUAUUUUCAUAGGAGUACGACUCAUAGUAUCGGCAUGGAGGUCGUGAACAAAAGCAGAAGUAUCCUUAAUUUUUUAUUAGUGACUGUAAUUUUCCUUAUAAAGAACAUACUACUCUCGUGUAAACCCAUCCCUCUACAUAUGUACUGUCAGUUUUUUGCAAAUCGAACAAAUUGCGUAUGUAGCAAGUGCUAGUAUCUUGAAAUGCAGUUAUGCGUAUGCCCCUAAGAGUAGGUGAAUAGAAAACUCGAACAAAAAAUAGCUUUCUCCUAAUAGUAAUCGUGCUAGAACUCAUUCAAAGCUGAAGUGAACUAUAAUUAUAACCAGCCUUUGUCAAUAGAAGUCCUACUAAUCACAAAUUCCUCUAAUUUCCUCCAGACUCAAGAUCAAGAUGGUGGACAGUGCACGGAUAUUACAAAAUUAACAAUUCACAAUACGAAUUAAGUAUCACAAAUUGCAAGGCACAAGUUUUGAGCACAUACAAUCUUUCAUUGGUAGGCAGCACUACAACUUUGGAGGUCAACACAUUAGGCAAACUCUUUGGAAUUAAGAUAGUGAAAAGUAAAUGUAUGCGAAAGCAAGCUUCCAUUCGGUAAACCAUCAAGCCCAGAUUGCUGCACUCCGAAUUUCCUUUAGACUCAUACGCUACCUUCAGAUCAGCAAGCUUUAUGUUCAGCAAGUGUGUAACAAAACAAGAAUUGAACUGGAAUAGAAUUUGAAAUUUGAACUGAAAUACAAUACGAAAACUAAACUGAGUGUACUUUCAGAUUUUCACAUGGGCAUUAGUGCAUGAAGCAGCAAUGAAAUUGAACUGAAACAAAUUUCAGUUCAGCAAACUUAUAUGAAGUUAUAUGAAGCAUGCUUGAAUGCGUUGACCCGAAGCAUGCUUGUAGGAGAGUAGUGGCACUGGAAGGGAGCCUUUUGCUGAACUUAUAUGAAGUUAUAUGAACUUGUCUAACUUAUAUGGAACUUAUAUGAAGCCUUUUGCUGAACUUAUAUGAAGUUGACCAGACAAGAUGAUACCGGGGCGCAUCAGAAUAUAGGAGAGUGGUGAUGCAAGUCAGUCACCGGCUGGAUAAUGAAGCGGGUGGUAUGCGGCAUGGAGACAACCAGAAAAUGGGACAUCCAGGGGUAGGGAGCGUCGUCGCUGAAGAUCAGAGAGUGUGGAGCGCAGGCGUGCGGUGUCCCCCGGCCGGCAACGGAGACGAAGGAGAUCGGGGAUAGUGCACUUUUUUCGUCAGCCUGCAAGAUGCUCAAGGACCAGGACAACAUGUAGUUUCAGAAUUACAGAUUGUGGUCAGCUAUAGGAUGUUUCUGGGACCAUGUUUUAGCUACGAGAGAGCAACAACAUCACAUCAUGAGAGAGAGGAUGCAGCAUCAAAAAUUCAGGAGAAAGAUCAGAGCAGAGCAGAAGUAAAUAUGUUUUGAGGAGAUGAACUGACCAGGAUUUAAAUGAACUCUCACUAGCAGUAAUUUUUGUACUUCGCAUGUAGUACUACAUGGACUUGCUGUAAAAUACAUGGACCAUGUAGUAAUUUUGAAGUUAAUUAUAUGAUCAUCUCAGGGAGCUCAAGUUGUACUGAAAGCUCAAGUUGGACUGAAACUCACUCGAUAACUAAAACUCCUAGGGCGAGGGGUGGGAUCCAGGGUGCUGCUAGCAAUGAAUGGCCUGGGGUGGUGGCGUUGAACGGCCUGGAGUGGUGGCUGUGAACAGCCAGGGUGCUCCGGCGGCAGAGCCCCACCGGAGAUGGUGAUGCAAGCAGGAGGUCGGGAAGCAGUGGUGCCGGUGGUCGGGGUUGUCCAAUGCACACGGCACACCAGUACAGGAAGUUGAUUCAUCACCCAUCCACAGUUUUUUUCCUUUUGGGAAUCCAUUGAACUGAAAAAAGCUACAUGUGAGCUGAAAGUAUGAAAAUAACACAUCUUUGAAAGAAUAAAGAACUAGCUUUAACUUAUCUAUGAAAGAAUACACCUCCGAGGAACUAGCUUUGAACAUAUCUCUGAAAGAAUAGAGAGCAUGCAAAGUUCAAGGAAAGAAUAAGCAAAAUGGCACACUAGUACGCAGUAGUACGAGUCCAGUCAUGUACGUGCUAGUAUUAGAUUUGAAUAGUAGCUAGAAUUGAAGUUCAGGUAACCAUGGCACACACAUCAUACAGUUUUAGUCAUGUAUGCACACACACUGUAAUAGUAGCUGCAAUUAAAGUUCAAAUAACCACGGCACCCAUAACAGAACAAGAAUCAGUCUAGCAGCUAGGCAAGCAAGCUUCAUCAGCAUGAAUACACAUCAGCGGCAAGCUAGAACACGCUAGUAGGCUGUAGAAGUCUCCUUGUAAUUUUUCAAACAGAAGUGCUUUAGUUCAGUUCAGUAGUAAGGCAUGGAAAAAGAAAAGCAAUGGAAUAAACUAUAACCGAGCCAAAUAUGUAAUUUCAACAACCUAGACCUCAUUGCUUGACUUCAGUAGUAAUACAUGAUCAUCAGUUCAAUAUAAACAGACUGAUGUUAACAUCAUCGUACAUCCAUUGCCGGUUCAUCUGCGUGCAUUAUAUAUAAUUAAGUGUGUCAAAAACCAUUACAGAAUAGCAUGAAUACAAAAGACCAAAUUAAUAGAAGUUCAUCAUCACAUUAAAACCAAAGUACAGUAGUGAUCAAAUGUUGUUACUGAAAAAAUAAAUACAUAAAGUUCAUACAUAUAUAGUUCUCAUUGAACAACAUAUAUAUAGCUCUCUAGAGCAUCUAAUUAAACCAUACAUUGAAACAAUGUAAAAACAUUUCAAUGCAACAACAAAUGCGAUCAUAAUCGCAACUAAGGUAACAAUUGAUCCAACGGCAUAAUGAUGCCAAGCCUCGGUAUGAAUGGCAUAUUUUCUAAUCUUUCUAAUCUUCAAGCGCAUUGCAUCCAUCUUGAUCUUGUGAUCAUUGACGACAUCCGCAACAUGCAACUCCAAUCCCAUCUUCUCCUCCUUAAUUCUUUUCAAUUUUUUCUUCAGGUAAUUGUUUUCUUCUUCAACUAAAUUUAACCUCUCAACAAUAGGGUCGGUUGGAAUUUCCGGUUCACAUACCUCCUUGAUGAAAACAUCUAUGUCAUGUUGGUCGGCAUAAUUUUCAUACACACUAAAUGAACAAAAUAGUUAUAAAAUAUAAUAUAUACCACAUCGGAAUCAUAGACAGGACGAGGGCCGACGGAGGCGGAUACCAAAACCAUCGCACUAUAUGAUAACAAAAAAUAAUAAAAGUAAUAAAAUUAUACAAGUAUCUAUCUAAAUCAUACAAGUAAGAACUUUUUUCUUUUAGAAGAUAAGAACAAGAGGCUCACCACGGUGGUGCCAGCGACGAGAUCGGCGCGGGCGAUCGACAGCGGUGAGGACGGGGACGGGACAGGAUGGACCGCCAAACCUAGACAAAUCUUAAGGAAAAUGGAGUUUGGACAAGGAGCUUCGAGAGGAGAAAGCUUAAGUAUGUCUCGGACAUUUCACCGAACACCUCAUGUGCAUAGGAGGUGAGCUAGAGCACCACAAAGCUCUCCCACGGCCGGCCAAAAAAUAGAGCAAUGCACUGCUCUGCUCGCGGGCAGGGGGAUAUAUAGGCCUCUCUUUAGUCCCGAUUUGUGGCUAGAACCGGGACUAAAGGACCCCAUUUGGUCCCGAUUCCAACCACCAACCGGGAUUAAAGGUUGUGGGCCAGGAGCGAGGCCCAUUUGUCCUGGUUCGUGUCUGGAAGCGUGACCAAAGGGGUCAGACGAAUCGGGACCAAUGGCCCCCGAGGCCCUGCUGACGCCCUGGCUUUAUGAACCGAGAUUGAUGCACCCAUUAGUCUCGGUUCAUAGGGAAACCGGGAUUAAUGCCCUUUUCAGACCUGGACCAAAGCCCUAUUUUCUACUAGUGUUGUAGGCCUCGCUCACAUGAAGUAAGAACGGUCGGUGACGAUGCCUCAUAAAUCCAUGUGGUGCAAUCAUAGUUGGUGGUGCAGGGGAGGAAGUAACCUUCUUUGAUGGGGAUUCCAUCGCACGCUUGUUCGUCAUGUAGACGCGUCCUCUUAAUUUCUGUUCAGCUUUACAGGCAAGACGAAACAAAUGAUCGAUAGAAUAUAGUCUUCAUGCAUUAUUAUGUCUUGUAUAUCAUGGUUUAAACCUUUCCAAAAUCGAUUCAGAAAAUCUUCUUCGCAUUCUUGUAAGCCAGAACGAAACAAAGCAAUACACAAAUUGUCAUAAUAUUCUUCAACAAUGAUAUUGUCUUGUUCUAAACGUUUUAAUUUUCAAAGCAAAUCACUGGCAUGAUAUGAAGAACAAAUCGGUCUCGCAUAACAAGUUUUAAAUCUUUCCAAGUAGAAGGCCUAUUAUCAAUAUUUUUCCUGCAAUAAUUUCUCCACCAAACUGAAGCAAAACCUAAAAACAUCUUAGUGACAACAUUUAUUUUCUUAUGCUUGGGAAGUUCAUGGCUAGCAAAUAUUUCUUCUACCUCAAUUUCCCAAUCAAUAUAUGAAUCAGGGUCAUAUUUACCCUUAAAAUUUGGCAAAGAGGUAACAUGAUGAUGUGUGUUUCUACCAUGAUGUAUAUCAUGUGACGAUCGUCGUACCUUUUGUGGUGGGAAAGAGUGAUCUUUAUCAAUAUAUGGCAAGUCAUCUCCCACAAUAGAUGCACCCCAACUGUCAACCGCUCUAGAAUCUGCCAUGGUUAGUACCACACAAAAACAAAAAUAAUAAGUAUAAUGUUUCUAUAGUACUACUUGGAGGUGGCAGAAAAAUUCUCUCAACACUCUAGCAAUUACCAAGCUCUUACCAGAUCUUACCGUGCUGCAGUGGUUGUCGGCCUUUGGCGCCUUCAAAAGUUAUCAAAGUUGGAUAUAGUGAUUGCCAAAUCACCGAACAAGGUACAAUAUAGAAAGUGGAGCUUGGUGAAGGUUUUCUCAACUCACAAUAUCGGUGGCACAAUUUUGCUAAAAGUAAUGCAAGAUGAAUAAUUGCUCAAACUCCUAACUAGUGCUGAUAGUCGACUAGUAAGAGAUAAAAUAAUCUAAGCCCAGAUACUGAAUCAAGCGAGAGGGAACUGACGAAAAUAUAAUAGCUCCAAGUAGCUAGAUAUAAGUGAGGUAUGAACGUAGUGUAUGGCAACCAAGAGCAGACAAAAAAAUCCAACACUUAUCACUUAUAUGAAUAGAGCAGGCUGAACAGCAAAAGAGAUUUUUCAAAAGAUGCUAGCUGGCCAAAACUUUGCAUCAAAUUUUUUUAUUCUUUUUUCUGAAUUUUCCUUUUUCUUCAACUUUCAGGCCGGCCGCUAGUAGAAGUCACGGACACAAAUAUCUGACCAAACAGGUAUGAAGGGGUGGCCGGGGCACAUCUGGUGUAGCCCAUUGGCGCUGUCCAGCGGUAAAAGAUCUCAUGCCAUUGCUGAAAUUCACGUCCCCCACCCAGGGCAUUUUGGUCAUUUUGCAUCUAUGCCCUUUUCCGAUUCGCUGCAUCCUCCCCCAAUGAGUGCCUCCCUCAUUUUUCUAUCCCUCACAUCUCUCUCGGGAGAGAGUCGCUGCCGCUAGUCAUCCUCCCCGUCUGCCGCCGCUGCCGCCAACCAUCCGCAGCCGCGCCACCAUCCCCUCCCCGUUCCUCUCCCGUAGCUGAGCCAGCCAUGGCCAGGAAGAAGUGCAAGUCCUCUUCCUUCCUCCCUCACCCCUGAUCUGAAUCCUCUCCCGGAACCCCAGCCAGCCGCACGCAUCCCAUAUGGCGCCGCCCAGCUCGCAGCCCUCGGCCGCCGAGCCAUCGCGAGGCUCCUCGCGCAAGCGCACGACCUCCUCAAAGGCUGCGCCCGAGGCCGACCUGGAGUUCACCGUCACCAAGGAAAGGUAAGGGGAGGGGAGGGGAUGGAAGGGAUCGAGCGACCAGGUGAGGAAGCGCCCAGAUCCACAGGGCCAUCGACACUUCGUCAUCGACCUCAUCCGCGACCGUCCUCGAGGUCGGCCAUGGUGGUCCGGCCGGCAACAGCCAUGGAAGGAGAGGCCCGAAUCCCUGGCCCUCCAAGUACGCGCCUGCUGCAGGCCAUCUCCGGCGAGCUCAUCCACAGAUCUCCAACUAUGGUGCGUGCGCAUGAUACCUAAACCCCUUGUCUUGUCGGUUUCUUCAUCUUCCCUCCUUGUGAUUCCUUGGUUUGUUUUGUGCGCAGUUGCUCCGAUCUGGAAGAGGUGGUGGAGCUUUUGUUGUUGCUGCUGUAGGUGGACGAGGCACCACCCUCUCUUUCUACUUCUGGACACAACCUGGUGGUGAUUGCAAAUUUCAGUGUUAAAAAAUUCAGUUCAAUUCAGUCAUGUUCUUUUUCUUUUGUGGGGAAAUUCAGUCACAUUCAAUGUUCAACUUUUAGAGUUAACAAACUGUUGUUAUGACCACUAUGGUUUAGAUGUUCAGAAAUUCAGACAAAUGGUAUGAUGAAAUGAGCCACCUUUUAACCCCCUACUAAACCUACCGUGAACGUGAGAGAGCCAAUGCAGGGAGGUGUGGACAUUUUACCAUGUUCAUAGGAAGAAAUCAACAUAAAAUACACAGCUUGUAGAUGAUUCGUCAACCACCAUCAAACACGACUUGUAACUUUCUGGACUAAACUGAACCGUGCAAUUGACUCAAAAUAAAACUAAACCGUGCAAUUGACUCAAAAAUAAAUAGUAAAUAUACUUUGGUUGUGUCUGCAGAAUUGCAUUAUGGAAAGAUGUGUGUGAGGUUACCCCAUCGCCACUGGUUCCAACUUUGUCCAUCAUGUCGCUCUGAUGAGAAGACCUUGUCCAUGUUUCAUUAAUAGGGCAGAGUGCUGCUGAAGUAUCUAUGUUGAACAAUUAUAACAGUACCAAGUAAGUUUGCUCCAAUUGCAUUUGAUGCAGAAGGCACAACACCGCCAUCAUGCGUCAGGUUCAGUAGAAGGCACGACACCGCCACGCUCUCCUCCACUACAAUGCCAUGCACCCGGUAAUUAAACAUGCUUUCUCUUCAUUCNNNNNNNNNNNNNNNNNNNNNNNNNNNNNNNNNNNNNNNNNNNNNNNNNNNNNNNNNNNNNNNNNNNNNNNNNNNNNNNNNNNNNNNNNNNNNNNNNNNNNNNNNNNNNNNNNNNNNNNNNNNNNNNNNNNNNNNNNNNNNNNNNNNNNNNNNNNNNNNNNNNNNNNNNNNNNNNNNNNNNNNNNNNNNNNNNNNNNNNNNNNNNNNNNNNNNNNNNNNNNNNNNNNNNNNNNNNNNNNNNNNNNNNNNNNNNNNNNNNNNNNNNNNNNNNNNNNCAAGAUCUCAAAGAGGUGCCGGCGAACCCAGGCCACACCCAACGCGCUGGGGGGCUGUUGGGGGCGCCAGCGGAAGCAACAGCCAAUCAUAUUCCUCCAUGUAUCAUUUUUUCUGGUCCACUCAUUCACUUUUUGCCUGGCGACUGUCCUGGGGGCACCAACGGCUGGGAAACCGUCCUUGUGUUUCAUUCGGCGAAGGUGUUUUGCCCCCCAGGACGUGCUAUAUUUGGCCCGACGAUUGUCCUGGGGGCUCCAACGGUUGGAGAUGCUCUAAUUCAUUGUAUUUGCAUGUUUCCAGCAGCCAUGUAUCAAAAAAAGCUUCAGCUUUGGGUUGUUGAUUUAGCAGCAUCAAUCAUUAAUUGUUCUGCUAUAUAUGUUCUUAACCAUGACAACCUGAUUAGGCUCUUAGUUUAUUAUGGUCUUUGUUCUGGGUGGAUCUCUGACUAUUCUGGGUGGGCAUGAAUCUCUUCUUUGUUUCUUCAUCUCCUCUUAUUCUGAUUCCUGCAUUUGUUUUAUGUGAAGGUUGCUCCGCUGAGGACAAGCUGCUUCUGCAGGUGGACGGGCCCUCAAGGCUGCUCUGCCUAUUCCUCCUGCUACCCCCACACGUGGUGAGCCCCAUCCGUUCUCGAGCUACCCCUGCAAAUCUGAUGUGAUGUGCACAAAAUACUUGCAAUUGUUCUCGACACAGGAGCAUGUCAUGUAUUGUUCUAUUUGAAUGUGCAAUUUCAUUGCUUCUGUGAUGUUUGAUGCUUGCUUCACAAGAGGGAAAUCAUGGAUAUAAACUGUGCUUCCUUUCAAGUUGAAUAGUAAUGAUCACCAUUUGGUUCCAUUUUCUCCUCUGCAUCCAGUGUUCACUCUCUCAUAGAUGUCCAUAUAUACAUAGUUCUGAUCUCCUUUUUUCUGCGGCUCCAUACAGCAAACACAAAGCCGUCGAUGCAUUGAGGGCUCAAUGUCGUCUCCGCCGGCUGAGCGGCAAGCCGGGGUUGGGCCUGCACACCGUCUAUCAGCACCCUCCCGUGUCUCCAUUCACGGAUCUGCAGGUCAACCCCUCUUCUCCUCCUAUCCACGCAUCUUCUUUUCCAGAGCUAGGUGUAUGGUUGCAUGGCAAUUUGUGUUUAGGGGCUCACCAUGUUCUGCUUGCCCUGGUUGGCCAAUGAGGCUUUCCUUUUCUUGUAAAGGCCAAAUGUACAAUUCUCUAUGCUUUAUAUUUUUGUAGUUCCUUUGUUUCCAUGCUAGUUUUUUGAUGGGGUGUAAAUAUAUGCUUUUUUGUUCCUUGUCUGGAUUCAGGUAGGGCCUAACAUUAUUGUUCCUUUGUGCAUGGAAAUGUUGGUGGUUUUGUUCCUUUGUGUAUGGAAGGGGGCCUUGAUUAGAAUUUUUAACGUUUGAGUUGUAAUUAGUGUUUUUGUUACACAUGAAAACAUAUGGUUGUUUGUCCAAUCACAUAUGAAAAAGAGAUGAUUGUUUGUCCAACAAUUUUCUUUCUCUGUGAUAGUUUUACUAGAAAUAAAGCAUAGUCACUAUUACAUCCUAUUUUAUAUCUUGUUGUGUCGUGAUAUCUAUAUAGACUCUGUCUACGUCCUUUUGACAUUCCAAGUUUUGUUUUUCUAUGGCUCAAUUAGUUACCCCGUAUCAAGAGAAAUUUAACUGGUAUUUGCGGUAGAGUUAGCUGAAUUCAUGAAGCAAUGAUUUAGUUAUUAUUAAAGCUGAAACACAACAUGUUUUGACAAAUGCGUUCUAAGUAAAGCCUCCAACUAACAUAACCAAAAACAUAUUCUUUAGGUUUAUCAUCUAUUGAAGUAUUAUGUAGAAUUUUAAAUCAUACGAGGCAAAGCAAAUGAGCUCUAUGCACUUUCCAUGUAGCACAAAACAAAAAUAAUCAUGUAUAUUUUGGAUGCACCUAGAUAUACUCAUCAGCAAGGCUGAGGUUAUAGGGCAGGGCACUCACCCACAUUGUCGACAUCUCCGUCACUAUGAUCACCCACAUGAUGGACAAUUCCCUUCUUUCUUUUCUCUGUGGCUAUUGACACUUAAUGCUAUUACUGUGUGCAUAUAUGUACUGUGAUCCAUUCUCAUUCUUCAUAUCUUGAGAAACUAUCUCAAGAUACUCGCAUUUGUGUUUUGAAGAAAGCCUAUUCUAUGAUUAAUAUAUCAAGUAUGGAUGGCGCGAUAUCACCUCUCUUUAUGAUGAUGUUCUUACAGAAUAUAGGUUUUAUGGUAACACGUCUUAGCCAACACCUAUACUGAUGCUCAGACCAGAUGAUUAUAGGCUCUCCUUGCUAUUUUUCUUGAGGUGUGUACAUCUAUCUAGACAAUUUAAUUAAAAUAUAUAUUCCAUACAAACCAUCAAUACAUGUUAGUUGACUUUGAAACUAAUCAGUAAAAAGGUUGUCCCUUUCGCAUUUUAUGGACAUAAAGAUUUGGUGUUGACUGUCGAUCUUUAGUUAACACAUGACCUUACAACCGUAGGGAGUGGGAAAAAACUUAUAUGUUUGGCACAUUUGAAGAACAUAUCAUAGUAACGAAGUUUUGGUAAACAAUGUCCUAGAUCUCAACCAUAUAGAAAUACUAAAUAUAUGUUUAUUUGUAUAUGGAUUAAUUAUACAGACUUAUAAAACCUUGUGCAGGGCACAUAAAAGAAAUUUGAAAUAACUAUUAUUUCAAUAUUUGCUUUUUCAGUUGAGCAUAAUAGUUUAUAGCCUGAUAGGCUUGGACAUAAUUGUCUACAUGUACUGCUCAGUAGGCGACAUCCUUUGGGAAAUUGAGGAUGUCCUCGUGCAUUUUCUAAAUACAAUUGGGGCAUAUCUGAGGAAUGAAGGGAGGAAUAAUCUCGUGGGAGAGUUCGGUGCAGAGGAAGAAGAACAAGAUAUUAUUUAUUUCUUGUGUACAGUCAAGCUUGUGCAUUGUCCCACUGUAAGUUAUUUCAACAAUAGUAGUAACUGUUAUCUCUGGCCAUCUGUUGCGACAUUUUCUUUAACCACCAAUGCAUAUUUAUUUUCUUGUUAAUAACUCUCAUAAUUGCCUGCUACUGUUUCAGUUCUGGGGCCAGGCAACCUUGAAUCCAACGUCCACCUGCAGGCUACAUCUCAGGUAGGAUAAAAAGAUUGCAGUGAACUUGAUGGGUAUAUCAUUAUUGUUGCCUCCUAAUUUGUGUGAUGAGCAAAUGUGUAGAUUGUGUGUAAAUCCGAGAUGCCUAAAACGGUUGGGAACUGAACUUGUUACCUCGGUUCACUUUAAUGGCAUGUUAAACUCGAUGCACUUUCUGGACUGUGACAUUUUUCCUGAAAUUUUGGAAGUGACUGCUAAUGUAGUCUAAAUAGAGUGACUGAGUAGUUACUUUCUCACAAGAGUUGACUUCCCGUUAUUGGAGUACUUGCUAAGAUGGAUUGGUGGUUUUUAUGUUAGAUGAAAAAUAUUACAUCAAUCUUUACGGCUUUUUAUGGGCAAGUGAUUCCGACUCCAUAAUAAGGAAUAAUAUAGCCCUAGUGCUGUGAUAAUGUUAAAACAUUUACCUCUUUUAUCGGUUCAUGUUAUGUAUUUGCUGCGAAAAAAUGGUCUUAUAUCAAAUAAUAGCCUAGAGCUUUUGGAGUGUUAUUACUUGUAUUUGUUGCUUGGAUGUAUAAACCUUCAACAGACUGUCAAUUUUGCUUUUAUAUAAUCUGUUUGUUUAAGUCUGCUGCAUAUUGGUCAAAAGCUCAUGCUAAUUGAUGAUGUUAGGUGAUGAUCUUGUAUCUAACAGUGAUUUCUGAAUGCAUGCUAAAGAAAACUCAUGAACAUCAUGGCGCCUUGUUGAUGGGGUGAUCAAUAGCUACUAUAUUGGGACCCUGAACUUAAAUUGUAGGUCUGAUUUUGUUUCGGAGUUCUCCUGCUACCCACAAGCUUAGAUAGUUCUUUUGUUUGUGCAGGGGAAAUUGCAAAGCAUAUUAUGAAUUGUUACAAGAAACUAUUUCUGCUGUUUUGGUGCAAGGACGUUGCUUUUUAGUAUGCUUCCCGUAUCUUGGUAUCUUGGAAUAAUAAACAGAUAGAUGUCGUGUACCAAGAUUGUUCCUUGUUGUUAAGAGGGAUACAAAUAUUAUACAAGAUUUUUUCUGAUGACUCCUAAAGCAUAUUUGGAUAUACAGCAAAGUAUAUUGUCGCUUCCCUGUUAGUAAAACGAUUAUUUUAGAAAUUUGGUUGGCAGCCCCUACAUUUGGCUGAUUGCUAGCUUACUGGAUUACUCAUGUUUGCGGACUCUGGUAACUUAUGCCUACCAAGAACUACAUGAAUUUUGUGUCUUGCUGCAGUGAACAUUACCAAACUAAUUCUAGAGGUGUUAUAAUCAUGUUUUCUUUUGCAUUAUCAACUUUUAACUUUUGUCAUUUGUUAACACAUUCCUUUUGCAUUAUCAACUUUUAACUAUUGUCAUUUGUUAACACGAUUAUUUAGUAUGUUCACUAUGCGAGUACUCCCUCCGUCUGAAAAUACUUGUCAUCAAAAUAGAUAAAAAGGAAUGUAUCUAGAACUAAUAUACAUCUAAAUACAUCCCCUUUUAUUCAUUUCGGUGACAAGUAUUUCCGGACGGAGGGAGUAGUAAUAAUAGGAGCUAUUUAUUUGCCAGAUAACUAACACUAUUCAUAUGGCAUAAGGGUUAGAAAAAGAACUGUAUUCUUGCUGUGUUGAUUUUCGUAUGGCACACUAUGGAUUCUUUGUGUAACACAUAAUGUCGAUCAACAUGUGUUUACAACGCAGGGAGGAGCCGGGCGACAAGGCAGUCAGACCAAACUCUCUUUCCAUAUAUAUAGGUAGUCUGAUGUUAUGCCAUAGCCGAACCAUAUAUGUUUCGUGUACUGCUCUAUCAAUCUGGUCUUUUGGUAUAUUAGACUCUAUCCUUUGUAAUGAACUUAUUGUCAUGGGCGAUCAUUAUGACUGGAUCGUAUGGUAUGAAUCGGGUCUUUAUGCUUUGUGAUGAAAUAUCAUAUUAUCCUGUUCACCAGUUUGGUUUGGUUUUGAGCUAAAACGUAUAAAAAUACAUGGCUUACAACAAUGGAUAUAUGUGAUGAUAUAUUGAGUGAUUAAGCAUAAUUUUAGACUUUCGGUGCUGGACCAAUGGGAUGCAUGGGGUAAUUGAAUGUUUCUUCUUCACUUUUUAUUAUCGGUUGGGAUCAGCACUCUCGCGCGAUCUAGUUAUGAUGAUGCUGCCUAUACAAAGCAAAUCUAUGUGGCUAUAAAGUGGAGCACCAUGGCGAACAAGAAACUGGCGCUUGAGGACAGACAUGAGUGGAACUGAUGUCUGAUGCAACACGGCGUUGCUGUACGCGUCAGGGCAGACAGCAACGACGUGUAACAGAUGGGAUGUCGGAUUGCACGCAAAACAAAGGAAUCCAAUGCAAUUUUGAUAGUUUUUUUUUCAGAUUAUGGACGAGCUUGCGGCGGAAACCAUGGUGGAGAAAAAAAAGUUCGAUCUAGUAGACAAAAAUUUCUCAUACAAAUCUAAACCAGCACUAUUUGUAGGAUGAUGCAACCAAAAAUUCAACUACGCAAGUACUAGAUGCAAAAAUUGCUAACGGCUAAAAAGAUAGGUGCAAAGGAUGAACUAAUCUUUCUUUCUUUUUUGGCUUUUUUUGGGUUAUAGGACAUGAAAAAUAAGCUAAUCUAACAAAACUGUAAAUCUCUCACCGCUGAAAGUGAAAACUGAUACCACUUAUGUGACGGCGGCCCGAUGUUUCGAUGAGAGUGAGGAUAACUAUCAAUUUGAUGGAUUCUGAUCUUGACGCUCCGGCUAUACAAUACCCGACGAUAUGCCUCGACAAUCGCUAAACCAAUCUCCGAUGGUUAUUGACCUUGCCGUAGGCACGGUCAACCUGAACGACGAGGUUUGAGUUCCUGCAAGUAACUAAAGAACCGGCAAGAACAAAGGUGAAUUGCAAUCUGAAAUUGCGAAUGAAAAAUUAAGCACAUGAACUAGAUCAAAAGUUGGAGUUCCACUUUGGAUCUGACAAGGCGGUAGUCCUACACGUCUCAUAGAUGCGAAACUGUAGCAUGGCUAAACAAUACAAUAAAACCCGCGUAAACCCUAGAAUAUGAUGACUAUUUAUUAAAGGCCGGCGUGGAGAAUGCUUCGUCUAUUUUCUUGGAAGUCAAGACGGGCCUGCUAAUUGGCCGGACACACACGCGAUCUGAUUUGAAAAUAAACUUCUCAUAUCAAUCUGGUGGCAAACUGCCUCAUCGGUACUAUAGGCCCAGAUGCGCAACACACAAGGCCAUGCAUGGGCGCAAAACCUAUACGACGCCCUCAGCGUCCGAUACCAUGUUAACGGUACAGGGCACAGAACGUCGUGAGACAGUUCGGUCCAUAUCCGGUGUGGGCAUUAGAGCAUUGAGAGGACCUUUCCCUAGUACGAGAGGACUGGGAAGGACGCACUUCUGGUGUAUCAGUACACCCCCUUGUCACGAUGGGCCGGCCCACAUUCCUUUUUUUCUAUAUUAAAGACGCCGAAAAAACUGAAUGUAAGCACCAUGAUUCAAACCGGCAAUCGACUGGUUCAACACACACCACCUAACCAAUAGGCUACAUGUUGUUGACGUGGUUAGUUAUAGCUUUUCCUUCUUUUCUUCUUUGUACCUUCUUUUUUGUUUUUUUGUUCGAACGGUUUUGUUAGUUUUUAUUAUUUUCCAUCUUAAUUUUUUUCAAUAAUACAACAUUUUUCGUUUCAAUUUCGUGAACUUUUUUAAAAUUCGAUAUUUUUUUUCAAAAUUCAAUGAACUUAUUUUCAAAUUCGAUGAACUUUUUACAAAUUGGAUGAACUUUUUUCAAAUUUGAUGAACCUUUUUUUAAACUCGAUGUUUGUUUUCAAAUUUGCCAACUUUUUUGAAAAUUCAUGUACAAUUAUGAAUUCAUGAAUUUUUUGAUAUUUUUUUAAUUUUGCAAAUUUCCCCUUUUUAGUUUUUUUAAAUAGCAAUGGUUUUUUCGACAAGUGCUUGCAAGAGAAAAAAGGCUAGCAAAGGAGCGAGCAGCGACCGAUUGAGCCAGCAGCAGCGGUCGAGCGAGUAGUCGAGCGAUUAGCAAUCGAGCGAGCAGCGAUCGAGCGAGCCAGCAGCAGCGGCCGAGCGAGCAGUUGAGCGAUUAGCGAUCGAGCGAACAAAUGCAUGUUGAUUCAAUAAUGCUCAAGUGUAAAUAUUCUGUAUUAAACUUCGCAUCUUCACCCGAGGUUUGUGCAUCUCUUCUUUAAUCCUGCAUAUAAAAUAUUGUGUUGUAUUUUUGUUUCGGAUAACAAAAUAAUAAUUCAUAUAAUUUCUAUUAGAAUUCACCUGAUAAUUAUCUUUACGCGCAAUAAUUGUGGUUAUAUCCGUACGGGUCAUGUUUAUAUCAGGUAGUUAAUCUUCUUUUUCUUAUCCGCAAGACACUUCUUCACAUGCUCAUCCAAGAGGGUUUCGGCUGCCAACAUGAUCAUCGCAUCCACCACGUCCUGUGAGAUUCGCAACCUCUCCUUCUCAAGCUCUAUGUCGCCAAAUGUCUUGGCCUUCUCGAGUUCCCAUUUGAUCGCCACCCCUUGGUGGUCCACCAUGUCCGAACCUCCUUGCGCCGCCGCCGCCUCCCUCUCUCGCUGCAGGCGUUGCCGCAACUUCUGGGCGGCGUCCUCCGCCUUGCAAGUCAGAGCCGACGAAGGGACGCCGACGGACAAGGCGGACGGCGUCUUUGUCGCGGUGGUGGAUCGGGACCGGUGGUGAGGAUUGGGAGCAAGGGUGGAGGACGGCGAGGGUUCGGGCGCGGGAAAAGUUGGAGGGCGGCGGGAGGAGGAGAAAGGGUUUGGUGCAUUUGGCACAAUUUUCAAUGGGGUCGGGCUGACGGGUCCGACGUGGCGGGCGCGCCCGGGCGCCCCAUAUUUGGGCUAGAUAUGAGGGGUGCCGGUCAGCCCAGGCGUUCGAGGCCCGUUUAAGGAGCCCGUCUGGAUCGAAAAAUCGUGACCGGGUGGCCCACCCGGGUGUAUGAGCCAGGCUUGAGGUGCCCGACUGUAGAUGCUCUAAUCAUCUAGAUCUGACGCUCAAAGGCUCCACCCUCCCCCACGACUUGGGUUCGAGCGCCUCCCCAAAACUUCGUCGGGAUCCGCCACAACCGGCAACGGCGAGGCCAGAGGUGGCCGGAUCCGGCACAGGUUGGUCUCUCCCCUCCUUCUUCGCCCACCCUCUCCUCCUUACCUCACGCCACUUGUCUUCCCUUUUUUGCAGGUCGCCAUGGCGCGGACGGCGAUGACGGCAGGAGGGGCACACACAUCCGUGGAAUGGGACGCCGCCAUGGAGAUGGAGAUCCUUCUUCACACCACGCAGAGGCCCCAUGGAGCCUCCCUCCUUCUUCGGUGACUUCUUCUCAGGCCCCACCACUACCUCUGCCCUCCCCCCUCCUCUACUUUGAGUUGCACCAUGCUUUGUUUCAGAUUCAUCCACCCAUGGGUGAUACAUGGGAAGUUAGGGGUUGCUGCAGUUUGAGGUUAAUCCCUUGAUUGGCUGUUGUUUCGGGUUGAUUAGAUUAGUUAGCUCAGUUGGCUGCUAGACUUUAGGAGUGCAUACAUGGGUAUAACAUGCUCUGCACAUUUAGGAUUGAAGUAUUGUGUUGCAGCACUCAGUGACGUUAAUUUAGGGCAUUUCAGUGUCAGUUCCACUAUAUUUCGGGGGACAUUUAACAGUGCAAUUUCAUGGUUAUUACAGUGUAAUUUCAAGGUUCUUGCAUUCUAAGUUCAGAGAAUUACAAUGUUAGUUUAUGUGAAUUCCCGUGCAUUUUACUGUGUAAUUUAAGUGCAAUGGAAAUUAUAGUGUAAAUUCAGUGUAAUUUACUAUGUAAAUUUACGGAAAUUACACUGUAAUUCGUGUGCAACUUUUAGUGUAAUUUACACUAUAAUUUCAACGGGUUUACAGUAGAGUAAUUUAAGUGUAAUUACAGUGUGCACUUUAGAGCAAUCAUACUAUAUAUUUAGUGAAUUUAAAGUAUCACUCCAUACCUUUCGGGUUUGUCUUUUUUCUCUACAAGUUACUGCUAUACUGUUGAUUGAUUCUACCCUUGCGAAAGAAACUUUGAUGAGCACAUAAUUUUCUACUAUGUAAUUUGAGCAGCUUGGUAACCGUAAUUUUCAGUUUCCUUUGACCCUAGGCCCUUGUGCUUUAGAAUUGCUAUUUUUUGUCAGUGUACAUGCUAGAUCAUGUGGUUUAUGAUACUUCUCUGGUCCUUAUAAACAAAGUGACAUGUUUGUACUGUGGAAUAGAAAGAAUAUUUCAGUGUCUCUCUUUAGGCCUUUUGUCGAAUUGUUAUGUGGUCCAGUGCAGCCUUACGAAACCGGGUUCUAUGCAGUUCAUGUACAGUGCAAAACUCAUUAUUGCAGGUCAGGCCUGUAGCAUGUCUUGGGUCAUUGACAUGCAGGAAAGAAGGAAAAAGGACAUAGAAGUAUCAUUUUGUUAUUGGUCAAGAAAAUUUGAAUAAUGUCCAACUGAUUUCAGUUGAAUGACAAAUAGACAAUCCCUUGUUUAAUCAGUAGAUAUACACCAUUAACUCAAAUAGCAAAGAAAUACUAGUCCAUUUAUAAUCGAUGAUUGCGCAUGAUGCAUCCAUCCAUUCUAUCGGAGAGGCUGUGUUUUUUUUCUUCUUGUGCUAAGGUUGAUAGCAUCACAUAUCUUAUGCUUUUGUUUCUCAAGUAGAGCCUUGAGAUAGAUGUGUCUGCAACCGUCCUCGAAUGGUUGUGCAAUAAUAAUGGUCCUAGCUAAUUACUAGUAUGCACUGCUUAUAAAACAACUUGUUGCUCGUUUCACUUUGAGUAUGCUGUUGCUGCUAAAGUAGCAACAACAACAGCCAUGCUUUGGUUCCCCAAAAUUCAGAUGGCACUGGCAUCUCUACAUACACACACAUAUAUGAAUAUGCACCUCAGUUUGGUUCAGUUUGCAUGUGUACCGUUGCUUUAACUUUGACUGAAACUAUCUUGGUGGCACUUGCAUCAAUGUUGUGCUCUGCCCUUGUAUAUGUCCUUGGAGAAGAUGACCAUUGGACUGUAGGGGACGAACAACCUUGUCCUGCUCGAGGAGGAGGAGGAUGGCCACCCUGAGCUCGAGGACGACACGACAACAGGAGCACUCACCUCCCUACUAAGGUGAAGGUCCGAUCCGCCUGUUUAGAUGGUCUGCUCUUGUCUUGUGAUCUGAGGGGAGAAGAAAGCCAUUGGCCUCAAUUAUAUUUGCAUGUGAGGGGAGCGAUCCUUUUGGUAGAUGCAGAGUAUAGAUUACAUAUUCCACAAAACUCACCACACGAGUAUACUAACUAUAUCCACAAAAUUCACCACACGAGCAUACUACCUAUGUCCAAAUGUGGGUUUGAUACUUUCGACAUGAAACAUGAAUAUCAGGUUGGGAGUUUGGAGUUUAAUCAAAUAACGCAGCAAGGCGAUCAUCGGUAGGGAUGCACCUUUGAGGCGGCAAGGAGGGCUUCUCAAAGGCAGUACACAUGGCUUAUUACUGCUUGUAUGUGAGUACGCAGAUGUGGCGUCUAUGGAUAGAGGGUUAGGGGCGCAACGCAAGCGGCAGUAGGGGAUACACAACCUGAUUUGAUUUGGUCAAUCACGGGAAAUGGGAGAAGGCCUAGGGUGCAAAGUUUAGAUCGGUGGGUUGGUAGCGUUAGGCAUAAUAGAGAUCAAACCUUUUUCAUAGGCGUAUGUAGGUUAUUUCCUUGAAGCAUUUUAUCAAAAUGGUGUAGGCGGGUAAUAUCUCUCAACUUAAAUGUGAAGGGGAUAUAUUAUUUCCUUGUAGAGGCCGAGGAAUACAUGGCGUACCGCUACAUAUGCAACCAUGAUUUUUUGUGGAUGGUUACGAGAGAACCUGAAAGAUACCAUGGACCGAAGCAUGGGCACAUGAAGUUCCUGUUGGGGAACGUAGUAAUUUCAAAAAAAUUCCUACGCACACGCAAGAUCAUGGUGAUGCAUAGCAACGAGAGGAGAGAGUAUGAUCUACGUACCCUUGUAGAUCGACAACGGAAGCGUUAACUUGGUUGAUGUAGUCGUACGUCUUCACGGCCCGGCCGAUCAAGCACCGAAACUACGGCACCUCCGAGAUCUAGCACACAUUCAGCUCGAUGACGAUCCCCGGACUCCGAUCCAGCAAAGUGUCGGGGAAGAGUUCCGUCAGCACGACGGCGUGGUGACGAUAUUGAUGUACUACCGUCGCAGGGCUUCGCCUAAGCACCGCUACAAUAUUAUCGAGGACUAUGGUGGAAGGGGGCACCGCACACGGCUAAGAAUAUGAUCACAUGGAUCAACUUGUGUCUCUAGGGGUGCUCCCUGCCUCCGUAUAUAAAGGCUCAAAGGGGGAGGGGUGGCCGGCCAAGAGGAGGCGCGCCAGGAGGAGUCCUACUCCCUCCAGGAGUAGGACUCCCCCCCUUUCCUAAUUGGAAUAGGAUUCGCGGAGGGGGGAAAGAGGAGAGAGAGGAGGAAGGGGGGGGCGACCCCCUCUCCUUGUCCUAUUUGGACCAAAGGGGGGAGGGGCGCGCGGCCCAUAUCUGGCCACCUCUCCUCUCUUCCACUAAGGCCCACUAAGGCCCAUAUACCUCCCGGGGGGUUCCGGUAACCUCCCGGUAAUCCGGUAAAAUCCCGAUUUCACCCGGAACACUUCCGAUAUCCAAAUAUAGGCUUCCAACAUAUCAAUCUUUAUGUCUCGACCAUUUCGAGACUCCUCGUCAUGUCCGUGAUCACAUCCGGGGCUCCGAACAAACUUCGGUACAUCAAAAUGCAUAAACUCAUAAUAUAACUGUCAUCGAAACCUUAAGCGUGCCGACCCUACGGGUUCGAGAACAAUGUAGACAUGACCGAGACACGUCUCCGGUCAAUAACCAAUAGCGGCACCUGGAUGCUCAUAUUGGAUCCUACAUAUUCUACGAAGAUCUUUUAUCGGUCAGACCGCAUAACAACAUACGUUGUUCCCUUUGUCAUCGGUAUGUUACUUGCCCGAGAUUCGAUCAUCGGUAUCCAAUACCUAGUUCAAUCUCGUUACCGGCAAGUCUCUUUACUCGUUCCGUAAUCCAUCAUCCCGCAACUAACUCAUUAGUCGCAAUGCUUGUAAGGCUUAUGUGAUGUGCAUUACCGAGAGGACCCAGAGAUACCUCUCCGACAAUCGGAGUGACAAAUCCUAAUCUCGAAAUACGCCAACCCAACAUGUACCUUUGGAGACACCUGUAGAGCUCCUUUAUAAUCACCCAGUUACGUUGUGACGUUUGGUAGCAUAAAAAGUGUUCCUCCGGCAAACGGGGGUUGCAUAAUCUCAUAGUCAUAGGAACAUGUAUAAGUCAUGAAGAAAGCAAUAGCAACAUACUAAACGAUCGGGUGCUAAGCUAAAGGAAUGGGUGAUGUCAAUCAGAUCAUUCAUCUAAUGAUGUGAUCCUGUUAAUCAAAUGACAACUCUUUGUCCGUGUUUAGGAAACAUAACCAUCUUUGAUUAACAAGCUAGUCUAGUAGAGGCAUACUAGUGACACUCUGUUUGUCUAUGUAUUCACGCAUGUAUUAUGUUUCCGGUUAAUACAAUUCUAGCAUGAAUAAUAAACUUUUAUCAUGAUAUAUAAGGAAAUAAAUAAUAACUUUAUUAUUGCCUCUAGGGCAUAUUUCCUUCAGUCUCCCACUUGCACUAGAGUCAAUAAUCUAGAUUACACAGUAAUGAUUCUAACACCCAUGGAGCCUUGGUGCUGAUCAUGUUUUGCUCGUGGAAGAGGCUUAGUCAACGGGUCUUCUACAUUCAGAUCCGUAUGUAUCUUGCAAAUCUCUAUGUCUCCCACCUGGACUAGAUCCCGGAUGGAAUUGAAGCGUCUCUUGAUGUGCUUGGUUCUCUUGUGAAAUCUGGAUUCCUUUGCCAAGGCAAUUGCACCAGUAUUGUCACAAAAGAUUUUCAUUGGACCCGAUGCACUAGGUAUGACACCUAGAUCGGAUAUGAACUCCUUCAUCCAGACUCCUUCAUUCGCUGCUUCCGAAGCAGCUAUGUAUUCCGCUUCACAUGUAGAUCCCGCCACGACGCUCUGUUUAGAACUGCACCAACUGACAGCUCCACCAUUUAAUGUAAACACGUAUCCGGUUUGCGAUUUAGAAUCAUCCGGAUUAGUGUCAAAGCUUGCAUCAACGUAACCAUUUACGAUGAGCUCUUUGUCACCUCCAUAUACAAGAAACAUAUCCUUAGUCCUUUUCAGGUACUUCAGGAUGUUCUUGACCGCUGUCCAGUGAUCCACUCCUAGAUUACUUUGGUACCUCCCUGCUAGACUUAUAGCAAUGCACACAUCAGGUCUGGUACACAGCAUUGCAUACAUGAUAGAGCCUAUGGCUGAAGCAUAGGGAACAUCUUUCAUUUUCUCUCUAUCUUCUGCAGUGGUCGGCCAUUGAGUCUGACUCAACUUCACACCUUGUAACACAGGCAAGAACCCUUUCUUUGCUUGAUCCAUUUUGAACUUCUUCAAAAUUUUGUCAAGGUAUGUGCUUUGUGAAAGUCCAAUUAAGCGUCUUGAUCUAUCUCUAUAGAUCUUUAUGCCUAAUAUGUAAGCAGCUUCACCAAGGUCUUUCAUUGAAAAACUCUUAUUCGAGUAUCCCUUUAUGCUAUCCAGAAAUUAUAUAUCAUUUCCAAUCAGUAAUAUGUCAUCCACAUAUAAUAUCAUAAAUGCUACAGAGCUCCCACUAACUUUCUUGUAAAUACAGGCUUCUCCAAAGGUCUGUAUAAAACCAAAUGCUUUGAUCACACUAUCAAAGCGUUUAUUCCAACUCCGAGAGGCUUGCACCAGUCCAUAAAUGGAUCACUGGAGCUUGCACAGUUUGUUAGCUCCCUUUGGAUCGACAAAACCUUCCGGUUGCAUCAUAUAAAACUCUUCUUCCAGAAAUCCAUUCAGGAAUGCAGUUUUGACAUCCAUCUGCCAAAUUUCAUAAUCAUAAAAUGCGGCAAUUGCUAACAUGAUUCGGACAGACUUAAGCAUCGCUACGGGUGAGAAGGUCUCAUCGUAGUCAACCCCUUGAACUUGUCGAAAACCUUUUGCGACAAGUCAAGCUUUGUAGACAGUAAUAUUACCGUCAGCGUCAGUCUUCUUCUUGAAGAUCCAUUUAUUCUCAAUUGCUUGCCGAUCAUCGGGCAAGUCAACCAAAGUCCAUACUUUGUUCUCAUACAUGGAUCCCAUCUCAGAUUUCAUGGCUUCAAGCCAUUUUUCGGAAUCUGGGCUCACCAUCGCUUCUUCAUAGUUCGUAGGUUCAUCAUGAUCUAGUAGCAUGACUUCCAGAACAGGAUUACCGUACCACUCUGGCGCGGAUCUUACUCUGGUUGAUCUACGAGGUUCAGUAGUAUCUUGUUCUGAAGUUUCAUGAUCAUUAUCAUUAGCUUCCUCACUAAUUGGUGUAGGUGUCGCAAAAACAGGUUUCUGUUAUGUGCUACUUUCCAAUAAGGGAGCAGGUACAGUUACCUCGUCAAGUUCUACUUUCCUCCCACUCACUUCUUUCGAGAGAAACUCCUUCUCUAGAAAGGAUCCAUUCUUAGCAACGAAUGUCUUGCCUUCGGAUCUGUGAUAGAAGGUGUACCCAACAGUCUCCUUUGGGUAUCCUAUGAAUACACAUUUCUCCGAUUUCGGUUCGAGCUUAUCAGGUUGAAGCUUUUUCACAUAAGCAUCGCAGCCCCAAACUUUAAGAAACGACAACUUUGGUUUCUUGCCAAACCAUAGUUCAUAAGGUGUCAUCUCAACGGAUUUUGAUGGCGCCCUGUUUAACGUGAAUGCGGCUGUCUCUAAAGCAUAACCCCAAAAUGAUAGCGGUAAAUUUGUAAGAGACAUCAUAGAUCGCACCAUAUCAAGUAAAGUACGAUUACGACAUUCGGACACACCAUUACGCUGAGGUGUUCCGGGUGGCGUGAGUUGCAAAACUAUUCCGCAUUGUUUCAGAUGUAGACCAAACUCGUAACUCAAAUAUUCUCCUCCACGAUCAGAUCGCAGAAACUUUAUUUUCUUGUUACGAUGAUUUUCAACUUCACUCUGAAAUUCUUUGAACUUUUCAAAUGUUUCAGACUUAUGCUUCAUUAAGUAGAUAUACCCAUAUCUGCUUAAAUCAUCUGUGAAGGUGAGAAAAUAACGAUAUCCGCCACGAGCCUCAACAUUCAUCGGACCACAUACAUCUGUAUGUAUGAUUUCCAACAAAUCUGUUGCUCUCUCCAUUGUAUCGGAGAAUGGUGUUUUAGUCAUCUUGCCCAUGAGGCACGGUUCGCAGGUACCAAGUGAUUCAUAAUCAAGAGGUUCCAAAAGUCCAUCUGUAUGGAGUUUCUUCAUGCGCUUUACACCGAUAUGACCUAAACGGCAGUGCCACAAAUGAGUUGCCCUAUCAUUAUCAACUCUGCAUCUUUUGGCUUCAACAUUAUGAAUAUGUGUGUUACUACUAUCGAGAUUCAUCAAAAAUAGACCACUCUUCAAAGGUGCAUGACCAUAAAAGAUAUCACUCAUAUAAAUAGAACAACCAUUAUUCUCUAAUUUAAAUGAAUAACCGUCUCGCAUUAAACAAGAUCCAGAUAUAAUGUUCAUGCUCAAUGCUGGCACCAAAUAACAAUUAUUUAGGUCUAAUACUAAUCCCGAAGGUAGAUGUAGAGGUAGCGUGCCGACCGCGAUCACAUUGACUUUAGAACCAUUUCCCACGCGCAUCGUCACCUCGUCCUUUGCCAGUGUUCGCUUAAUCCGUAGUCCCUGUUUCAAGUUGCAAAUAUUAGCAACAGAACCAGUAUCAAAUACCCAGGUGCUACUGCGAGCUCUAGUAAGGUACACAUCAAUAACAUGUAUAUCACUUAUACCUUUGUUCACCUUGCCAUCCUUCUUAUCCGCCAAAUACUUGGGGCAGUUCCGCUUCUAGUGACCAGUCUGCUUGCAUUAGAAGCACUCAAUUUCAGGCUUAGGUCCAGACUUGGGUUUCUUCUCCUGAUCAACAACUUGCUUGCUUUUCUUCUUGAAGUUCCCCUUCUUCUUCCCUUUGCCCUUUUUCUUGAAACUAGUGGUCUUGUUGACCAUCAACACUUGAUGCUCCUUCUUGAUUUCUACCUCCGCAGCUUUUAGCAUUGCGAAGAGCUCGGGAAUAGUCUUAUUCAUCCCUUGCAUAUUAUAGUUCAUCACAAAGCUCUUGUAGCUUGGUGGCAGUGAUUGGAGAAUUCUGUCAAUGACGCAAUCAUCUGGAAGAUUAACUCCCAUCUGAAUCAAGUGAUUAUUAUACCCAGACAUUUUGAGUAUAUGCUCACUGACAGAACUGUUCUCCUCCAUCUUGCAGCUAUAGAACUUAUUGGAGACUUCAUAUCUCUCAAUCCAGGCAUUUGCUUGAAAUAUUAACUUCAACUCCUGGAACAUCUCAUAUGCUCCAUGACGUUCAAAGCGUCGUUGAAGUCUCUAAGCCGUAAAGCAUGGCACACUGAACUAUCGAGUAGUCAUCAGCUUUGCUCUGCCAGACGUUCAUAACAUCUGGUGUUGCUCCAGCAGCAGGCCUGGCACCCAGCGGUGCUUCCAGGACGUAAUUCUUCUAUGCAGCAAUGAGGAUAAUCCUCAAGUUACGGACCCAGUCCGUGUAAUUGCUACCAUCGUCUUUCAACUUUGCUUUCUCAAGGAACGCAUUAAAAUUUAACGGAACAACAGCACGGGCCAUUUAUCUACAAUUAACAUAAACAAGCAAGAUACUAUCAGGAACUAAGUUCAUGAUAAAUUUAAGUUCAAUUAAUCAUAUUACUCAAGAACUCCCACUUAGAUAGACAUCCCUCUAAUCAUCUAAACCAUAACCGAUCAUCACGUGAAAUGGAGUAGUUUUCAGUGGUGAACAUCGCUAUGUUGAUCAUAUCUACUAUAUGAUUCACGCACGAUCUUUCGAUCUCAGUGUUCCGAGGCCAUAUCUGCAUAUGCUAGGCUCGUCAAGUUUAACCUGAGUAUUCUGCGUGUGCAAAACUGGCUUGCACCCGUUGUAGAUGGACGUAGAGCUUAUCACACCCGAUCAUCACGUGGUGUCUGGGCACAACAAACUUUGGCAACGGUGCAUACUCGGGGAGAACACUUUUAUCUUGAAAUUUAGUGAGAGAUCAUCUUAUAAUGCUACCGUCAAUCAAAGCAAGAUAAGAUGCAUAAAAGAUAAACAUCACAUGCAAUCAAUAUAAGUGAUAUGAUAUGGCCAUCAUCAUCUUGUGCUUGUGAUCUCCAUCCUCGAAGCACCAUCGUGAACACCAUUGUCACCAGCGCGACACCUUGAUCUCCAUCAUAGCAUCAUUGUCAUCUUGCCAAUCUUAUGCUUCUACGACUAUCGCUACCGCUUAGUGAUAAAGUAAAGCAUUACAGGGCGAUUGCGUUGCAUACAAUAAAGCGACAACCAUAUGGCUCCUGCCAGUUGCCGAUAACUCGGUUACAAAACAUGAUCAUCUCAUACAAUAAAAUUUAGCAUCAUGUCUUGACCAUAUCACAUCACAACAUGCCCUGCAAAAACAAGUUAGACGUCCUCUACUUUGUUGUUGCAAGUUUUACGUUGCUGCUGCGGGCUUAAGCAAGAACCAAUCUUACCUACGCAUCAAAACCACAAUGAUAGUUUGUCAAGUUGGUGCUGUUUUAACCUUCGCAAGGACCGGGCGUAGCCACACUCGGUUCAACUAAAGUUGGAGAAACUGCCACCCGCAAGCCACCUAUGUGCAAAGCACGUCGGGAGAACCGGUCUCGCGUAAGCGUACGCGUAAUGUCGGUCUGGGCCGCUUCGUCCAGCAAUACCGCCGAACCAAAGUAUGACAUGUUGGUAAGCAGUAUGACUUAUAUCGCCCACAACUCACUUGUGUUCUACUCGUGCAUAUAACAUCAACAUAUAAAACCUAGGCUCGGAUGCCACUGUUGGGGAACGUAGUAAUUUCAAAAAAAUUCCUACGCACACGCAAGAUCAUGGUGAUGCAUAGCAACGAGAGGGGAGAGUAUGAUCUACGUACCCUUGUAGAUCGACAACGAAAGCGUUAACUUCGUUGAUGUAGUCGUACGUCUUCACGGCCCGACCGAUCAAGCACUGAAACUACGGCACCUCCUAGUUCUAGCACACAUUCAGCUUGAUGAUGAUCCCCGGACUCCGAUCCAGCAAAGUGUCGGGGAAGAGUUCCGUCAGCACGACGGCGUGGUGACGAUCUUGAUGUACUACCGUCGCAGGGCUUCGCCUAAGCACCACUACAAUAUUAUCGAGGACUAUGGUGGAAGGGGGCACCGCACACGGCUAAGAAUAUGAUCACGUGGAUCAACUUGUGUCUCUAGGGGUGCUCCCUGCCUCCGUAUAUAAAGGCUCAAAGAGGGGGGCGGCCGGCCAAGAGGAGGCGCGCCAGGAGGAGUCCUACUCCCUCCGGGAGUAGGACUCCCCCCUUUCCUAAUUGGAAUAGGAUUCGCGGAGGGGGGAAAGAGGAGAGAGAGGAGGAAGGGGGGCCGGCCCCCUCUCCUUGUCCUAUUCGGACCACAGGGGGGAGGGGCGCGCGACCCAUCUCUGGCCACCUCUCCUCUCUUCCACUAAGGCCCACUAAGGCCCAUAUACCUCCCGGGGGGUUCCGGUAACCUCCCGGUAAUCCGGUAAAAUCCCUAUUUCACCCGGAACACUUCCGAUAUCCAAAUAUAGGCUUCCAACAUAUCAAUCUUUAUGUCUCGACCAUUUCGAGACUCCUCGUCAUGUCCGUGAUCACAUCUGGGACUCCGAACAAACUUCGGUACAUCAAAAUGCAUAAACUCAUAAUAUAACUGUCAUCGAAACCUUAAGCGUGCGGACCCUACGGGUUCGAGAACAAUGUAGACAUGAACGAGACACGUCUCCGGUCAAUAACCAAUAGCGGAACCUGGAUGCUCAUAUUGGCUCCUACAUAUUCUACGAAGAUCUUUUAUCAGUCAGACUGCAUAAGAACAUACGUUGUUCCCUUUGUCAUCGGUAUGUUACUUGCCCGAGAUUCGAUCGUCGGUAUCCAAUACCUAGUUCAAUCUCGUUACCGGCAAGUCUCUUUACUCGUUCCGUAAUCCAUCAUCCCGCAACUAACUCAUUAGUCGCAAUGCUUGCAAGGAUUAUGUGAUGUGCAUUACCGAGAGGGCCCAGAGAUACCUCUCCGACAAUCGGAGUGACAAAUCCUAAUCUCGAAAUAUGCCAACCCAACAUGUACCUUUGGAGACACCUAUAGAGCUCCUUUAUAAUCACCCAGUUACGUUGUGGCGCUUGGUAACACACAAAGUGUUCCUCCGGCAAACUGGAGUUGCAUAAUCUCAUAGUCAUAGGAACAUGUAUAAGUCAUGAAGAAAGCAAUAGCAACAUACUAAACGAUCGGGUGCUAAGCUAAUGGAAUGAGUCAUGUCAAUCAGAUCAUUCAUCUAAAGAUGUGAUCCUGUUAAUCAAAUGACAACUCUUUGUCCAUGGUUAGGAAACAUAACCAUCUUUGAUUAACAAGCUAGUCUAGUAGAGGCAUACUAGUGACAAUCUGUUUGUCUAUGUAUUCACACAUGUAUUAUGUUUCCGGUUAAUACAAUUCUAGCAUGAAUAAUAAACUUUUAUCAUGAUAUAUAAGGAAAUAAAUAAUAACUUUAUUAUUGCCUCUAGGGCAUAUUUCCUUCAGUUCCAACACCGAAGGGUAAGGAGACGGGCCCGCGUCAUUUACGUCCGGAAUAUGCGACCUUGAUUCUUUGUCGAUGGUGAUGCCAAGACUAUAGGAUAAGGUGGAUCCGGACACAUGAGCAGAUGAAGUGCCUGACACGAAGUUGGUUAAGGAGCUGGACCCAAGUCAUCUACACCGCAAAUUGGUCGAAGGUGUGCCGUGAAUGAUAGAUGUACUUGAGGGGGGAGAAAGCCUGUGAAAAGAACAUACGGUUGCUCGAUGAUGACACAUGUCUUGAGAGGAUGGCGAGAACCCUAGAUAUGGUUAAGGCACGCCACGAGAACAUCACCCCGGUCGCGAGAUUCUCAGUGGUGUGCGGCAACCGAAGCCAAAAGGGCACCCCCGCAAGACCUUGAAAUGCCAGAGCGGUGGGCGCACAAGCAAUGGUGAGGAAAAUCACAUAAGGUACCAAGCAAGGCCAUCCUGAUCAGGGCUCCAUUGCCAAGCUUAUGUCCACCACUGCGAUUCAGACAAACUUUCAACUGGCGUCUCUGUCUUCUCAAGAUUUCCAUGGUCCCAUCAGGAUGUAUAUAUGUACUUUGUUUAUUUUGAAAAUUAAUAUAUCACCAAAGAAAUUGUAGUACUUGUCAUUCUUUUAAUUACUUAGUAGUUUGCAUGAUAGACUCAAUCUUAUAUUUACUAAUUAGAGGCACCAAAUAAGCGACCACGUUAAUCCUCAAAAACUAAGAAUAUUAUCCAUCCGAUCUCCAUAUUAAGUAUCUGUAGCCGUCCAUUGGACAACUCAAGAGUCCUGGGUUACUAUCCCACGUCAUGCUCCAUGUAAUGUGAAAAAAAAAUCAUCUCCUUGGCCAAAUCCAUCCCACGUCAUGCUCCAUGUAAUGUGAAAAAAAGCAUCUCCCUGGCCAAAUUCUUCCUCCCCUGAUCUAUCAUGUGAGGCACUUGCGCAUCAUCCACAAAUCCCUAGCGCAAAUCCAUCCCACGUCAUGCUCCAUGUAAUGUGAAAAAAAUCAUCUCCCUGGCCAAAUUCUUCCUCCCCCGAUCUAUCAUGUGAGGCACUUGCGCAUCAUCCACAAAUCCCUAGCGCUGCUCUUCCAGGUCGUCCUCCUCCUUCCUAUCUUUUGUUGUCUUAAUGCAAAACGAUUCCGUGAGAUCCUUGUGAUCCUCUUCAUCUUCACGUAGAAAUCUGAACUGUCCCAACCACGCUGCAGAUCUGUGGUCCGUCUUGGACAAAGAGAAGGCCCUUUCAAUCUCCACAGAUGCCAUGCCCCAACCAAACCGCAACCCAUGAUAAACGAUGUUGUUGAGAAGGAGGCGCUACCUAAGUCUGAUCGGACAUAUGCCAUUGUUAGGGAAGCUACAAGUCGAAGAACUAUGGUAGACUGAUUGCGAGUAAUUAAGGAGCUAUCAACGAUCCAGUAGGUUUUUGUUAUUAGGAAUUUUUAUGUAGUGCGACUUGAUCUCAAAGAACAAGUACACCAUUAGAGUUCGUUUUGGAGGAUUUUGAUGAUGUGCGCUUAGUUACAGACUUAUCUAAAUACGUAUAACUAGGAUGGACAAUAUUUGUAGGAGCCAUACAAUCCAAUUAGGGGAUUUAGUUUGUCAAAGAUGUUUCCACAUAUCCCUAGCGCUGCUCUUCUAGGUUGCCCCCUGCUUCCUAUCUACGGUCUUCAAGUAAAGCGAUUUAAUGAGUCUCUUGCUGCAGAAAUUUCAACUGCCACAAGAAGGCUGCAGACCUGCGGUUCAUCUUGGCUGAGGUGUCAUACAAUCCAGUUAAGGGAUUCCAUUCAUUGAAGAUGUGGCUGUACUUUCGCACAACAAACUCAAGCACAUCUUCUUAUGUUCUUAGAAACUAGAUGAGUUGUUUUGGACUUUCUUUGGUCUACUCCUCUAUGCUUCUUAUUGGGAAAGUUAGUAUGCAAAAGUUAUGCCCAUCUUCUUAAAUUCGGAUGUAACUUUUCGAGUAGAUGAUUUUUCAUAUAAAAAACUUUUUCAUCCGAGUUAGUAUGCAAAAGUUAUGCCCAUUUUUACAAAUUUCAGAGAGAUUUUGCAAAUAAAGUGAAAAUUCAGAUUUGCAAAUUUUCCCAACAAGUAGACCACAUAUCACAUGGGAAACUUAUUUUCUUUUAUUUUUUUUGACAUUUCCAUCAUUUUCUUUUAUUUUUUUAAAACUGAAAAGGCGAUCCACAUGGGGGGGGGUAGAGUUUGAAAAUGGGACCUUUAGUACUGGUUCGUGGCACGAACCGGGACUAAAGGUCUCAACCCCAUUAGUCCCGGUUCAUGCCUCAAACCGGGACUAAAGGUCUAAUCGUUAGUCCCGGUUUGAGGCACGAACCGGGACCAAUGGUUUUGUGCCAGGAGCGAGGCCCAUUGGUCCCGGUUCAUCCCACCAACCGGGACCAAAAGGUCCAGAUGAACCGGGACCAAUGGCCCACGUGGCCCGGCCGGCCCCCUGGGCUCACGAACCGGGACCAAUGCCCCCGUUGGUCCCGGUUCUGGACUGAACCGGGACUAAUGGGCUGACCCGGCCUGGACCAAAGCCCUGUUUUCUACUAGUGAGUCCAAUCUUGUGUUUAUUCCUCCAUGUCGGCAAAGAGUCAGUAGUCAAUCACCAAGCAAAAUUGCGCACAGUGGGGGGUACAUCACAUCUCCAUAUAUAUUGCCAGCAUUUUCUACUACCAUCUGGCGAUGUGCUAGAUGCCUCUACAGUAUUUCUGUGAGCUACUUCAAAAGCCAGCAUAUAUGCUGAUUUGACCGUGAAGACAUCGAGCUUCCCCGGCCCCCAUGCAAUCACAUCCUCACCUAAUCUUGGAGAUGCCCAUAUCUUUAAGAUUUCUUCCACAUCAGCUGAUAAGAAGUACUGCUGAAGAAGUACCAAGUUCCAAGAACCAUUAUCAUUUAGCAAGUCGGAGACAAAACGAAUGCGACAUCUUCCCUGCAGCGACACAGGUUUGUACGAAAAGGGCCUUGGAAUCCAGUUAUCUCUCCCCUUUGUUGGUAGUCAGAGUCACUAGGACAACUAACUGUGUUAGCAUCUAGAGUUGUAACAAGCCACAGUCCGCCUAUCUUGGUUGCACAGCGAUGAUGCUACCAUCUCCUACGACAAAGUACAUGCCUUGCACCGGAAACAGCGCAACCAUAUGACAUCUAUCCGAGUGGGCGACCACGUGGUGACCGGGCAUGAGGCCAUGGCUGAGGCCGCCUACAACCACUUCUCCGAUGUGCUCGGAAGUGCCAUGGAGCAUGACAUCACGCUUGAUCUCCGCGUUUUGCGUGUUCAACACAAUGCUACUCCGUGCGGUGGACCUAGGCCUUCUUCGACGCCUUACAACUCGGCACGCGGCCUCGAGUAUAUCGCUAUACGCGGACGAUGUUGUCAUCUUUUGUCACCCGGAUAGCCACCACAUUACCACCGUGUGAACCAUCCUACACAUAUUCGGGCUUCAUACAAACUUCGCCAAGUGUUCUGCCACCCCGAUCCGGUGCGAUGAUGACAACAACAUGAUGAUCACAUCUGAGAUGCAGUGCCCCAUAGCCCAAUUCCCCAUCACAUACCUCGGUUUGCCUCUCUCUAUCUGCAAGGCCUCCACGACUAGCUUGCUCCCAAUCAUUGACAAGAUCGGCCACAAGCUCUCCACUUGGCAUGCUUCCAUGAUGUCCAACGGGCAACGGCGACUGCCUUGCUCUCGUGCAUCACGUACUUAGUGCUAUCCCGACAUACUUCCUCACCACCUUUGCUCUCAACCAAUCCAUCCUCGUGAAAUUCAACCGCAUCAUCCGCGGAUUCCUUUGGGCGGGAGGCACCGAAGGCAAUGGGGGUCAGUGUCAUGUUAACUGACAGCAAGUUUGCAGGCCAAUCUCUCUUGGCGGUCUUAGCAUCAGGGACAUUCAAAGGACCGGCAUCACCCUCUGUGCAUGGUUGCUUUGGUUACAGUGCACCGACCCCUUGCAACCCUCGAGCCACUUACACAUACCUCACGACCCAGACGUGACUGCCAUCUUCAGCGCAUCUAGGACCUGGGAUCUUGGGUCCGGCGUCACCUGCAGAUUCUGGUCCGACCACUUGAUAGAGGGUAGAUCCGUGGUUGAGAUCCCCCCAGUCCUCGCCUCGUCCCUCGACGCCGACGCAAGACUCGCACCGUUCACGAGGGCCUCCACCUUAGAGCCUGGGUGCAAGAGAUUCAUGGAGCACUCGGACCGACGGCCAUGUUGCAAUAUGUUGAUCUUGAGCGACGUGUGCGCCACAUUGACCAGAUGAGCCGGAUACACUCAAAUGGCGCUGGACCGCCUCCGCUAUGAAAUGUCUAUGAUGGGAGAAUUUAAAUUCUUCUUAGGCCUUCAAAUUCUUCAACAGCGCAAUGGCAUCUUCAUAUUUCAGGAGAAAUACCUCAAGGAUGUAUUGUGGAAAUUCGGCAUGAAAGAUUGCAAAGGCGUCAAAAUCCCUAUGCCCACAAAUGGCCAUCUAUGCACUGAUGAAAAUGGUAUUGACUUUGAUCAAAAGGUAUACCGCUCCAUGAUUGGUUCUUUAUUGUAUUUAUGUGCAUCUAGGCCAGAUAUUAUGCUCAGUGUUUGCAUGUGUGCCCGAUUUCAACCUACACUGAAGGAAUCACACCAUAAGGCUGUGAAGCAUAUUCUUCGUUAUCUAGCUCACACACCAACACUUGGAUAUGGUAUCCCAAGGGCUCGGCUUUUGAUCUCAUUGGGUACUCACUCUGACUAUGCGGGUGAUCCUGUGGACCGCAAGUCAACAUCAGGCACAUGCCAUUUCCUCAGGCGAUCCUUGGUCUGUUGGUCCUCGAAGAAACAGAACUGCGUAUCACUGUCUACUGCUGAAGCUGAGUACAUUGCUGCUGGUUCUUGCUGUUCUCAAUUUCUAUGGAUGAAUCAAACCCUCAAGGACUACUACGUCAAUGUAAAGAAUGUGCCUCUCUACUAUGACAAUGAGAGUGCCAUCAAGAUUGCUCAUAACCCACUUCAGCAGUCGAAGACAAAGCACAUUCAAAUUUGUCAUCAUUUUCUUCGUGAUCAUGUGUUGAAGGGCGACAUUUCUAUUGAGCAUGUGAAGACUGGAGAACGGCUAGCCGGUAUCUUCACAAAGCCUUUGGAUGAGAAGAGAUUUAGCAAGUUGCGGUGUGAGCUAAAUAUCCUAGAAUCUUCGAAUGUCCUUUGAAAAGGACACACAUCCUAACACUUGUGCAAAGUUGAUGACUUAGACGUGCAACACACGAAGAAACGUUUUUCUUCAUUCAAUGAAGAUUAACACUCUAAGUGUGAAGAAAUUAACAAAGAAUUUGAUUCUCAGAGCCCUUCGACAAUUGUACAUGGUGUUUGAAAUCAUCAUUCUUAUACGGUGGGUCACGCCACCACCAAAAGUUGAAAAUCUUGAAUUUGAGUUUUUACUCAUUUUUGAAUUUCCUCAGUUGUUCAAAUUCUUCAACCCAUCCCACCUUAUCUUCUCAUACCCACUCCCCCCAAUUCCCUCUCUAUCUCUCCCGCAACCUCCCUUGCGCGGACGCCGCCAAACCACCACCUCCCCUGUGCCGCCGCGCCGCGACCUCCUCUGCGCCGCCGCGCCGCAACCUCCUCUCUGCGGCCGAGUCUGCUCCCCGGCGAUUCCCGAUCCACAACUGCCCCCAUUGCCCUUGCCUUCCUCUGCGCGCCGCCGCUCUAGGUCGCGUCCACCGCGUUCCACCACCACCAGCACAUCAGUACGGCGGUAGUGCGGCCCCGCUUCCGUUCCUCCAUGGCCGACCCCCUACCUCCCACCUUCUCCCUCCCGCCCCGAUCGACAACCUCCAUCACCGCCCCGGUCGUGUUGCCCCUCCCGACCCCGCGCCGCCGGAUCCGGGCAACCACGCCGGCGUGCCCUUCCACAAGCUUUCCCGUCGUGACCCUACCACGAGCUGCUCCAGCCCGACCCUGCUUCUUUAACAACGGCACGGUGGCAACUCCCCUUAGUUCACUCCUGCACCGGGGUCGCGAGCUCCGUUCACGGGCUCGCUGGAUCUCGUGAUUGGGGCGCUGGCGACGUGCUCUCCUACUCCACCGCGCCCCUCCUCUACUUCAGCUCCUAUGCCUGUGCCUCUCGUGGACUCAUCGGCGCACAGGCCGCUCUGGAUCCACGCUGGUUCGAGGCCCUGACGGCCUCCUCUUCCUGCUAAGUCACCGAGAUCCAUCGGGGUAUCAAGUUGUUUUGUCGGCCCAAUACUCCUUCUACCUUCCCUUGCCGGCGGUCGUGCAACUUCGGUGAACACCGCUACUCGCGCGCGGAUGACGACGGCGCAGUGGCACUGCAGUUCGCUUUGCAGGGGAUCCGUUGAUGCGGCCGUGGAGUUCGGCCCACAGGUGCAUGAAGUUAUCUUGCCCCCUCCCACAGUUUACCCUUCCGCAUGAGCCCCAUGCCAUAGUCCAUUGGGAAGAAGCUCGUGGUGCGGAUGUGCGGAUGCUCAGUGACAGUGCUGGUGUGUUUCAGAUUUUGUUUUUCUGCAAUUUGUAGGCGACGCUGGAGCAUUGCAGUUCAUUGGCUCGGGGCGAGCAGUGGAGAGGACACACGUGCGUGCAGUUCCCUGUCCAUUGAAAAUGUAGAAGCCCAUCUUGCUGCAAUGUAUGUGAGCAUAUGGCCUGCAAGUGAUGCUCUUUUCCCAGAUUGAAAACAUUGCAAUGUGGUUGGCUGGCCAUCGACGUGCACUUCGCUUUGGGGGGCAGUACGUUCUUUGUGGACGCGCACUUCGUUCGGCCCGAGCGGCAUGAAGCUCCGUUUGCGCGCAUGUGUGGCUUGGCUAACUAGUUUGUGCAGUCGCAUGAUACCUUUAUUAUGUGAUGCCUCCCUAGUUGCUGGAGUUCACUUCUUUGUAUUUAUUGAAACAUCAUGUAGUGCACUGUGAAACUCUCUGUUGUUCACUUGUAAAAACAAAUAGCGGUUCCCUUUGUAAAAAAAAGUGCAGCCCCUUAGUGGUUCACCUUGUAGAAAAUGAGAAAGAAAUCCCCAUGGGAGGUUCACUUCUUUUUCUAAUGCAAUUUGUUUUGUUUGUGGGAUGAUUGAAAAAAGAAGUUCACUCCACUUGUUUAGCAGCUCAUACCCCUUUGUAUGAAAUGCAAUUUGUUUCGUGUGUCUCAAAAUCAGUCGACUAC
rnacentral:lncRNA from 1 species